rnacentral:lncRNA from 1 species
CGCCAUCGCCUUAACUCGAAGUCUACUUGUUAAUUUUGUGGUCCACUAUGGCACUAUCCAUAACAAUAAAUAAACCAUAAUACCAGGGUGUCCUAGACAUGGCUCUAGCUGACGUGCGUAUAUAUAGUAAGCUCCAAAACAUUGCUCUGACCAACCGUUCUUUUUAUCGCUAACUAUGACUUCUAGUUGAAACUAAAAUCCACUUGUCUGAGAGGAAAAAACAAACCACGAUCGCAUCCACCAGAUAUAUGUGAGAGUUUGAUCUAUCACUAGCGCGUCAUCGCUAUUUCUAGUACAUAUGCUUCUGUCAUCACCUUAAUUGUAGUCUAUCUAAUCUUCCUCCUUUUCCACUUGCCAACCCUAAACGAAAUCGAAUUCACUCGUUGAUCUUGUGGUCGACUAUGCAUAGUAAAAUUGUAUGUAGUACAUAGUAAGCUACAACACCUUGGUAUAGAGUAAGUGGUUUUUUCCCAUCACUAGACAACAUUUGGCUUCAAAAGCCACAACCAUAUCCAACCAAUGUAAAAAAAAGAGAUAAAAAGUAUGUCCCCUUGCUAUUGACAAUCCUCAUCCAUCAGAUAUACGUGAGUGUUUGAUCUACCACUAGCGCAUCAUCGCUAUCUCAGCUACAAAACCUUGGUAUAGAGUAAGUGGUUUUCUCCCAUCACCGGACAACAUUUGGCUUCAAAAGCCACGACCAUAUCCAACCAAUGUAAAAAAAAGGAGAUAAAAAGUAUUUUCCCUUGCUAUUUACAAUCCUUGAGCUCAUAACCUGUUGGGUAAAUCAAAUUUAUCUUCAAUGCACUAACCAACACAAUCUCAUGUCAUACUUGUACAUUUGUGCCUUAUAGUAUUUAUAUCUAGUUCGUUAGUAUAUUAACAUUAUAGAGCUUAAAAUUCCUCAAAAAAUGCCUUUACAUAACACGCAUAUUUUUAAGUACCAAAAGAAUGCAUCUACAAGAGAAAAUUAAAUAAAAUAUACUAAAAAUGUCUCUAAAGUGCCUCUAAAAGUGUCUCUACACUAUAAAACUCCUUGUUUUAGAGAUAAUUCAAAAAGUGUCUCUACAAAAGUGCCUCUACAUGUUUUUUUUUGUUCUAGUGAUGGUACUCAUGUCAAGCCAUUGUCCACCUUACUAAUUAUAUCCCUGGCCUCUGCAAACAUAUAUACUCCCUCCAUUUAAAAAUGUAAGGCACAUUUUGUUAUGUUAGAACAAGAAUUGACUAAUAAUUUUGCGUCACAAAAAUCAUACUAGUCAAAGCCUUAUUCUAACAAAACACAAUACAGCUUAUAUUAUAUUUUGAAAUGGAGGGAUUACCCUAUAUAUGUGGGUCACUAUCCACUAUGUAUGCUUCCGCCAUCGUCUUAACUUAAAGUCUAUGUGAACUCCCUCCCUUUUUACUCGCCACCCUAAACGAAUGUUGAUUUUGUAACCCACUAUCCAUAACAAUAAAACCAUGCUACCAGGCAUGUUGUCCUAGGCGCGGCUCUAACUAACGUGCAUUUGUAUAGUAAGCUCCAAACCAUUGCUCUGACCAACCUUUUUUUUUUCACUAACUAUGAACCCGGGUUGAAACUAAAAGUCACUUGUCCGAGAGCGAAAAAAAUGCACCGUCGCAUCCACCAUAUAUAUAUGAGUUUGAUCUAUCACUAGUGCGUCGUUGCUAUCUCUAGUUUAGAUGCUUCUGUCAUCACCUUACUUAUGGUUUAUCUAAACUUCCUUCUUUUCCACUUCCACCCUAAACGAAAUUGAGCUUUCUCAUUGAUCUUGUGGUCCACCACGCAUAGUAAAAUUGUAUGUAUAGUACAUAGUAAGCUACAAAAACUUGGUGUAGAGUAAGUGCUUUUUUCCCUUCACUAGACGGCAUUUGGCUUCGAAAGCCACAAGAGUAUAGAUUAACAUUAUGAGAAGUGCCUCUUUAGAGCUUAAAAUGCCUCAAGAAAAUGUCUUUACAUAACACGCAGCUUUUAAAGUACCAAAAGAAUGCAUCUACAAGAUAAAAUUAAGUAAAAAUAUACUAAAAGUGUCUCUAAAGUGUCCAUAGAGUAAAAGUUUUCUAGGCAACUUUUAGAGUGCCACUAAAAGUGUCUCCACUCUAUAAAACUCCUGAUUUUAGAGGCAACUCGAAAAGUGUCUCUAUACCAAAAGUGCAUGUAUAUAGGGUUUUUGUUGCAGUGGUGGUACUCAUGUCAAGCCAUUCUCCACCUUACUAAUUAUAUCCCUCACCUCUACAAACAUAUAUACUUCCUCCAUUUAAAAAUGCAAGGCGUAUUUUGUUUUUUUAAACAAGAGUUUGACUAACAAUUGCUAUAUAUAUCAUUUAUGUGACACAAAAGUACGAUCAUAAGAAAGUACUUUCGAAUACGAAUCUCAUAACAUCAAUUUUGCGUCACAAAAGCCAUAUUGUAAAAGAGUGAUUAAUAGUCAAAACCUUAUUAUAGUAGAGUAAUACACCUUAUAUUAUAUUUUGAAAUGGUGGGAGUACCCUAUAUAUGCGGGUUUAAUCUAGCUCUAGUAUCGUCACUAUCCACUAUGUAUGUUUUCGCCAUCAUGUUAACUUGAAGUCUAUGUGAACUCCCUCCCUUUUUGAUCACCACCCCCAAACACAUGUUGAUUUUGUGGCCCACUAUCCAUAACAAUAAAACCAUGCUACCAGGUAAGUUGUCCUAGGUGCGGCUCUAAUUGACAUGCGUAUGCAUAGUAAGCUCCAAAGUAUCGCUCUGACCAACCUUUUUUUUUGUCACUAACUAUGACCCCGGGUUGAAACCAAAAGUCACUUGUCUGGGUUUAAACUAAUGCGUCAUCGCUAUCUCUAGUUUAGAUGCUUCUGUCAUCACCUUGAUUGUAGUCUAUCUAAACUUCCUCCUUUUUCACUUGCCAUCUCCAAACGAAAUCGAACUCGGUCGUUGAUCUUGUGGUCUCCACUAUCCAUAUGGUAAAGCUGGUACAUAGUAAGUUACAAAACACUGGUAUAGGGUAAGUGAAUUUUCCCCUUCAUUAGAUGGCAUUUGGCUUCGAAAGUCACUCUUUCGUUCGAAAGCGCAAAAACUAAGGUAAAGAUAAACCAUACCAAAGCAUAUAUAGUAUCAAACACGCGUCAAAUAUUUACCGUGCGCACGUGUGUUCUACAUGUACGCGAAUUAUUCGGACCAAUCAAUCAAUAAAUUCCUAAAAACCAAGCUAUUGAUCCUAAAAAAUGUCUAUGGUAAUCCUUUUCCUAGUGAAUUUACCCAUCCAUGUAUACCCAUGCCCCUAGCUAGAUCAAAAGCAAUGCAUAGAUCUCAAACCAACUACCAUAAGUCUGAGAUCGAAGAGAGAACACUGUAAUUAAUACUCAAGCAAGUUACCAAAAAGAAAUUAAGAAAGAUGUAAGGAGAACACCAUGAGAAGGGAAAUUAAAGAUGUAUGAGGAGCGAUCUAAAGGGCUUAUUAAUCAUACUCCAUGUAUCGGCCGGCCGGGAAUAAACUGAGUAGAGGUGAUACAUUGAUGAGAAAUUAAAGGAAAUCGAUUAAGAAAGGCGACUAAUCAAUAAAGAGAAACCUCCAAUAUAAUCCGACGCAGGCAAAGGAUCGUCGUCGACGAUGAUCAUGGAUGGGGUGGCGAGCUAGCUAGUACUCGUCGCGCCAGCAGAUGAGCAUUUGGAUGCAGCGGCGUAUGAUGUAGAAGCGCGCCCGGUGCUCCUUCACCGUCUUGGUCAGCCGAUGCUUUAUGUUCUCCGCGGAGUAGCUCCGGCACGGCAUCUUCACUUGCUCCGGCGACGACGAUGGCGGCGGCGGCGACUUCUUCAGGCCCUUCGUCGUCUUCAUCACCUGCUCCUUCCGCACGGCGACGUUGCCGCCUGCAGCAUCCUCCUUCGUCUUCAGGUUCUUGCAGGUCUUCUUCAUCACAUGCACUUCCCUUGCGCCGCCUGCUGCAGCCUCCAUAGUCGUGGUGGUGGUGAUGGUCGUGGUCUUCGAUGGAGAAAGAGAUUUGAGGAUCGCGACGACGGUGAUGAGGUAAGCUAUAGCUAUAGCUAGAGAGAGCGGUCACUCACACCUGGCUGGGUGUGCCGCGCCUGGGGUCUAAACCACGCGCAGCCACUGCUGACGUGUGGGGCCCACAUCGGCCGUCCGAGGAUGACGUCCGGCCGAGCCGACCACACGCACGCACGAGCCCGGUGCGGGUCGUAGCUUGCUUGCUGCUUCAGUUACUCUCUCAUCUCUCAUCUCUUGCUCGCGGCCACGGCCACAGCCACUGCCAGCAUAUGAUCAUGUCAUGCUGUGCGUGCCUAGCUUUCCAGUUGAUUCCAAGAGAGAGAAAGAGAGGAGAAAAAUUAUUUUUACAAGCAGUAUAUGUAAUGUAAAGUAUAUAUAACGGAUGGAUGGAAAUUGCAAUAUAAUAUAUAUGGCAAAUAAUAUUGUUGCUAGCUCCAUCUUUUCCAGCUAGCACACUUUUAUUUCUUUCUGCCACAAUGAACCUUGUGCACCACAGGAUAUUAGCUAUGGAGAAAAAAACGAAACGAUUUAUAGUUUUACACUACUUGCUGUCUUUAUUACGACGCUCUGAUUAAUCAUUCUUACCUGAUCAAUGUCGUAUGUACACAAACUCAAACGUGCAUAAAUAUAUUCGCUUCUGGCCCUGGUUUUGAUUUUUGAAAUGUUGAUGUAUCGGAUCAUAUCGGAGAUCAAAACAGAAAAUGGAAUAAUGGUCGAUGCAAACUAACUUCUAUAUAUUCCACUCAAUCGCCAAUAGCCAAGACUUAAUUAAUUACUUAACCAACACUACCAGAAACUGAAAUACCCCUGACGGCCGCAAUUUUUACUGACGUGUGUGCAUACAUGUCAGGAAAUUGAACCCUGACGGACAUAUGUCAGGCAAAUUUAUUUUUCCCCGACAAGCUAGUUCUGACGGUGACAUGUCCGGAACUAUUUUCCUGACGGGAUUUUCUUUAUUUCUGACGGGAUUUAGCCGUCAGAAGUAAUACAAUUUCUGGUAAGAUACUCAAAUUCCCACGUAGAUACGCAUAUAUAUGCUUGCACAGUAAACAAAGAUGAGUAUUUAUUUAAUUUUACAUCUCUUUCAACCGUAUAUAUAUAUAUACUCCAUCUUGUAUAGUUCACUGUCAGAACAUACGCAUGGUUACACUAUAGUUACAUUACAUUUGAAAGUUAAUUUCUUUUUAGAAAAAAAACUUAUAUUACGGUAGCUUUUUAGAUAAUUUCAAAUUAACCUAGCACCGGCAGUUCCCGUGCAAAACAGGGGGCUAGCUAGCUUGCAUGCUAGCCAUGCAUAUAUAGCUUUGAUUUUUGUUUUCUUGUGCUUUUCAGGGCUUCCAGAAGAUGCAGAUGAUUGUGGAGUAGAAUACUCUAUAUCCUAGCUUGCUGCUUUUGUUCGUUUGUUAUAAGCUUUGUAUGGAUGAAAAAAAAGUUGUUUUUAAUUAAUUACAGAAUGUUAAGAAUCUCUCAAGACUCUCAGUAGUGGUAUACCCAAUAUAAUAGUGCACCUGACAUGCAUGUGAAAGUUAACGGAUGGAUGAUAUGGAUGGAUGGAUAUGAUGCUCAUGAUUCCUUACUAUUUGGAGAAUUAUCUUUCAUAAUAUUCAUAUAUAAUUUACAUGUUGUUAAAUUAUACGAUUUUUAAAAAAAAGAAUUGAUGGUAAAAGAUUAAAAAAUAUUUGACUUAUAACAAAGCUAUAAUGGCAUCUAAUUUAAAACAGAGAGAAUAUCGGGAAUGCGUGGGCCUUUUUUAGGGAGAUAAAUGCAUAGACUUAUAGAAAUAGAUGACUUCAUUCAUCAAGAUUUAAAUUUUAGUGUUCACGUAUAUUACGCAUUGGUGUGCACUUUCAAUACGAUUUUUGGCGAGGUCGAGAGAUACCCAUGUCGUCCAUCUAUUUAACCAUGUGUUAUAUAUGGACACACACAUAUGUAUGUGGGUAUGGGUGUGAUGUGUGUGCACGUAUUCGGUGUUAUGAAAGAAAGAAUGCAUAUAAGUUUUACUUGUCAGUUUCAAGUUUCUAAGUAAUUAACUUUGCGUCAACAUUAUUUGUUGUUGCGAUUUUUUUAAAAAAAGAAGCACUAUAUGAAUUUGUAUAGAAAUAGAGAACAAAAUGAAAGGAAAGAAGUAGCGUGAGCUUAUAGUGUUUCUUCUUGUAGAACCUGUUGACUCGGGAUUUAAGUUACGACUACUUAUUUGUUACUAGGGGUGAAAAGAAAGCUCGGGUUCGUGAGCUUAGCUCGGCCUUGGCUCGAGCUUGGUUGGCUUGGCUCGGCUCGUAAGCCAAACAAGCCAAGCCCAAGCCUCCUUUUUAGCUCGUUGCUGAAAUGAGCCGAGCCGAGCUAGCUCGCGAGCCGCUUGUUUUGGCUCGCGAGCCUAGGCCAUCGUGUGUUUAUAUUGAUUAUUUUACUUUAUAUAGUGUUAUUAUUUGUCAACUUGAAAUUUAUCACUAAGAUUUUGAAGAAUUGAAUAUAAAAACUUAUUUAAAUUUUACAUGUUGAUGAUUUGUUUUUACUUUUUUUCAAUAAUUACAAAAUAUAUAUGAAUAGGUGUUUCAACAGGAAAGCUUGCAAGCCAGCUCGAGCUGGCUCGAGCCAGGAAACGAGCCGAGCCGAGCUUAAGUUUUAGCUUGUUUCCCUAACCAAGCUGAGCCAAGCCAAUCCUAGUUUUUUGCGAGCCACUGCAAGCCGAGCCGAGCCAGGCUUGGCUCGGCUCGUUUCCACCCCUAUUUGUUACUGAUAGUCUUUCUUCGGAGGUUCAGGUGCUUACAGAAGAUGUGUGUGCGUAUGUCUGGUUUCAUAGCAUCGUGCUUCGUAGAAAAAUAGAGUAAAUUUCAUAAAACCCCAUCUAUUAUGAUCCAAGUUGUAUAAAAACCAAAAUAAUUUUGGCACGUGAUAUAUAACCUUGGGUAUUAUGAUUCUAUAGUUUUACAAAAUCACACCUUUAACCAUUUUGAUUUACUUUUAUAUAAAAAUUUUUAAAAAACGGAUGUAACAUUUAUAUGAUGGGAUAAAAUCCUUAUAAUUUGAGAUAUGAUUGUAAAACUCAAAAAUGGUAUUGCGAAACUUAAGAACCAUAAUACCUGAGGUUAUAUAACACAUGCCAAAAUACUUGUAGUUUUGUGUAACUUAGACUAUAAUAUUAUCGGCGGAGUUUUAUGAAAUUUAGUGAAAUGAAAGGAUGGUAAAAUGGAACGCAGGGAGGUCCGGCCCACAGGGACAUGCGGCCCAGUAAUAGAAGAAGUCGAUUAGGAGCAGCGGGAAAGCGAUAAGGAAAGCGACAGCCAUAGCCACUCGCUGCGCCUCCUCCUCAUCGCCUCGCCGUCGCCGGAGAAGACAACCAUGACCACCAUCGCCGCGCGGAUGCCGUUUGCGGGCCCACGCCUCAGGCCUCCCUGCAACCUCACCGCCUCGAGGCCGGGUCCCAGGAGGGCCGGGCUGGCCGUCGUCUCCGCCGCCGCCGGUGGCCCGCUUCCCACCGUGCUCGUCACCGGCGCAGGCGGCCGAACAGGUGCAAUGUACUCCUUGCGGAAACCCCUCUCAUGCCCCUCCUCGCCAUCUUGCCCAUUUGGUUCCUCGUGUUCAUCGAAUCGAAUCGAAUUUUCUUUUUUAGAUAAUGGAAUCGAUUUUCCUUGCAAGAAGAAAGAAAUCUAGUUUCGUGCACAUCUACUCUUGCAAGAAUUUGACUCGGUUUUCCCUUUUGCACGCUGCAAUUGGCCUCUCUGUGAUGAUGAUGAUCUUUCAGGCCAGAUUGUGUACAAGAAGCUCAAGGAGAGGGCAGACCAAUUUGUGGGGAGAGGGCUAGUCAGGACUGAAGAGAGCAAAGCCAAGAUUGGGGGCGCUGCCGACGUGUUCGUCGGGGACAUAAGAGAUCCCGCGAGCAUUGCUCCUGCCAUUGACGGCAUCGACGCGCUUAUCAUCCUCACCAGUGCGGUUCCGAAAAUGAAGCCUGGGUUUGAUCCCAGCAAGGGGGGACGCCCAGAGUUCUACUUUGAGGAUGGCUCUUAUCCUGAGCAGGUGAUUAAAUGUAUUUUGUGUCACUCACAUUUUCUGUAUCAACUUGUGCCUUCAUUUGAAAUUGAUGUUUUCUGCUAUUUGCUACUCUUUGAAGGUGGAUUGGAUUGGCCAGAGGAAUCAAAUAGAUGCUGGUAAAACAUCUUUGUCUUGCAGAUGGAUUCUUUGAACUUGUUUCUUUUCAGCUAUGCUGUUCUUUAAACCAGUAUUAUCAAUGACUUGUUGGUCUAGCUAGCAUAGCUCCUUUUUUUUUCAGUUAAUUCAUUCCUUGUUCAUGAUUCGUUUAUGUUUUUUCGUCAUCUUCAUGUAGCCAAGAGCAUUGGUGUAAAACAGGUGGUUUUGGUUGGAUCCAUGGGCGGCACAGAUGUCAAUCACCCACUAAAUAAGUUAGGAAAUGCAAAUAUACUGGUAUAUAACAUGUGCAAAGUCUUUCUUUCUUCUAAUUUAUUCAUCUUUAUGUGUGCGUGUUCAUAUGUAUGCAUGCAUGAGCACAUCAUAUGCACUGUUUACAAGCUCAGAAUACUUUAAUGUUCUUUGAAUUCGCAGGUUUGGAAGAGGAAGGCGGAGCAGUACCUAGCAGACUCAGGUCUACCAUAUACAAUUAUAAGGUUGUAAAGCAAGACAUCUCUUGAAAAUAUAGUUGUGAUUUGUGAAAUGCACGUUGUCUUGCAGUCUACAUAAUUUUACUAGCACAUUAGCUUUCUAGAACAUGGUUUCACCUUUCUUCCCUAUAGCUAUAGGUGCCUGCAGCCUGAUCAUAAACUCAAACCUUAUGUAUGUCUGUCAGGAAUAAAGAACAAACCCUCAGUGCAGUUGAAAUCUGGAAGAAUUAUUGUAACUUGAAUCAGGAGAUUGCAUCGACAUACUCUUUUCAUUUUGUUUUUAAUGCAGGGCUGGAGGAUUACAGGAUAAAGAUGGUGGUGUGCGGGAGUUGCUUGUUGGGAAGGAUGAUGAGAUCUUGAAGACAGAAACAAAAACUAUUACCAGAGCAGAUGUUGCAGAAGUUUGUUUACAGGUACCUUCACAACUGUGGAUGACAUGUUACUGUUCAUAAUCUCUGCUCGGUGAAUUUUGCAUCUACCAUGUCUGAUGUCUCCGAGAACAAUGUUAAUCUACCAAAACGUUAUCUAUCUGAAAAUGUUAAUUUACCAAACAUAAAGGUUGCAACAUUCUCUGCUUGCACAUGCCAUGUAUUUUUAUAUCAAGUGCUGAUUCUGUUGCCUAAUCCAUCUGUGCCUGUUCCUUUCCUUUGCAGGCCUUGCUAUUUGAGGAGGCAAGGUUUAAGGCAUUUGAUCUGGCAUCAAAACCUGAAGGUGAAGGAGUACCUACAACUGAUUUCAGGGCUCUUUUUUCGCAAGUUAAUAGUCGCUUCUAAGAAGUAUAAUCUGUCAACGAGGCACAAUAUUUGUGAUGGAAUAAUAUGAAGUGUGUAUUGAGUGAGGUUAGUUUCCUAGCAUAUAUGCAUUUUUUUUGUUCAUCCUUGUAUUAGUAGGCAGUUGAUUCUGCAUAUAUUUUUAAUUAUCUGUGAUCUUUUUGUUACCUGGUACUGUUUUGAGAAAAAAAAAGUUCGCUAAUUGCAUACCAAUAUAACAAAGGCAGUUACUUAUUACUCAAUCAUUCAAUAUCUUCAAAUCAUUUAAGAGAAAUACAGAUGAUUGCUAUAGUAAUGCAUUCACAGUAAGAGUAUGUUAAGAGCAAAUUUAGUUACCCACCCCUACCGAGAACUCCUUGUUCGUAUUAAUUGGAAAAAUACAGAGAGCAAACAUAAGUCGGAAAACCAAGCCAUCUUCCAAGAUCAUCUCCAAUAUCCAUCAACACAAGAAAUAAAUUGCAAUACUUAGAACCCUUAUGCUGAUGAUUGCAUAACUAGCUUUUGAGAAUAUUGGAGACUGAUUGAGAUCUGCUUUGGUCUUUCUGAUUACCACAUGAUCACCUAGGUUUCCACUUUCCAUGUUGACAGUGCCUGUAUUAUCCUCCCCUUCCAUCCCUGCAGCAGCCAGCCACUAUCUUCAUCAAUUACAAAGUCUUCAUGAUAAAAUUCCUUGUAAUGUACUGAUCUAUUCAGAAUGGCUUGAUUAACAGGACGUUGCUUGAACCCAGCCCUGAGGAUCCUCAUUUGCCACUGUUUGUAGCUUUCUGGCCUCUCAAUCCUUUCUGCACCUUCGCAUGCUACAGCAUUAAGUGCAUCAUUCCCAAAGAGAUCCUUCUCUACCAAUAUCCUUGCUUCAUGGUUCCUAGGAACAUUGUUGUCGAGCAUAUCAAAAAGUGAUGAGUAAUGGAAUAAAACCUCUCUGAAUCUAGUCAGAAAGAAUGGGGAGCUGUACAAUCCAUUCACAACACCAAGAAUGAAAACCUGCGGGUUCAUCCUCUUCAUCAUGUGUAGUACCCUAUCCCUUGCACUAUCAAUGUUUUCUGUCUCAUCACCUAGCUUUCUCAUUCGUGACAUGCAGUUGAUUAUGAGUACCUCAUCCUUGUCAAUACUGAGAUCCUCGAUGCAGAUAGUUUCCCAUCUUGAAGCAAUGCCAUGAUACUGGAAAGGUACGUUGAACAUAUUUGCAUACUCUGCCAACCGCUUUCCAGUCUCCUCAAUCCUUUCAUGAGGGCGAAAACCAGGCUGGGGUACAUCUACACCUGUGAUACGAAGCUUAGGGGGGCCACCUUCUCGCUUUGCAAGUCGCUGAAUUAGACAUGGCCACUGAAAGCCGAAGAGGAUGCCAAAAUCAACGAUAUGCAAUGUUGUUUUCCCCUCCAAUGCAUCAAUGAUGGUUUUGUUGGAGAAGUAGUAUGUUACCAUCUCAAAAGGGCAUGCUACAAAAUAUAGAUGAUAGGCCUUUAGCAUGUCUCUGGUGCUCGUUUGUUUCGCCAUCAGUUUUUCGUACAUUUGACUCCCAGUCCCAGCCAAGCGAGCCUCGAGGCCAUCUGCAAAGCAGUUUGCUAGCCUCUGAGAACCAUCUCCAUCUGGCAAAGCGUGAUGCCUUAUUUUCCUCAGUAGCUCACUAGCAAAGGGAUGGUUGUUAGAUGCUAUCGCUUGUGCACAUUGGAUGAGAAGAACACUGAGAUCUAUUGCCUCUUUCUGUUUCUUCUUACUACUGUGUGGCUUCCUUUGCCCUUUUCCAUAUCCUUUGCUUUGAAAUUUCUUUGGGUUGUCGCUUGCUUCUUUUGCCAUCAUUCCUCUAAGGUUAGCAACUUCACCAGGGAGCUGCCUAUUGCAGAGCAGAAUACUAUCAAACAUUUCAUCCCGUAUUGUUUCACUAGUGGAGAUGGCCAUAUGCUUACUGUUCCUUGCUUCCAUCAACUCUAUGUGCUCAACAUGAGGAUCAUGAGGAUGAUUCCUUAUUUUGUUCUCAUGCUUGCCCUUCUGUUCUGUUGUCUCUGUUGUUUGUUUGCAAGCAUAAAGACCAUUCUUCUCUGGAUCAUCCACCAACUUUUCAAUAUUUGGAAUGAACCUCUUUGCUUCCUCAACACCUCUCCUGAAUUGCAAAGCCAAACGGUCAAAUUCAGAAGACCAGUCGGUGGUUAUCGAAUGCGCAUCCUGUGACCCAAGGAGAUCACUAACAAAGCUACCACUACAUGCCUGUUCAUGAUAACUGCUGCUACCAUUAUCAGGGUAAUCUGCUUGACUGUCACCGUUAAUUGCUGUCUCCUUAGAUGAAGAUGGGUAUGCCUUCCCAAGAAUAUCAUAGAAGGGCUUCUCUGUCGCCUGAAGUGCAUCCUGUCCUUUUUUUAUGCUGAUCUUUUCAUCAAUAUCCUCCUCCAUCAAUAUUCUGUUUAUAUAAUCAAGAGUUAUGUUUGAGUUGGUCUGACAAUACUCAGGGCUGUCCAUUAUGCUAGACCUGCAUUGCUUUAAGCUUCUGAAGCAGAAAUUUGUGAUCUACAAAAGAGCAAGUCAACCUUUUAGAAGGGUUUCUUUACCAGCCAAUGUCUUUUUUUUUUGCCUCUCAAAACUUGCUAAAAUAUCAAAAUAAGUCAUAGAUAGGAUAAUAGGAUAAGUUCAAGAGUUCUUUUAUGGUCCUGAGAGGUGCCACGCUAAUUAACAACAGGAGUUGCCAAUAUGAAUGAAAACAUUAAAAUUCGGAGGUACUGGUACCUCCCAGGACUGUAAUCAGCAAAACAUAGUUUUUUGCCUAGAUAAACUGACAUGUAAAACCAUCUCUGGCACCCAAUUUUGAAGAUUGUAUGCACUACUUACCUGCUAUGUAAAUCAUACUUUUGACAUGGAUAACCUCCAAACUCUGGAAGACACCUUUUGUUGAGAAAAAAUGUUGGUGUAUCAAAAUGUAGGAGUUGGUAACUUGGUAUACCAACUACACUGUAGAAUAUAUCCCAAAUAUACUUUUUAUGAUGUAUACUACUAUUACUGCUGUUACCAAUUGUUAACAGCAGCAAGAGAGAUUACAUCAGUAUUUACCUAGCUUAAUGAUGUAUCUGGCCUAUGGUGAGGAAGGAGGGAGGUGAAAAACUGGGGACUUUAUUUUGAGCCAUUGAGAGUAGUGGCAUUGUCCAGUCCUUAUGAGAGGGGCUGAGGCUCCUUAGUUGUGCUGAUGGGUGAGCUUUUCUUGUUGAUGUGAAAAUUGUUUAAUGUUCCUCUUGGUCUUUAUUUCUUGUUACUUUCUUGUUGACAUCUGGCUGAUUAAUAUUAGGGUUAUUUCUUGUAACCUUCUUCUUGACACUUUUCUGAUUUAUAAAACAUAUAACUGUGACAUGAAGGUAACAGAUCAUAUUCCAAAUGGCUUUCUUGUGAUCAUUUCUGUUACAAACUAGGCACCAUUGUCAUUCAUCCAGGCUGGGCCUUUUGGUUCAGUUUGGACACAUAGAUGCCCCCAAUUAUAACCAAAGAGAAGGAUGUGACAACUGAUAAAAGGACAUCAUGUGCCCAGGAAAAUGAUAAGUAAACUGGAAAUUCUAAAGUUAUUGUCUAACUAUUUAACGUAUUGUGCUAUUUACUCUAAUCCCACGUUAAACAGUAACCGGCCAUUGGAAAUUUAGAAUACAAUCAGUAAUCUAACUUAGGAGUAAAAAAAAUAUGAGAAUAUGAGAACUAAAAGUUAUGAAUAUAAUCUAGAAAUUGUACUUCCAAGAAUAAUUUACUGGUAUACAAUGAAGUAGUUGUUUCCAGCCAAAUAGUUUGCUAAUAGAUGGAAAGAACAAUUGCAUGUCACUGGAGCACAAACAGUCUCUUGUUUAAGCUGUAUGAUUCCAGCUAUUCAUUGCUUGCAGCUUUUUUUGUCUCCUUCUCAGGUAUUUAAAAUUAUUAUUUUUGCUUCCCCAUUCACAUGCACUUAGAUGUUGCACUAUUACAACCUAUUAUGCAUGAAAGAACAAGGGAUAGACACAUUGGUUUUAGAAAACAACAGUUUCACUACUAGAGUAGUUUUCUAUUACACAUUUACACUUUGUUCUGAAAUAAAACAAGAAGACUUUUAGUAUGGUCCUUAGGGAGGAACCUUGAACUUUCAAAUAGUACAUAUUGUUGAGAUGGAAGGACUGGUACCUCCUUCAAAGGUAUAAAAAAAGUAUGUUAUACACUUCGUUUAGUUUAGUUUCUAUAUAUGCUCAUGUACAAUCAAAUCAAUACAUAUAAAGGAUACAUAUAUGUUCAUUUAUUGUGUUUACGACUGUUCAAGUAGAUACAGAGAUUGGCAGUUGCCUAUACACCUUUGAGCACCAUAGCAUAUGUACAUGAAAAACUGUUUGAAUCUUACUGAUCCAAAUAUGAUUCAUUUGGCUUCCAUGUGGAUAUGGCAUAAAUUACUCUCCCUUUCCAUCCUUGUAGUAGCCAGGCACCAUCUUCAUCAGCUACAAAGUCCUCAUGGUAAAUCCCUUUCUUCAUAUUUAUUAUCUCUUUCAAGGUGGCUGGAUCGACAGGGAGCUGCUUGAACCCAGCCUUGAGGCACCGUGCUUGCCACUGCUUGUAACUUUCUGGCCUCUCAGUCCUUUCUGCACCCUCGCAUGCUAUGAUGUUAAGUGCUUCCUGCCCAAAGAGUCCCCCCUCUAUCAUCUUCCUCGCCUCGUUAUCCCGUGGAACAUUUGCAUCAAUCAUGUCAAACAAUGAAGAGUAAUGGAACAGAACCUCUUUGAAACGUGUGAUGAAGAAGGGAGAGCUGUAUGAUCCAUUGACAAUACCGAGAAUAAAAACCCUUGGGUUCAUCAUCCUCAUUAUUUUCAGCACCCUAUCCCUUGCGCUAUUCAUAGAUACCAUCUCAUCACCAAGAUUCUUCAUCCUGAACAUACAGUUGACUAUGAGCACUUCAUCCUUGUCAAUGUUCAGGUCCUCAAUUUGUACGGUUUCCCACCGUGAAGCAAUGCCCUGAUAUUGAAAAGGCACCUUGAACAAGUUUGCAUAAUCAGCCAACCGCUUCCCUGUCUCCUCAAUUAUUUCACAGGGGUGGAAACCUGGCUGGGGCAUAUCUAUACCUGUGAUCCUAAGCUUGGGUGGACCCCCUUCUUCAUUUGCAAGCCGCUGAAUCAAUGAUGGCCACUGAAAGCCAGUGCAAAUGCCGAAAUGAACAAUGUGCACCUUUCUUGGUUGCUGCCCCUUUGAUGCAUCAAGAAUAGUUUGGUUUGCAUAGGCGAAUGACGCCCUUUCGAAAGGGCAAGCUGAAAGGUAGAGGCUGUAAGCCUUCAACAAACUCUCAGCACUGGUUCGGCUUGCCAUGAGCUUGCGAUACACCUGGCUCCCGAUCCCAGCCAAGCGCGCCUCCAGACCAUCCACCAAGUAAAAUGCCAACCUCUGGUUACUAUCUCCAUCUGGUGAAGAAUGCUGUCUUAUCUUCUUCACUAGUUCACUGGCCGAAAUGCGGUCGUCAGCUGCUACUGCUUGUGCACAGUGGAUGAGGAGAUUCCUGAGAUCAACUACAUCCUUCUUGAGUUGUUUCAUACCCCGUAAUUUCCGUUGUGCAGAUCCUCUGGUUUGUCCAUUCAGUGAAUUCUUGCGUGCUUGCUUCGUCAUUAUUUUUCGAAGAUUUGAUGCUUCGGCGAAAUUCUCCACACCAUAGCAGAGCAGAACCCUGUCAAACAUAUCAUUCCGGAUUAUUUCACAGUAAGUGAUGGCAUAGCGUUUGCUGUUCCUCCCUUCCAAGAUAUCCAAGUCUGUGGUGUAAGGGCUGUGCCUUUGAUCUGUCAACUCAAAGAUUGCAUAUCUUUUCUUGUCUCCUACUUUUGCCUUCGUGGUCAUUUUUGAAAUGGAGAGCCCCCGGUCAGUGUCCAAAUCGAUCACCAACUUAUCAAUAAUUGGAACAAAUCUCUUUGCCUCCUCGGCACCUCUUCUAAUUUGGAAGCCAGGGAUGCCAAAGGUAGAAGUCCAGGCAGUGCUUACCAAGUGUUGGUUUGGAAGAAAAAGACUCCUGCCAUAGCUAUAUGGACUCAAUGGGGUUGGCAAGGGCUGUAACAUGUUGAAACUGGAAUGGCUACUAUGGUACCUAUUAUGAUAAUUGUUUCUGCUACUGCUCUCAUCAGGCGUAUCUGGUUCAUUUGCGCUAUGGAGUGCUAGCCGGUUUAGCGAUGGUGGAUAUACCUGGCCAAGAAUAUCAUAGAAGGGUUUCUCUGCAGCCUGAAGAGCAGCCUCCCCUUGGUGCAGGUCAACCCUCUCAUCGACGUCCUCCAUCAGCACCCGACUUAUGUAGCAAAGGGCAUCGCUUGAUCUGAUCCUCUGGUACCCUAGACUAAGCGCUGCAUCAAUCUGAAAUUGUUGUUGUCCAAGAUUACUUUUGUCAUUGCAAAUCCCAGGGAUGGUGACUGCACCUGACAAAUACGUUCUUGAUCCUGUGGUUGGCUGGGAAAACAGCUGCGGAUCGCUGGGGCUGUAGUUGUACAAGCUGAGUUGCUGCUGGGAAGAACAGGAAGACCCAUCAUGUGGCUGUUCUGUUUCUGUGGUGGUGUAUUGAUUGUCAAAGGGAAGCUCAAUCACCAUUUGUUUUUUUUUUUUUUGCCACCUGAAAACUGAAUGACAGAUAUAUCCUGUCCCACAGCAAAUGAAUUCAGUUUGUUGUCUGUAAAAGGGAAAGUGAAGCAAGUUUUGCAUGAGACAGAUUCUGAAUUCUUCUUCAUGAUCACGGAUACUCAAAAUUAUGUUCAGCCUACUCAUUUGGUAGAAUUCAGAACAUUUGCAUCCCCAAACCAUAGAAGGUUGUUUAUAAGAGGGAACCGCAACCAGUUAGCGCAUUAUUUCCUCACCCUUUUUUUCUUUGGAAAUUCAGCUUAUAAUUGAUUCGGUGUGAACUUCUAUGAAAACAAGCAAAACUAUGGUCUCCAGUAACAAAUUGAAUUGUGUUGCAUAAAUUACACAACAGUACACCUGAAGUACUCGUUUCUAACAUUCUGAAUGUUGAACUGCAGGAGGCUCCUGAUGGAAGAGCUCAAGAACAUUGUUGUCUGCUAAUUAUGGAAAACAGGCAAGUAGUUAAAGUAGACAAACACGCACCUUACUUAUCAGCAGUUCCAAUUCAGCAACAACAUCAUAUAUAGGUUCCUUGAGACACAGAAGUGAAGGAAGAGGGGCAUGGGCCAUGUUCAUUUCAGAUUAUAUAGAGAUCAUGUUGUCCCCAUGAAAUGAAGGUGGUUUUCCAAUUUCGGUAGCUAAUGUUUGGUAGUGAGACCAGUGUCGAUGUAAACUAAAAUCUUUGUAUGUAUCUUUCUUUCAGGGUUCAGAUUGCUCCACCGUUUUUUGGGGGGAUAUUCUUGAUGCAAUAUAAAAAAAGGCGAAUAUUAGGGAUGGCUUGAUGAUCUAAGGCUCCCGUACAUGUUUUUUGCGAGAAAGUAGCUAGCGAGCCCAGCUAGAAACAAUCCUUCUUCUUAAGAUAAUGAGCUAGGAACAUCCUUUUAUUUGUCCAUCUGUAGUUAACUACAAUGCCUUGGCAUCAAGAAUCUCCAAUCAAGAACACGUUCACACUAUAAUGUGUCUAGCAGCAGCUAGCAUCAUUAUCCUAAAAAAAUUUAGCUACAUACAUAAACAUUUAAAAGAGUAAAGUGUAUUGCUGGCACUUAAAUUUGUUCGUCUUAUCUAGGUCCUUGAUAUUGUUAAAGUGUAUUAUUUUGUUCUCAAAUUACCAUGACAUCUUUGAGAUCCUAUAUGGCACUCACGUGUCAAAUUACCACGACACCUUUGAGAUCCUAUAUGGCACUCACGUGUCAUGUCACACGGGUGUUAACUCAUUUUCUUUAUAUUUUUCUCUUUCCUUUUCUUCUCUUCUUCGUUCCUACUCGUGUGGGAAAAAAAUGAGAAAAAGAAAAAGAAAAUUUAGGACCGGAAUAUCCGUGUGGCAUGUCACUUUAGUGUCCAUGUGGCAUACCUUGUAGGAUCCCGAAGAGGUCUUGGCUAGUUAGGACCGGAAUAACACACUUAACAAGCUUGGGGAUUUAAAAAUACAUUUUAAGAGUUUGGAGAUCUGGGAUGUCAUUGAUAAACAAGUUUAGAGAUCGACAAUGCACGUUCGUCUUGUUUAAACAAGACAAUUCUAUUUUUAAGAUAAUAGAAGCUUAAUUGAGCUCAUCCAAUUACAUCAAAGUGAUAUAACUGUAUUGAGAACACUCUCGGACUUUGCAUAACUAAGUUAUGCAUAACCAAAAUACACACAAUGUGGUUUUAAAGUGAAAGCAAAUACAAAACACGGGGAGAAUUAAGGGCCAUCAAUCUUAAAACUAAUAAAUCGCUACCCACGUUUCUGGGUAAAAAAAAAAUUCCAUGCUCCAAUCUCUAACAUGCCGCAGUAGUAAAAUCAAUCUCGGUUUACCAUAUGCUAGCGACAGAGAAAGCAUGGUUAGUGUAGCUGUCUACCCAUUUUACACUUAGCUUCACUCAAUUGGACAGUCUACUGGUGACAUCGAUGAACUUACAUCCAACAACAUACUCCAUCCGUCCUUAAAAAACAAAUCUAGAAUUAGAUGUGACAUAUCGUAGUACUAUGAACCUAUAUAUAUCUAGGUUUAUAGUACUAUGAUGUAUCCUAACCGGUACUAGGUUGAUCUUUUAUAGGACGGAGGGAGUAUAUACUAUUUCGCAGAGCACACACUGGGAAAAAAAAAACUAAAACAUUAAAUUUUGGACCGAAAGACUAAAGCAUUUACGGCCCAAAUAAGCAGACGUGUGUAUCCGGCCCACUUAAAGGUUGGUUGGUCUCUUCUUCUUCCUCCUCCAUCCCCUUUGCCCUCCUGCUGCGCCGCCCCAACUCCGGCGCCGCAACAAAGCCAUGGCCAAGAAGCUCGGCAAGUCGCCGGUGGCGAAGGAGGAGGACAAGGAGGGGCUCUUCGCGUCAUGCUCCUUCACCGACCUCGGCCUCCACCCCACCCUCUGCGCUCACCUCCAAGGUAGUUUUUCCCCUUCGACAAGCCAUGGCUGGUUGGUUCUUGGAUCGAAUUUAGAGCAGACCAUUACCGAGUUGAUGUCAAAAUUUUACUAUUCUCCGACGCCUCUGACUGAUUUUAUUUUGUUAUCUCGUCCAACUUCCGUGACAAGUUUCACAGCAUGCUAGCAUAGGGUUUAUGAACGGAAAUGAAGAUAUAUAUAUUCUUUUUAUUAUAGCUUGGUAAUCAAACACUUUGGUCGUCUCUUUGAUUUAGAUAAGAUGGGCUUCCAAGCGCCAACAAGAAUCCAAGCUCAGGCAAUUCCAGUCGCCAUGUCUGGACAACACAUGUAUAUGCUCCUUUUUCACAAUACCAUAACUCCUUUGAUUCAGAGACUUCUUUUUUUUAUUUACAUUUUGUUUUUUGGACUGUCAAUUGCAGGCUAGUGAAGGCAGCAACUGGUACUGGCAAGACUCUUGCGUACCUUGCACCAAUUGUUCACCUUCUCCAGAUGAGGGAGCCUCGUGUUGAGAGAACUGAUGGAACUUUUGGUAACAAUAACUUCUUGUGAUCUGCUUAUGUUUCUUUUCAUGCAUUCUUUCAUUACCUAUGUUUUUCGUAUAUCCACCAUCCAUUUGUAAAACUUUUUCUAGCUGUGGAGACUAACCCUUUGCUAACUCUUUUGAUAGCUCUGGUACUUGUACCAACACGGGAGCUAUGCCUACAAGUUUAUGGGAUUGCACAGCAGUUGGUGCAUCGUUUCCACUGGCUUGUCCCUGGUUACAUAAUGGGUGGUGAGAACAGAGCAAAAGAAAAGGCAAGAUUGCGAAAAGGUAUAUCUUGUUCAAGGACAUAUUUUGUAUCUCAUUAAAUAUACUUUUAUAUAGCAUCAUAUAUUGAGGACAUGUUUAUUGCAGGAAUAUCAAUUCUAAUUGCUACUCCUGGGCGUCUUCUGGACCACUUACAACAUACGUCAUCAUUUGUCUACCCAAAUAUGCGUUGGAUAGUUUUUGAUGAAGCUGACAGGUCUGAUAGCCAUACAUUCAUUACUCGGUUUACCCUAUUUCUUAGAAGGUUUUUAAGUGAACAUAACUCUUUAUGUUAUUGGUGCUCAUAUUCUUGCAGCAUUCUUGAACUUGGUUUUGGGAAAGCACUAGAGGAUAUACUAGAGCACUUGGGUUCAAGGAAUGAUACUUCUAACCAAAAUAAAAACAAAAUGGAACCUAUGAAAAGGCAAAACCUUCUGUUAUCUGCAACUCUCAAUGAAAAGGUGAAUCGGUUAGCCAAGAUUAGUUUGAAGAACCCUGUGAUGAUUGGUCUUGACGAACAGAACUCCAGUGCCCAUGGGAAGAACCACACUUCUCUAUUAUCUGAUGAUGAAGAGGAAAUACUGGAAAAGCACAACGUUACAGUGGAACAAGCAGUUGACGAUUUCAAGCUUCCUGCACAGCUUGUUCAAAGAUAUGUUAAAGGUAGCAGAAAAUUGCCUCCUUAUAUCAUUUUAAGUCAUGUUUUCCCUUUGCUCACUUAGUUUUUAUAUUUCAUUCAGUUUCAUGUGGUUCAAGGCUCGCGAUUCUUCUUACCAUUCUUAAAUCUCUGUUUGAAAGACAACUGUCUCAUAAGGUAAAUUCUCUAUAUCCAGACCAGAAGCUGCUUCGGUUUCACUAUGUUGUAACUUUUCCACUUCAAGUUUUGCUUGCCACCAAUAAAUACUAAAAGUCAUGUGAGUUAAACUAUUCUGCGUUUGUUUGUGUCUUCUUUUUGCAGGUUGUUGUUUUCCUGUCAACAUGUGACUCUGUAGAUUUCCACCAUACAGUACUCAGCCAGCUUGAGUGGAGCCCUGGCCUGCAACUGGAUACGGAUAAGAAGCAAAAGUUUAUUAGCUGCAAAGUGUUCCGUUUACAUGGGAAUAUGGACCAGGAUGAUCGCAAGAAAUCAUUUCUGGGAUUCAGUUCUGAGAAAUCUGCAAUUCUUGUAUCUACUGAUGUUGCUGCUAGGGGCUUGGACUUUCCAAAAGUUAAAUGUAUCAUACAGUAUGAUUCACCUGGGGAGGCUUCUGAAUAUGUUCACAGGUACCUGAAGCAUCUCCCUGUCUAAAACAUUUAUUUGUAGGUUUCUGAUUUAUUGUUUCCAACAUAGUUAUAAUUGUAUUAUUUGAUUGUAUACGAACAGACAAAAUGUAUUGUUGCAGACUAAAGCACUUUACUCUUUACCUGGUUCCUUUUUAUGUGGUAGUAUUGUUCAUUGAUUUCCUGUUACAUGAGACUGUUUUUGUCAAAACUCUGCAAAGUUUUUAGUCUUUUGAGUGCUAUUCUGUCAUGUAAUUUCUUGUGAAGAUGUUAAGGCAUUUGAUGUAAGCUAAGCUAUAGAGACACUUUCUCUUGUGCUUCCCUUUUGCUAUUUAUGUUCUUUUUUUUGUUUAUUUCAAGUAUCAGCAACUUUAUUCGUUUAUUUUAGGGUUGGAAGAACUGCAAGGAUUGGUGAAAAGGGGGAGGCUCUCCUGUUUCUCCAACCUAUUGAAACCGACUACUUGAGAGAUCUAGAGCUACAUGGUGCAUCACUUACAGAAUACCCCCUCCAAAAGGUUUUAGACAGUUUUCCUGUAAAUGGACAGAGGCUUCACAAAAGGAAGCAAAUAUCUUUAGAUAUGCAUCCAUGGAUAAUGUCUUUACAGAGAGCAUUGGAAAGUUUUGUCACAUCCGAGGUAAUGUAUAGAACACAUUUUCGUUCUGUUUCUUGGUAUCAUAUUUGGCUACUCAUGCACAAUGAGAUAAAUAGUGCACAAAUAUGAUUCCGUUGAUCGUCUAUUGUGAAUACCAUGAGCUUUUGACCUUUUGCUGAUCUUAGCAAAUGCAUUGUCAUGUGUCCUCUUAUCCAGGACACGACGAAGAAGCUUGCAAGAGAUGCCUUCUGUUCUUGGGUGCGCGCCUACACUGCCCACCGAGGUGAACUGAAGAAGAUUUUUAUGGUCAAGAAGCUCCAUUUGGGGCAUGUAGCUAGAAGCUUUGGGUUGAAGGAGCAACCCUCCUUGUUGGGAAGGUCACACCAGGUGCAACUCAAGAAGAGGAAGAAAGAACAGAAGCGCGAAAGGCCUGCAAAAAGGAGGAAAAUCCCGGCCAAGAGAUGAAUCUCCAUAGCAGAAAUGCUUGUAACUCGAAAACUAAUGGUGGAUCAUGAUCCACUCCAAUUUUGUGGAACUAACAGCCGCAGCUUGAAGGUGAAAACAUUGACCCCAUGAAGCUUUCAUGUUUUGGCCAGAAGCCUAGAGAAGAGCUAGUGUACUGCCUGUAAUCUGAAAUGUAUCAAAAGACACAGAAUGUUUUGCUCAGUUUGGGAUUAUCUACUGCUCUGCUAGUUACCCAUUUUAAUCAGAAAUAUAAUCCAUGUGUUUCUUCCUUACGAUAUUGUUUGCUCAAAAUAUUAUCCAUGUAAAAACUGGAUUUGUUAGAAAGGCUUAUUGGCUGGAUGCAAUUGAAUGAUACAGUACAAAUGUUCUAACUCGGUAAGCACGUUUUUCAGACAAGCAAUGUUCUACCUCAUUGAGUUAAAACCAUACUAUCAAAAUUACAUUGGGACUCUGAAAGGAAACAACAUUACUGCCUUUAACGGUUUUCAUAAUACAAAGUUUGCUCUAAAUGGCCCCCUUAAUCUACACUGUUCUGGUGAUUCCUUCCUGACCAAACAUGGUGCACAAACUUCCAUCCAUGGGCAACAUGUCAUCAGAGGAGCUUCUCAAAAGUGAACCAAACUGUAUAUGAGUGUCCAUGAAAGCUGCAGCAAAAAGAAGCAAAUUCAGUUUCGAACCAAAACAAACGGAAACAGGGUAGUUACAGAAAUUGGUUAUGUUUUUCUUUUUACCAGGAAAAGAGUGAAAGAGGCAAACAUUCCCUCCUGAAGUAGUGCUCCAUGGCCUCCAAAGUCUUCCUCAUCAAUCUUCAACAGGUAUGCAUAGUACCAGUAAACGAGCCCAGUAGAAAUAGUCACAAACCUGUGUACAAUAUAUGUCAUAUGUUAAGAGGAACAUAUCAAAAGCUCAGAUGCUGGUAUUAAUUAACGAUCUUUACAGAGUUCACUGUGCCAUACAGAAGAAAGAAAACAGUAAUUACUGAAAGUAUAAUAAUGAAACAAUAAUUACAGUAAUUCUGUGCAAGGUAUUGCUUACUAGUGUCAUAUAAACAGAAAUAAUUACUGAUAAUUCUGCAUAAAUUUUCAGGGUACUCAGCUACCGACAGGUUCGAUAAUCAUGCUUGCAAUGUACUCCAGGCCAAAUUAAAUUGUAUUGCCAAAAGCUCAUCUUAAGUGAUACAGCACAUGAAUCUAAAGAACCUAGUAGCAUUCACAGUUUCACACACUAAUUAUACUAAAUUCAAGAUGGAUGUUUGCGCAUGCUUGCUUAUAGCUUCAGGGUCUUCUAAUUAUCAGCAAUUAAAGGUUCAACGCACAGUUAAUCUUCACCGAAGAUAACCUAAAUGCAUCUAGGGCAGCAGAUGUGCACGUAUCAUCGAGCUAAGAUCUUGCAGUUACAGGUGUCAAAACAACCAAAAUCCACACCAAAGCAAAAGGUGGAUUUUGUAGACAAUGACCUCCUGUAGCGCAGAUCCCAAUUCCCAACUAAAAAGCAGAAAAGUUAUUAACAUAUGAUAAAUCUGAUCCCCUAUCUGCACUACAAUUGAACUCCUCAAUGUGAGGAAGAGACUCAACAAGACACAUCUGACUACAAAUCCACGAAUCCAGCAUAGGGCGAGAUGGGAUUGGAGGCGUGAGCAACUCACAGUGCGAUCCAGAUGGCGCCGACGAGGGGGACGGCUCCCCAGAGCAGGCCGCAGGCGAGGCCGAGCACCUGCCGGAUCCAGUGCACGGCGUCCAGCAGUUGAUCCUUUUGCAAAGGAGAGCCCAGCCAAGCAAGCAUCCAUCAGGCAAGGAGAAUCCGGAGGCCGCCAUUAAUGGCGGCAAGAAGGAGGAGGAGGAAGUAUACCUUGUCCCAGGAGGCCUCCGGGUCGAAGUACCUGGCGAGCUUGGAGUGUCCGGCGCCGCCGUUCUGCUGCGCCUGCGCGCGCGACUGCUUCGACGGCUUCGUCUUCCUCAUCUCGCUCGGCGGCGGCGGCGGCGGCGGCGGAGAUGGGAUCGCGAGGGAGCAGUCAACAAGUCUAUGGAUGGAGCUGGUUUGGUUGGUGGCGAUUUUGCAGAUGCCUCCUUGGAAAGUUUGGAUAUUGCAUUUACGUCCCUACUAGUGAUGGUCGGCUAAUGAUUGGUCCAUCAUUAACAUGUCAUCUCAUUACGUGCAAACAUAGAAAAAUAAGAGUAAAUUUUAUAAAGCUGUAACUUUAGUGACAAAACUAUCAGUUUGCUGCAACAAUAGCGUCGGAAAUUAUCACAAAGCUGUAACUUUUACGUUAUAUUGUCACCUAUAUGUACUAUAGCAGCAUAUAACGUAAAAGUUACAGUUUUGUGAUAAUUUCCCACGCUAUUGUUGCAGCUAAUUGAAGCAUGUCACUAAUGUUGUAGCAAACUGAUACGGAGUAGUUUUGUUACUAAAGUUAUAGUUUUCUGAAAUUUACUCUAGAAAUAAAAAUAAAAAGCUCUUUAUCAAAGCCUAAUUUCGAGCAUGAGAAUUAUUCCAGAUUACAAAAUUACAGAGUUUCAAUGAAUUUUCUACUAUGGAUCAUUGGAGAGCAAGCCGAGAGGACACAUCUUUCACAAAAUCAGUGGGCGAAAUUACAGCAGUUCACCUCUUAAAAAAAAGAGAGAGAAAAUCCCAUAAUAACACUAUAACAGUUCAGUACAUUGGAUAGAAGUACACCAUGAGAUCACUGCUCGCUAAACAAGCGAUUCAUUUGAUAAGGGAAGUACUAACACACAACGCCAUCAAGUACAAGAUCUGACAAGAUAAUUUGAAUCAUACAUACAACCGGCAAUGAGUUCCCUGACAGUUGAUGAAUUAUUUGAAGAUAUUACUUUAGUUACUUUCUUGGAUCUACAAUGCUUGAUCAGUUAAAGAGCCAGUCUGCUCAGGUGACAACAAAUUGCCUCAGCUGACAACUCACCUGAUUCCCUGCAGGAACAAUGUGAAAAUUGUCAAGAUUCAUUAUCCGCCUUUCACUGUGAUUAGUAGUAUCACUUAUCAUUCAUGCAUAGAAUGCAAAAAAAUAAAUAAAUAAAUAAAUAAAUAAAUAAAAUCACAUAUCCAUGUUGUUGUCUGCCUUGAAAUAUGAUACAUCAUGCACAUAAAUUUGGAAUGCUCGAAAUGUUAUGGAUAGGAUAAUGGCCCGAAAAGAACUUCCAAUAAGCAUGGUGCAAAAUUCAGUGACAGUUGUUCAUCUAAGGAAUUCAUAUGUAAGAUUGCAGAUUGCAAUUCUUCCUGACAGGGUACUAACCCAGUAGUAAAAACCAUCCUUGACUAGCCUAAAAGGUGUAAACCUCAAUGAUCAUUCGUACCAAGUUUUGAAUCGCCUGAAUGCAAAGUUCACAAGAGCCUAGGAAGGAACCAGCAAAGCCCUAUUAGGCUAUUACUACUAAAAACUCAACUUGUGCAAAAGAGCAAAUGUGCAUCAAAGCAAAAGGGCAUAUUGCCUCCAUGAAUAUGCAUAAUCAAAAUGGUUCUCCCACUCAGCUAUAACAUCUGUGGGAAGUGAGUAGAACAUUCUAAACUGACACUUGAGCCUCACUGCUAUUUUGGCUCCUCAAAAUAUAAUCAGAAACUGGAAACAAAUUUUAGGAGAAGAGAUGGUUACCACAAAAUGUGGGGAGCGCCGCACAAUAGAUACCGCAGAACCAGGAGAUGCUGCUGAUAGGGCAGCAGCUCCUCUUUUAGAAGGUAGAUUCCGCCCCUUGUUCUUACUCUGAGAAAGACUCUUAUCAAGAACAUUUUCAGUUCUAGAGUCAAGUGGCAUUAACAUUGGAGGUGAAACUGGUAUAGAGGAAGCAUCUGGACAAACAACUGAACUCAUGAGAAGACCUCCUGCGGAAAUCAGUUGCACGAGUUAGAUUACAACCAAAAAAAAGGAAGCCUGUGUGCAUAAAUAUGGGAGCAAACAAAGGAUCGGUACUAUGAGAAAAGGGAGGAUGAGAAGUCAUGAAGGGAGAGAAAACUAGUCAUGUCUACAGUGCACAUUAUGGCCAGUUGCACGGCAAUGCAGCUGGAGCUGAGUACACAGCGGCUUGGAGGAGAGUCGUAAUUUUCCGUGAGAUGGCUGUUAAGUGUUAACAGGGAAGCUUAUGGGUAAUGCUUAGGAGUAGAUCAAUUACAUAGCAUAUUUAUGUGGUUCCAGUACUUGAUGGCAAUCAUGGCAUAUCUGUAGUUUGGUAAUUAGAUCAAUCUGCUAAGGAUAUGGCAUAUUUAAAAAGGCUAUUGUGCCACUUGGGUUGAGGACACCUCAGUUAGGACUAAAGGCCCUAUCCCCUAAUCCCUACCAUGUUCAUUGCAACGACAAUUCAUACUGACAGUUAAUGUUCAGUACCAUUCACAGUAGCAGCCUCAGCCUGGAACCUUUCUCUGACGAUUCUUACAAACUUGAACAGAUCGUUAGUGAGGUUCAAAUCCUUCAUCAACUCUUCAGAAUCUUUUAUACUUGGAUCACAUUGAAGUACUGUUGUUAGGAAAAAAAAAGAUAAUGUCAAGUACAGCUCAAAAAAUCAAGCAUUCAAGACACUUGGCCAAGUUUCAUGAGGAACUUCAACUCACAGUUAUAUCGAUCUUUGGCAAGCUUUAAGGUAACCGAGUACUCCUUAUCAGGGCUUUGCAAGUCUAUUUUGUUGAAGAUGAACUUUACACCUUGAGGAAGAACAGGGCAAAUGCCAUGAAAGAUGGAAUUGGCAUAAUUUAGGGGCGAUUCCUUAUAUUCCUCAGUAAAGUUCACUUCAUCCCCUAUGUGCCACUGUUGUCCCAAUGACAUGUGGGCUUUAAACCCACGAGUCAGUGAGCUGAUAAGUGGCAUAUAAAGGAUAAGAUGAAAUUUAAAAGGCAUAAGGAAUUUAUCCCAUAAUUUACUUGAACAUUGAGCUGAUUCAUCACUCACCUUCUCCUCCAACAACCUGGAAACCAAGGAACUUGCUGUACCAGAUUACAGCUUCUUCUAUUUUCUUCAUCCGUGUUUCAUCCUCAAUAAACUUUGCUUCAAGAGCUUCAACAGCUGCCACAGUACAUGAAGUAUAUCACUAUCGUAUGAACACUAUAUGUGCACAGUUCAAGAAAGACAUUUUCUAAGACUAGCAAUAUAAUGUUUUGAAAAACCUUAAAUAAGCCACAGCAACAAAAAAAAAAAACCCAAAACAUAGCCCUAAAAUGAUAGGUAAGUUACCCUCGAGGUGAUUCGAUAUGACUGCAGCAUGGUGAUCUCUCUUGUUCCGCUGAUCUGUAACCAUGCCCUCAAGCUUCUCAUUUAUAGCCGCAGUGCUUGAAAUCGUCUCUUUGGUAAGUUGGUACUUUGACUCCUUGCCGGCCUUAACUGUAAAUACAGUUUACACCAAGAUUUCAGGCAUACCAUGAACCAUUUGGCAGCGAAGUGCAGUUUAAUUUACCAGACAAUGCUUCUGCAAGACCAUCUUCCAAAUUCCGCAACUGAAGGUUGAGUCCACUCAGUUCCUCUGCACCAUCCAAAAUGUUAUGAAAAUAAAUGCACAACAGAAACACAAAUUUUAUCGUCGAACACCCUUACAGGAAAAAGACCAUGGACACCGACUGGCAAUGAUCAAUGAUCACUAUUGAGGUGCUAAAAACGCAGGGGAUAACAAGGCGGACAACCCCUUCCCAUAUGGCUUACAAGGGAUAUAUAAAGGAGAAAUGUAGGAGCCCUAACAGAUAAAAGAUUAGAAGUCCUACUAGGAAACUAUAAGAGAAAACGAUAAUCCUGUAAUACAAAGUCCUAUUAGGAAACUCAUCGGAAUGUAUUGCUAGCUGAAAUUCAGCAAUAUUUAACACAAAAAUUUCAGCACUCAUCGGAGGGGAAACCGGGUAGAGUUACUUCAAUUCACUCAAAUUCAAUUCACAUUCAGUACCAAGUACCAACCACAUUUUCCAAAUAAAAUAAAAUCGAAGAUACAUCAGACACGCGUCCAAAGUUCAUUUCGCACAAAAAAAAAUGGGGGGUGUUUAUUGAAACGAGAGAGAUUGAGGGGGUGGGGGGAGGGAUUAGGGGAGGGCGUUGCCUUGGCGGGAGAUGGUUUGACGGGCGAUGGAGCGGGAGGAGAGAAGCGCGGCGCGGUAGUUGGCGGAGGUGGAAGCUUGGCGCUCCCUUUCGACGGCCAUCCCGCGCUGGUACGCCGCCAGCUGCGCCGCCAUCUGCCGGCACAGCUCCGCCCCUCCUCCUCCUCCUCGUGUGCCGGCGGCGGUGCCUCCGGCUUCCAUGCUACCAACUCCCUGGGCACUGGCGGCGUCCGGCGUCGGCGGCGGAGGGAUCGGCGGCAGCCGACGGUGGCCGGAGUGCGGGUUGAAGUGAGGAGUUCGAACCCAAAAUUUGUGAGAAGAAAUUUCUCCUUUUUGGUCUGAGAAAGAAGAAGAAGACAAAGCGGGAUCCAUUCCAUUGUGUGGGCCUUUUUGUGAAGCGUAUUGGGCCUCAUAUUGGGCUUAGGCCCAGAUCAUCUUGAAGAAGAGCUGUGCUUUUACCCAUUUUGAAGGCUAAAUUUGACCAUAUUUUCUCCACUUUACUCAUUUGACUCUACAUUUCAAAAAUGAAGUUAUUGUCUUAUCCUAUUCUCUGAAGCAAGUUAACGGUGUUGAGACUAGAGCUCAAGGUCAAAAUGUCAUUUAUGCCCUUGCUUAUUUGACACUACUUUCUCACAGGUUCUGUUCAUUUGGUUCAAUUUUGUGCCCUUACUGUGUAGUAUAAAAUUUGUAAUGAAAUGACAUAUCUCUGGCAGUUUAACUGAAUUUGACAUAUCCGUGACAAAGUUGACUUAGAUGUCACAAAAUCUGUGAAAUCUAAGUGAAACAAAACCUAUUAUAUUGUUAAACGAAUAGAAAAAAGAGCCUCCACGUUCGCUCUCAUGGCCUAGAAAUUCUCACAUUAAUCGGAGAAAAAGAAAAAGCAGAGUCCAUAUAGAAAUACAAUUUAGAAAUAGUUGAAAUUCAGAAUUAAAAAAUAAGAAAUAUUAGAAUAGGAGACUAGAGUCCAUAUAGAAAUACAAUGUUGAAAUAGUUGAAAUUCGGAAUUAAAAAAUAAGGAAUAUUAGAAGAGGAGAAUAGAGUCCAUAUAGAAAUACAAUUAGGAAAUAACUGAAAUUCGAAAUUAAAAAUAAGAAAUAUUAGAAGUAGAGUAUAGAGUCCAUAUAGAAACACAAUUAGGAAAUAAUAGAAAUUUAGAAUUAAAAAUAAGGAAUAUUAGAAAUAGAGUAUAGGUCCAUAUAGAAAUACAAUUAAGAAAAAAAAAGAAAUUCGGAAUUAAAAAAUAAGGAAUAUUAGAAGUAUAGUAUAGAGUCCAUAUAGGAAUUUAAAACUAACUAAAAUUUAGAAUAAACAUAAUAAAAUUAAAAGUAGAGUUUAGAGUCCGUAUAAAAAUACAAUUUACAAAUAACUAAAAUUCGAAAUUAAGAAAAACAUGGGAAGAUAAGUUUAAAGUCAAUAUAGGAAUACAAUUUAGAAGUAACUGAAAUUCAAAAUUAAAAAUUAAAUAAUAUUGAAAGAUGAGUUUAGAGUCCACAUAGAAAUACAAUUAGAAAUAAUAAAAAUUAAGAAUAUUGGAAGAAGAGGAUAGAGUCUAUAUAGAAAUACAAUUUACAAAAAAUUCGGAAUUAAAAAAAAGAAAUAUUAAAAGACGAGUAUAGAGUCCCUAUAGGAAUAUAUAUAAUUUACAAAUAACUAAAAUUUGAUAUUAAAAAUAAUUAAUAACUAACACAUAUAUAAAAUACAAUAUGAAUAUUACACAUUAGUAAUUUUGUAAAGUUAUUGCAAAAUUUAAAAUUAUGUUGUCAUUUUAAUAUAUUUGAAUAAUAUAAUGACAAAACAUAUAUGUUAUUAUAUGAGAGAAAAUAUAAUGAUGCAAGCCGCGCAAAAUUGCGCGGGCCACCAUGCUAGUUAAAAAGAAAAACAAAACCUUUGAGAAAUUAGCAGUUCCAAAAAAAAAAUCCAACUGAAGCUGGAUGUAUGACAUAGGAUCGCCCAAUACCGGAAAGAUGGAAAGGCACAAAAUUAACAAAUUCUGCUAAAGAAUACCAACAAAACAACCACAAGUCGUAGAGCGAAGCGAUGCGAGGGAUGAUUUCCAGUCGGCCACAAGAUCGAUCAAAACCUGUGAUGACUGACGAGACAAAAAUGAAAGAAACACAGCCAAUUCAUCAUCAUCGAAGAAGAAGAAAAUGGAUAAGAUCGUGUGGUGCAGAGUGCGCGGGAGAUACAAGUGCGGAAGCAAUCGCAGCCACAGCCAUUUUUUGUGUACACGUAGACGUCUCCUCCUCUUUCUUCUCCAUCUCCACGUUUUUUGUUUUAUUUAUACUACUCCCUGUUUUUUAGUUUUAUUUAUAUUACUCCCUGUAUUUUAGUAUUUUAAUGUAUAACGCCGUUGACUUUUUAAUCAACGUUUGACCAUUCAUUUUAUUUAAAAAUGUUAUGUAAAUAUAAAAAUAUUUAUGUUAUGCUUAAAGAAUAUUUGAUGAUGAAUCAAAUCACAAUAAAAUAAAUGGUAAUAAUAUAAAUUUUUUAAAUAAGAUGAAUAGUCAAACGAUGGAUAAAAAAUCAACGGCGACGUCGUGCAUUAAAAUAUGAUAUGAAGGUAGUAUUUAAUUUGCUUUUGUUUCCUCCAAGCAACCACCACCUCCACUGCGCCGGCGUCACUACCGACCGCCGUUGAGUCGUCGUCGUAAAUAUCCCACCUCUCCUCUCCGGGGCAGCCACACGCCCCUACCUCCAAGCUUGGAGAGACUGGAGCCAUGGCUACUGCCGCCCCGCCGGCGGCUUCCGGUGCCCGACGCCUCGGCCGGCCGCGGGCGGGGCUGCGCGUCGGGGCAGUGGCGGCGGCGGAGGGCCCGUCGUGCCUGUACGUGGGGCCCAUCGAGACGGCCAGCCAGGAGAUGCUCGAGGCGCUCUACCAUCAGGUUCCUUCACUUGCUUGCUGCUUAUCCUCUUAUUUCCUGCUCAAUCAUUUUCUUAUACUGCCAAUAAAUUCACCCCCUAUACGUGUUAUCUUGCUUGAUGUUGUAACAGUCCCCAAAUGCUUAUCCCUUAAUGCAUAGAAAUGUUGGAAUAUAAAGUGAAUUGUCCGUCUUUCCUCAUCAGCAACACAAUAAGAAGUAAUCACCAUCUUGUUGUUUUUUCUCUAUUGCUGUUUUGAUAGGCCAGGGAUUCCUACUACAGCGGCCAGCCUUUGAUUGUCGAUGACAUGUUCGACAAAGUUGAGGUAUAAUUCUUCUAAUCUUUUCUCUAUCUAUAUAUUCAGCAUAUAUGUACUCACUACUCAGCUCAGCUAAUAUGAUUCAACAUGUAAGGCUUUAAGAUGUGUAACAAAUUGUAUAUCCAUGCCCAGUUGAAGCUCCGGGUUUAUGGAUCCCCAUCCGUAGUGAAGUAUCCCCGUUGCAGCCUCAAGAGGCAAUCGACGUACGCAGACGCUGAGGUUACCUUUUGGGAGGGAAACAAAUUCAGUAUCUCUACAUUUGAUCUCACGACUCUGGCAAUACUUUCGACUUACAGUCCGAUGUUUCGAUUGGCUUUUGGGUGUAGGGCAGGAGGACAAAUCAAUGUUCAUGGCACUCUCAAGCAUCUGGAUGCUGCUGCUCUUGUUUGGCACAUCGGCAUUUCUCGUUCCCUCUCUCUGUAUUCUAAGCCUCACUUUUGGGGAUGCAUUCGGAGCAAGGUAUCUCUUGUAUGGUGCAAAAUCGUUUGAUGUGAUAACUAGGGUAAAUGACAUGGUUUUAAUCGGAUUGGGCUAUCUGAUUGGUUAUCCGAUUUCAUCUGCAUCUGGUAAGGGAACUUCUUUGUAAAUAUUCCGCGGUACAAGGAUUUCGUGUUCCCUGAUAUGCCAUGUUGGCCACAUGGUACAAUUUUUAUGCGUUGAUUAAUCAUCUUCUUAUUUUUGUUCUUUCAGUUGGUGCACUGCAAGGCUUGCUGACAAACAAUUUGGUUGCACUAAAAGGUUCUUGCCCAAAUUGCGGUGAGCAGGUCAGCUUCCUUCUACAAGUAGCCAAUUUGAAUGUUUAUCCAUAUUUCAUGAAGUUCAUCUUUUCGGUCAUCUAAAGUGUAACCUGUUCCUGCCAGGUCUUUGCAUUUGUCAAGACGGAUAAUUCCAUCAAAGCUCCCCAUAGAGCAGAAUGUCAUGUCUGCAGCUGCCCACUGGAGUACCGCACUAAAGUUGAGGUAUGCCAAAAACAACAAUGAAGAACAAAUAGCUGAAUGAAAAUGUCUAUGACAGUAAAUGGCUUGGUUUCAGAGUGCCAUAUGGUAUAGGAGAGGGUGAUCAUUUUAGAUUUUGGUGCAUGCUGUAUGUGUAGUUUGUGACUCUAAAGAAACAAAACGGAUAAUGUCUACUUUCUUGACAUUGUUAUCCAGAAAUCCUUGUCGGGAACUAGAAGAACAUGGGUUUAUGGCAGAGUUUAUCUUGUGAAGCAAGGGCAUCCAAGGAAGCGGAAAUGGUUGAAAGACUAAAUUGCCAGUGCUAGAUGCUGAAGAAAGUUUAGAGGAUGAUUUUAAGUUAUGUGGCUAUUCUGAACUUCUGAUUGACUGAAACAUAUUUAGAGAUGUUGCUCUUACUGCUCCAAUGUGCUUAUUUGUUUCUCUGUUCAACCAAUGUAUCUUGUAAAGUGGUAAAUUCCUUGGAAAGAUUGCCAAACAUGAACAAAUGUUAAAUUGAUGAUGCAGUAUUAUGAAUAAUGGCGUGCCUUCUCAUAUAUUUGUUCAUUAGAAAUUUAUCUUCAUACAUGAAGUAUGAAUGGCAAACAGUGGUCUGUUAAGAGCAAGUUCAGUAGGAUCGAAUUUGUUCACUAGAUGUUGGACACUAAUAGAAAAUCAUUUAUCCUGUUCGUUCAGCAAAGUUGCAGAUAAAAAAUGUCAGACAGAAUCAUAUUCUUAUUGCUUUAAAUCGCACUAAGCAUACUAUAUGUAACCAAAUCAUUUCUUUUUUCUAUUCGAAGAGAACAUUCAUCCAAAACUGGUUUCAGAGGGGAAGAUCUAGAACUCAAAAAUAUGAUCUGGGGCAGCUUGUAGAUUUAAAAAUCAGGAAAAACUGGAUCUGGGCACAUCUGUUGCCUCGAACAAAAAUUUCGCAGCAUUAGAACUAGAUAUAAACUGUACAAUCCACAAUGCACUGAACUGAAUGCAUGCAGAUAUAGGCGACCACAUACUUUUUACUUCAGACAAGACUCUGACUAGAAGCUGCAAAAACAACUAAAACAGGCAAGCACCAAGGAUUCACAACUCUCCUCUUCUUUACAGGUCCCUCUAAGAGCCUACACUACUCAUCUCAACAGAUCUAUAUCUGAUCAUAUGAUAUAUGAUUGUUCACUUAAACCAGCCUCGCAUUUGCGGGCUUCCCCUUCGAUGACGGUUUCGAUCCAUUGCUGCCUGCGUUCUUGCUGCUGGACUUCUUCUGCAGCUGAGGAUUUGCCCCUGUCUCCUUGGAAUCCUGGAGCUGUUCUAAUACAGCAACAACCUGCUCCAUGUUAGGCCUGUUCUUGGCCUCCACAGAGAUGCAUUGAAGUGCCAGUGUUGCAGCCUUCUGGGCCUUGGCAAGGGAGUACUGCCCGCCCAACCGGGCGUCCAGGAUGCGGAAGAUGCGCCGCUUGCUCAUCAGGUAUGGCCUAGCCCACUCCACCAGAUUGUGCUCCCCGGUUGGGCGGUUCUUGUCCAGUGCUCGUCGUCCUGAUAGCAUCUCUAGCAGCACAACUCCAAAGCUAUAGACGUCGCUCUUGGUGGUCAGAUGGCCUUCACAACAUACAGAGAAAUGUGUCAGUUAAUUCAAUAAUAGCCAAAUCACUCUAUGUUUGGCACCCAGAUGCCAGCAAGGGAACCAUAGAUUGACAGUAAACACGAUGUGUAAUGAAGCUCAAAUCUUUGUCGUGCAUGUUCAUUCAUUGUGAUGAAAUGAUUACAUUCUAGGAUUCAGAACAUGGAAGUAAUAUGCUACCUGUUGCAAGGUAUUCUGGUGCAGCAUAUCCAUAAGUCCCCAUCACCCUUGUGGAGACAUGGCUCUUGUCACCAGUCGGUCCAUCCUUUGCCAGCCCAAAAUCAGAGAGCUUUGCAUCAUAGUUCUGAAAAUACAGUCUGUCUAUCAGAUCACCAGUUAAGCUAUCUUGUGAACACAAAGGAUAAUAGUUCUGAGGACUCCGUACCGCAUCCAAAAGGACAUUAGAGGUCUUGAAAUCACGGUAGAUGACUUUAACCUUGUCACUGUGGAGAAAUGCGAGCCCUUUUGCUGCUCCAAGGGCAAUUUUCAUCCGAAGGUUCCAGGAGAGCGGCUGAAAAUGCGUACUCCCUGCAUUUUACAACACAUUUUAGCAUGUUGUAUUCCAAAUUGUAAAUCAGAAGCUAGCAACUAGGAAAGUACAAAAAAAAACUACUUACUCCUGAAAAGAUGAUUUUCCAAGCUACCACGUGGCAUGAACUCAUAAACAAGAAGACGCUGCUCAUCUUCGACGCAGUACCCAACGAGCCUUACAAGAUAUGGGUGUGACAACUGUCCAAGAUAAUUCACUUCAGCCUGCACAAAUUGAAAGGAAGAUAAUGUCAUACACAGUGCAAACUUGACAGGAAAGAAUCAGCCAGUGGGUACUAACCAGCCAUUCCCUGUGACCCUGGUGGCCUUCCUGAUUCAACUUCUUUACAGCAAUGACCAUCCCUGUGCCUGGCUUAGUUGGUGCGAGCGUCUUCUCAUCGAUCCACCCUUUGAAGACUGAUCCAAAGCCUCCCUCACCAAGCACACUGUCUGGCCGGAAGUUUCUGGUGGCAGUCCUCAGCUCAUUGAAGGCAAAGGCCUUGACAUUUGCUGCCUCCAGGAUCUCAUCCUCGCUCCGUGGUGUUGGCGGCACCGAGGCUGCAGACACACUGGAGUUGCUAGCAUACUUGGAUGUCCCCCCUAAACAACAGAAGACAGUACAAAUUUUCAGGCCGUGGUCCAUUAGAUUUUAGCCUGAUCAAGUUGUUGUUUCUUUGCUUGGUUUGGGUAUUAAAAGGCAAAAACUUCACAGAUAAGUUAAGAGGUUGCACCAAAAGUAUUGAACUUUCUGCAUAAUACAGUCAAUAACAUUGAAAAAAAAGCACGCAGAUUUUGGUAGAAAGUAGCACCAAAAUUAGAAUUUUCCACUUAGCCUGAUUUGAGCUUCUGCACUUGGAACGAACAAAUACUAGCAACAAAGGAAAAGUCAGAUAAAGUUAUAUGUGCGUUUCCAUUGGAAGCUUCCUUUCCUACUCCUAGUCUGGAGAAGGAGAAGAAUUGAGCUUUACGCAUGAAACAAAUCCAAGAAGAGCUCAAACUAGAACUUAUACGCACGCACUACCAGUGCUAGGAGACAAGGCAUGUGAUUGGUGACCCUAAACAGCCUGUAGGAAGCCAUUAAAAAGGGGAUUAAAUUAACAUAACCUAUAGUCCUAUACUAGUAACACACAAGUCAGACACAAUUACACAAAUCACAAAAUUCCCAACACAGAGAUAUGACUGAUUGAUUGGAUACUUCAGAAAUUUUUUUUAAAAAAAAAACUAAAGGAAAAAAAAAGGAAUAAACAUAGCAUACAUGUCUAGAUUCUAAUCACCAUAGUAAGAAAUGCUAUAUGGAGGAAGGAAGAAGAGAGGAGAAAGGUGAGACGCACCAGAAGGGGAGGAGGCGCUGCGGCAAGGGCUCUCCGAGCUGAUCUUGGCGCCCCAGCAAUUCCCCAUGGCGAAAAUCCACCACCACCAACAACAACACCUUCACCUCGGAGGUAGUAGAGCCCAAGAAGCACCACACCUAACUCACAAAAAGACGCCUCCUUUUCGCGGGAAUCGAAUCGACAAAGGCUCAAGAACGAGAGGCCAGCACGGCACAGAAGCCACAAGAAGCGAUCAGAACAGCUGAAAUCGAAUCACGAACCAGGACACCUGCUCUCCUCUCCGGCUCCUCAAAACUAAAUCAACUACCUACUACUCCUCCCAAUCCUCUCUCUGUUCUUCUUCAAGGAGAUACGAGAUAGAGAGAUAGAAAUAGAUACAGAUAGGAGAUGAGAGGGAGGGGAGCAAGAGAUUUGUACUAUGGAAGAAGUUGGGAUGAAUGGAUCAAAGGAUUGGUGGGAGAGGAGAUUAAAGGGGAUAUGUAUCUGUGACUCUCGUGCUUGCCUGCCUUAGCUGAGGGACUCAACUCUGUUGACCUUUUGAGCAUGAGAGCGACGCACAGCAUGCAACCAUCAGCUGCUGCCUUUCGAUUUCUUUCUCCUUCUUCUAGAAUUCUACUCGAAAGAAAGAGGAAGGAGGAGAGGAAGAUGAAGAGGAGGAGGAAGCCAUUAAUGGUGGUUGGGGAAGAAGGAAAAAGCCUUUGCAGGCUUGUAGCCGCCAUCCUCAACCUCAACCUCUUGUGGCGUCCCUACCCACGCUCUAUGACAUGUGGGGCCCACUGCGAAGAUGCCGAUGGAUCUGAGCCGUCGGAUGGGCAUCCAACGGAUGGAUUCGUGUUCUUUUUUUUUUCUGUUUUGCUUGGCUGCAGGGAGACUGGAGGGACAGGUCAUGUAUCUAGGCAACAUAUCCUAUGCACACAGGCCCUCACGUGUACACACGUACACACUAACUAAAAAAUGUCACCAAAAAAUCUAGAAAAAAUCAUACACAUACUUUCAAUUGUAUUACACCUAGAGUUAAAAUAUUAACGUCAAAUUUAUUAUAUUUUAGCCGUAACAAAAAAACAAAAAAUCUGACAGUUUUAAGGUUGUAAUUUUAUCAGAAUUUUAUAUUUUUUGUUAUUCUCUAUGUAGAAUGAAUUUGAAGAUGCGACUUUGCACGUAGAUAUAAUACUAUUGAAAGUACAUGUAUGAAUUUUCCUAAAAUUUUUUUUGAUAAUUUUUAGUUGGUGUACACGGUGUGUACACACGAGGGCCUGUGUGCAUAGGAUACGCUCCACGAGGGCCUGUGUGUAUAGGAUACGCUCCCAUGUAUCUAACCUGAGUUGAGUCAGCAUUGAUAUGAUCAUGUGUACACACAUGAAAGGUUUGUUUCAACAUAUUUUUGUAUUCUAAUAAAUGUGAUUCAAUUCUAUCGGGGUAGCAACAAGUAAAUCGGAACAAAACUUGGCAUUUCGGCACAUCUACCAUAUCACGCGGAAAGGGACGAUGGAUGAGCUACCUGUAUAUCGACUAGAAAACUAACAAGUGUCCAUAGAAGUCACGUGCACCAUUCUAUUUUUAAAACGUGAUUAUUUUUCUUAUUGAAAAUUAGUUUAUUAUAAGCAUAUGUGGUAUAUCAAAAAUGUAAAGAAAUUUUUUUAUGACAACAUUUUUGUAUUCUAAUAAAUGUUAUUCAAUUCUAUGAGGCUAGCAACAAAUAAAUCGGAAUAAAACUUAGCAUUUCGGCACAUCUACCAUAUCACAUGGAAAGGGACGAUUGAUGGGCUACUUUUAUUCGACUAAAUCAACAAACUGUACAUAGACGUCACAUAUAUAGUCAUAUACCAUUCAAUUCUUAAAUUUGAUUUUCCUUAUUGAAAUUUAGUUAAUUAUAAGCAAGCAGUAUAUCAAAAUUGUAAAAAAAAAAGUUUAUGAAAACAUUUUCGUGUUCUAAUAAAUGUGGUUCUUUGUAACGUGGUAACAAACAAAUCGAAAUAAAUAGCAUUUUGUCAUGUGUCCUUUGAGAGGUGUGAUUCAUGCACCAACAAAUACAGGUGUUUAUACGUUGUACGAGUUUUAAAAGUAUAUAUAUUUCCUAUAUGCAUGUAUAUAUAAGGCACAUGUCACUCAUGUAUAUAGUAUGGAGUAGGUGCUAAGUGCAAGUUCACACCUAUGGGAGGGAUGAUGUAACGAAUAUAUGGGAUAGAAUUUAUUCUUGCAUUAUAAGUAUCUGUCGCACAUAAUUUUAAGUUUCUUCUUGUAAAGUACUCCCUCCAUUGAUUUUAAGGGGCACAUUUUGAUUUCAAUAGACCAAAGUAUGUUGAUUUUGAUUAAAUAUUAGUAAAAUUAUAAGUAUAUUUAGUAUAUAAAAUUUGCAAUUGAUUCAUAUUUAAAAGUGGUUUUACGUAUAUAUUUAGGUUUUACAGCUUACUAAUGAUAUAGUAUACUACAACAAAAUAGUUACAAAUUUUAAUCUCCACACAACUUUUAAAUUAAAAUAUGCCUUAUAAAAAUCAACACAAUAGCAGCCACUACUACUCUUUACAAACGUUGUACUAUCUUUGUGUGGGUUGUUUUAAAAAAAACUGCUAGAAAAACGUAAUAAUGAAAAAACCUCUCAAAAUCAGUUCUAAAAUCAAAAUUUUAGAUUUUAAAUUUAGCUAUGACUGAUAAGUCAAUAAGGAGUUACAAUUGUUUACAAAUAUUUAGUCAUCCAAUGAGAAUAGCACGAAUUAAUAAGUUAAUUAAUUAAUCAGGUAGAGGUUUGGUACGUAGAUCUCGGUGCAGAGAUGUACGCGGAUGUGUGGACGGGCGUGUUGAUUCAUUCACAAGUUGCCUUGCCACCAGGGGACACAACUAUCAUAUUUCUAAUUUCUAAUUAACCUAGUUGACCUGUAUUACCUGCAAUAUAAUUAAUGUUAAUUGCACAUACAUAUAUAUAUAUAUAUACAUAUAUACAUAUAUAUAUAUAUAUAUACAUAUAUAUAUAUAUAUAUAUAUAUAUAUAUAUAUAUAUAUAUAUACAUAUAUACAUAUAUAUAUAUAUAUACCUGCUGCUUGCUUGCUACUACCUCCAUAUUUUAAUGUAUGACGCCGUUGACUUUUUAUCCAAUGUUUGACCAUUCGUUUUAUUCAAAAAAUCUAUGCAAUUAUCAUUUAUUUUAUUGUGACUUGAUUUAUCAUCAAAUAUCUUUUAAGCAUGACAUAAAUAUUUUCAUAAAAAUUAAAUAAAACGAAUGGUCAAACAUUGAUAAAAAGUCAACGGUACCAUAUAUUAAAAAUACGGAGGGAGUACUUGCUAGUGUGCAACUUGGAAAUGAACACGUCGGCCAGCUCGUGAAUUUUAACCUCUGAUCUCAUCAUUUUCAUGUGUACUCCUGAUCUUUCUUUCUCAACUGUUUGUUGAUUUUUUUUGCUCGUGUGUUGUCAUUAUUUUCUUUGUUUUUUUUACAUGUCGUUUUAAAUAUCUGACACUGGCUAGCGUCUGCUAAUACGUACGCAUGUGUUUUUAAUAAGACGUACGUACUCUUGCCUGGACAUAAAGAAAGACUAUCAUGCGUGAAUAUGUAACCAAAUUGUUGAAACAUUUCUAAAAAGAAUAUGUAACCAUCAGUACAGCUAUAAAAAAAAUAGACAUCAUGCGUGAAUCGUGAUCGAAACAUUAGUUCUUGGUAAGAAUUCGUCUACUCCGGCUGAUAUAAUUAAUUGGUAAAUAUAUUUUUCCCAACUGUACGAGAUCAUGAGGUCAAUCUUUCCGGUAAAAGUGGACUCUUUUUUACUUUACCAUGGCAUUAGCUAGCAGGUAGUACAAUAUAUAUGUACGAUCGCAACAAUAACUAUAAUUGUAUCAACAUUAGUACGGAUGAAGACCUUUGGCGAGCUAAAAACCAAUAUAAUUAAGCAGAUGCGAUUCAUUGAUCAUGACUCAUCAGGUCCUAAUUAGCCAACGAAUUAACCAAUUACCUGCCACGAGUUGACCAGAAACCAUGCGUGCAUGUUGCACAAAUUAAAUCAAAAUAAAAAACCAUACGGUCCAGCAUAUCCUUCGAUAGAUCAUAAUAUGGCUCCGUUAGAAUCUGAUUAUAUGAUGAAUAUCAAGUGCGCACGUAAAACGAGAUAAGUCAUUAGCAUAUAAUUAAUUAAGUUUUAAUUAUUAAAAAAAAUAAAAAUGGAUUUACUUGGUUUUUAUAGCAAAAUACACUGUUUAUUAAUUUGAAAAGCGUGCUAACAAAAACUGAGGAAAAAUCCAGAUGUUGUGGAUGUUGUUGGAGUUUAGAACAGGACCUAUGUCAUAAUAUGAUCAAAACUGGUUAAAAUACUGGUUAGGUCAUAUCAUAUUUAUAGUUAAAAAAGAUUUUAGUACCAGACAACAUAGCCAUCGAUAAUUAAUGAAACACCAAUAUUUAAGAUAUACAUGUAGCUCUAGUCAUUUGAAGAUUCUUAUAAAAAUACGAUAAUAUAUUUAUAAAAAUAAGUGUACAUGUGUGUGAACGAACGUGUCUUCGUACUGUAUUUUGGGAGAAAAAUAUAUAGCUAGCUAGAAGUAUAUUUACCGGCUCGAUAUGAGAUGGCCUAAUUAAUUAAGCUGAUGGCGACACCCAAAAAUGAGCACUAGCUAACUAGAGAGGAGGUUGGCUAUGUCGGCACGGUAGGGUUAAAAGGUUAUCUUCUUUUGUUUUAUUUUUCUUUUUUAUUUUUUAGAUAGAUGCAUUUUGUGUUCCGGUUGAUCCAUGUAUCACGCUUCAAAGUGAUCAAACCCGACAGUGACUGCCUGUCCUGGUACGGCAGCUUAUAUUGACGAGAGCACCCCAUGGAUCGGAUUUUACAAUCAUCAACCAAGUUUGGCUAGACACCCUCACACAUUAUAUUGAUAUAAAAAUGCUAGAUACUAACUCGAUCCGUUCUAAAAUAUAGAUAUUUUUAGAGUUGAACAUGUGUAUUACAAAAAGAUAGAAUUAAAUGAAGGUUAGUUGUGAUUGGUUGAGAAGUAGAGGUAUGUGAGAGAAUUGAAUGAUGAAACACUGGUGGAGAAACCAUCUUUGGUCGGUCGGCUAAAUUCCACAAUAGUCCCGGUUCUAAUAAAAAUCGGGACUAAAAAGCAUUUUUAGUCCCGGUUUAAAAGUUGAGGGGUAAAAAUUUCUAAAAAGCAUUUUUAGUCCCGGUUUAAAAGUUGAGGGAUACUUUUUGAUCUUUAGUCCCGGUUCAAGAUCAUUUUUAGUCCUGGUUCAAUAAGUUGUCGGGUUCAAGACAUUGUCGGGUUCAAGACAGACCCCAAUUAUUUUUAUUCCCGGUUGGUAUAAACAACCGGGACUAAAAGUAGAUCUUUAGUCCCGGUUGUUUAUACCAAUCGGGAGCAAAAAGUACCCCGAGCCGCGCGCCAUCGAUACUUAUCCGCGCGCAAUUCCUCUCGAUCUCCUCCCCUCUCAUUAACUCCUUCUCCAUCCCUUCCUCUCCCCUUCCCCUCCCGUUCCUCCCCUUCCCUUCUCUGUAGCGGCGGCCAGGCGGGAGCGGCGGCGGCCGAGCUGGCGCGGCAGAGGCCGAGAGGACGGGGGUCGGGAGGCCGGCGGCACCCUCCCCUCGAUCUGCUGCCGGAUUUUUUUUUUCAACUUAUGGUUCAUUGGAUUUGAUUUGUGAUGUAUGUGAUAUUGGAUCUGAUCUGUGAUGUAUUUGAGUUGUGAUGUAUUUCUUUUAGGAUUUGUGAUGUAUUUUUUGUUUGAGAUUCUGUGAUGGGAUGUAUUUGUGAUCUGUGGUGUAUUUCUUUCCAAACUGUGAUGCAUUUCUUCCCAGAUCUGUGAUGCUAUUGGGGAUAUCUAGGGAGCGGAUCAAUUUUAGCAAAAAAAAAAUCAAAUCAACCGGGACUGCUCCCACCAUCUUUAGUCCUGGUUACUAAAGAUGGAUUUUUAGUCCCGAUUAGUCAUCUUUAGUCCCAGAUUCGUAGUCCCGGUUGUAUAACCGGGACUAUAGGGGGAUCCCAACCGGGAGUAAAGCCCCUUUCUCCACCAGUGAAAGAUCGUGGUUGGUUGAGAAGAAAAUGUUAGUGGAGAGGUUAUAUUUUGGAAGAAUCUUGAACGCUACAUGUUGUUAUAUUUUAGAACGGAUGUAGCAGGCUAGUAGCUUAUUUUUUAUUGCCUAGGAAUGUACUCCCUUCGUACCAUAAAAAAAUCAAUACGAGAUGUAACGUUUCCUACUAUAAUAAAUCUGGACAUGGGUAUGUACGGAUUCACUGUACUAGCAGGAAACAUCACAUCAUAUUCUAGGUUAAUUAAAUUUUUAUGGGAUGGAGAGUAUUGUACACACUCUCCUCUUAAAAAAUAACUGAAUUAUGUCACCCCUAUCAAUAAUUAAAUGUAAUUUCUUACAGUUUCACUUAUUAUAGGGUGUUAUGCGUGCAUGUAAGUAAGUAUCUCCGUUUAUUUAAUUUAGUCAUUGCAUCAUUGUUUUUUCACUCCAGUAAAUUUGUGAGGGCGUUUUACUAAAGAUUUUUACGUAUUUAUAAGCGUAAUAGUUGAUGCUACCGUGUCAAUAUUGUAUACUCUUAGCAAUAGUUGUAUAUAUAUGAUGCCGUCCUAAAAUUUAGAAGUCGGAGUGACACAUCACUAAACAAUAUGCUGACGUAUAUCAGUAUAUCACAAUCACAUAUAGUCAAUAUGUUAUUGCCAAUUACUACCUCCUUCCCUAAAUAUUUGACACCGUUGACUUUUUUAAACAUGUUUAACCGUUCGUUUUAUUCAAAAACUUUUGUGAUAUGUGUAAAACUAUAUGUAUACAUAAAAGUAUAUUUAACAAUAAAUUAAAUGAUAGAAAAAGAAUUAACAAUUACUUAAAUUUUUUGAAUAAGAUAAACGGUCAAACAUUUUUAAAAAAGUCAACGGCGUCAAAUAAUAUUUUGGGAUGGAGGUAGUAUAUAUAUUAAGGUCCUUUGUCGUAGCCUAGCUAAGCCAUCUAAAUUCUACCGACGUAAUCGUGCUAGGAAGCGUCAUUAAUUACUCCCUAUGUAUUUUAAUUUAAUGUACGACGUCGUUUAACAAUUCUUCUGGUUAAAAAAAAUUAUAUAAUUAUCAUUUAUUUUAUUAUAAUUUAAUUUAUUAUAAAAUAUUCUUUAAGCAUUACAUAAAUAUUUUUAUAUUUGUAUAAAAAUUUUAAAUAAGACGAAUGAUCAAACGCUAGUAAAAAAGUCAACGGCGUAAUACAUUAAAAUACGGAGCGAGCAUAUGAAUUAGUCUUGUAAUAUAUAUAGUGUGUGUAGGAGUGCACGCGUCUACACUGUAUUCUUUUUUUUAAAAAAAAUGAUAGUAGAUGUGGCCAUAGUGAAUUGUUGGGGUGAACAAUUGGUGAGGCCGGAAUCAAUCUGUGGAUGAAAAGGACAGAAAAGAAAAGGAAAGAAAGUGGCUGGGCACAUGUACCAUGCAUAUCCAUGGAUAGAUGAUCAAGACAUCGAUCAAGUAGAAAUGAAGGAAAGGAAAAGAGCUAGCUAGGCGCCACCACCACUUGAUGCCGACGUAUACGUGAUAUAUAUAUAUAUAUAUAUAUAUAUAUAUAUAUAUAUAUAUAUAUAUAUAUAUAUAUAUAUAUAUAUAUAUAUAUAUAUAUAUAUAUAUAUAUAGUAAAUUUGUUUGGUGCUCCAUGGUGCCCGGGCACCAUUGUUGAAAUUGAGUAUAUACCCAAUUCAAAUGAGCAUGAAACUUUUUUAAUUAUUUAGGUAUUAAUAUUAACUACUUUACUAACUAGUUGAAAGCAAGUUUGAACUGAAUUUGAACUUGUUUUUGUUAGAUUUUGAUUCUAGGUAUAUAGCAUCCAUACAUAUAAUUAGUUAGGUAUGUAAUCAUGGAUUGUGAAAUAAAGUUAAAUUUAAGUUGUUUUGUUGAUAGGUAUAGGUAUGAAUCAAAUUCUUAUAACUAGGUAUAUACUCACAAUUUGAAAAUUUUGAAAAAUUUGAGUGAUUUUGUGCAUUUGAAACCAUGGUGCCCCAUAUGAGUGUCCUAUAUAUAUAUAUAUAUAUAUAUAUAUAUAUAUAUAUAUAUAUAUAUACAUACAUACUUCAUACGUUUCACGAUGAAAGUCACUCAAUCAUUUCCUAUAUUUAUAUUGAUGUUAAUAAAUUUAAACACUGUGAAACGGAGGGAGUAUACGUGUCCUUUGCUCAUGUAUGACAAUGGACUAAUUAUUCUAAUCAUCAUCUGCUGAUAUAAAUAAAAAUAUAUGUAAUUAAUAUAAAUACUAGUAUUUAAUUUGGGUCUGAUUGGUUAGAACAAUUUCAUUUUUGGUGGCUCACGUUAAUUGGCUAGCGGCGUGUUAAGUAAGACACUCAUCGAUCUAUCGAUUCAUUAAUAUAUGCACGAGAUGGCUUGAAAAAUUCACAGCAAUUUUAGAUUUUCAGGGUCGAGAGAGAGCGAUCGAUUGAUGGAGAUGUAUGCAUUGUACCGGCCUACUAUAUUUACUGCUCUCUUGCAUUGCAAAAAGUAUCAGUUUGUCGGCUAGCUCUAGCCAGCUCAUACUGCCCCUGUUCUUUUUAUUUAAUUUCAAUAUAUUGAGACAAUAAAUACACAUGUUUUUAUUAUUAGUAGUGUUCUUAAUUUCUACCUAUAUAUUUGUAAGUUGUAGUAUAUAACGAUUACAAUAAUUGGAUAUAGUUUCUUUAAAAGCAAAAGCAGGAAUGAAUUCUAUUAUUAAAAAAGAUAUAUUUGUAGUAAUUAAAAAUUAUAUGAAAAAUAUUCAUCAUGAAAAAUCUGUGAAUAUCAUUUUUUGCAUGUUAACCCUUAAAUUUAUAUGCUAAUAAUUUAAUGUCAUCAUAUUUGACCGUAUGUAUUUUAGGGUAAAAUGUUAAUUAGAGCGGAGGUAGUAACAACUUGCAAGGGAGCAUGCAUGCAUGUAUGAAGCAAUCAGCUCUGACCAGGAGUUGUUGUAGUUGUCGUUGUAGUUGGACCUUUGGUUUGAUUUUGCGACGAACUUUUGGGCUGUCCGUUUCACACGUACUCAUACACGCUACAUUAAUAUUUCUUCAGAUUCAGGGGUACAUACAGCUAACCUACCUAGCUCAUCAAUUAAUACGUACUUCAUCCGUAUUUUAAUGUAUGAUGCCGUUAACUUUUCGAUCAACGUUUGACCAUUCGUUUUAUUCAGAAAUUUUGUGCAAAUAUAAAAAUAUUUAUGUUCAACUUAAAGAACAUUUGAUGACGAAUCAAGUCACAAUAAAAUAAAUGAUAGUUACAUAAAUUUUUUGAACAAGACGAAUGGUCAAAUAUUAGACAAAAAAUUAACGACGUCAUACAUUAAAAUAUGGAGGUAGUACGAUAUUUAUAUGAAGCUUAUCUCUCUCUGUAUGUAUGCCGCACGGUUAGCUUGGAGUACAGUGAUGUGCAUGCAUGCUUGCUUGCUUUUGGAAGAAAAUUAAAAAGAGGGAUUAUUCUCAUGACUGACCUGACCUAUGCAUGCGUUCAUGUAUGUAUCACAAAAAAGAUUGGAACAACACGUACGUCAAUACAUAUAUGUGCCAAUCCUAUCCACCUCAUCAUGCUCGUGAUUCAACCACUGCCUGGCUGCAUCUGCGCAAGCAAACACACGAAACAUCUCGUAAAAUUUGAUUAUCACACACACACAUAUAUAUAUAUGUCAUUGGUACGUAUAUGGUAUAUUGUUUAGAAACACAAUAUAAGCACUUGUGCUCGUAAUUAACACGCACACACUAGUAAGUAUCAUCUAUCACUGAAAGAAUAAUCACCCAUAAAUAUGAGCAUCUGCAUCAAGUUUAGUACUUCAAUCCGGAUGGAUAUAUUUCACCACAAGAAUUCAAGAAACAUACUCCCACAGUUAGAGAAAUCAAAUCUAAUACGGGAUGUAACAUAUCAUAGUACUAAAAUAUGUCACAUCUCGUAUUAGGUUUGUUUUUCAUAGGACGGAGGGAGUAACUAGUUGAGCUUUACCCUAUAUCUAGAGAAAGAAAUAAACAGUGAGAGAGAAAAAAAAAGACACAUGAAUCUCUGUAGAUCAUCUAGUUGGUCGCCGCUCGCCAUGUGAUUGGCAUUCAGGAAGGCGCUUGUGGGUUCCAUUCCGGCCCAUCUAGUAUAGCCAGCUUGUUAAUAUCCUCCCUGGGCCGGCCCAAGUAACCCACCCACUGGCAUGGUCUGCUCCGGCCCAACUAACCCACGACUGCUUGGCUAUUUCCGUCAUUUUCACGCUGAAAACCCCCCUCCUCCCCUCCACCACAAUCGUCCCGCCAAACUCGAACGCAACCGCCUCCCAAUCCCCAUCUCCGCCGCACGAUCCGCCUCGAGAUUCGCGGAAUUUCCCUUCCCUCCCUCUUCUCUCGUACGCCACCCACUGAUUGCGCCACGUCAUCUAUAUUACUACACCUCUCACUCUCACUCUCAGUCCAUAACUGACCAAGAAUCUAUCGCUACCCAUCGAUCCAGGAGGAAGGAGGCCAGUGAGAAGCUUCCAGAAGGUUCGAUCGGGAGCGCGGAGUGGUGAUGGCGGCGGCGGCGGAGCUGUCUCGCGGGGCGGUGGCGGCGAUGUCGCGGAUGGAGCAGGGGCUGCGGCCGGUGCUGCAGGUCACCGACGUGCGGCCUGCCGCCGGUCGAUACCUCGUGGCGCUCUUCGACGGAACCAAGUCGGGGCAGGGGGUGCUCGUGGCGUCCAUGGCGCACCUCGUCAGGGCAUGCGCCAUCCGCGCCGGCACCAUCAUCCGCGUCCUCGACUAUCUCUGCAUCGACACAAGGUGACCGUACAAAUCCUUCUUCUGCUCUAAUUUUCACUCUUAUGUACUUCCUCCGUUUCACAAUGUAAGUCCGAAUGUGGAAAAUACUAGAAGGAUUUACAUUGUGAAACGGAGGGAGUAUUUCAUAUACCAGAUGCUUGCCUGCUGUCUGGUCGAUCUUUGCGAUCCAAAUUAAUCGGGGAGCCGCUCUUUGAUCAUUUGAUGCGAUGUGUCGUGUACUCGUGUGUGUGUUGAAAGGGGGAGAUUUUGGUGAAGUUUUUGUUUUUUUUCUUUCUGUCUGACUGCUAAGGUUAACUUUUGUUCUGAAGUUGUUAUGCCGAAAUUAGUUUUUUGGGAGUUCUAAACUAAACGGCGCUAGGGAGGGACUGAUGAAUAACAGAGCCAGCUCUUUAUUACUGAACCAGGACAGAAAUUAUAUCUGAAAAAAUAACUAAAGUCCAGUCUACUUUUGUAUAGAACUUGCUUCUUUUCCAAUUUAUUUACAUCAUGUAGCAUCCUAAUACAAAGUUAUGACAUAAAAUGGACGAUCUACUUGUUACUAUGGAUAAAUUAAAUAAUAUUACUAUGUAUUAUAUAAAUCUAAACAAAUAUCUCGGAACAAGUGGUCCAAAUGAUGCAGUAUAAGAAAUCUUUUCACAAGUCGUGUUUUUAGAAGCAUCGAGCAAAUAAUCCGAUGGACGCUAUUUCAUUUUGUUAUUUGAACUUAAGCUUCCAAAUACUCCAACAUAUGUCAACUGUUACUGAAAAUUGUAUCAACAACUAACUUUUCGUAUCAUGUCUUGCUGGUUUCUUAAUUCAGGGUUAUUAUCGUUGAGCAACUUGAAAUACUGCAAAUUAACUGCGCACUGAUCGGAACUAGCAAUACUCAUGGGCGCCUUACUUAGCCUAACACCCAUUGCUGCACUGAGCCCAUACAAGUGUAAAUGGACAAUCAAGGCCAGGGUGACUGCAAAAUCUGGUCUCCAGCACUUGAGCAAUGACAGAGGUGAAGCAAAGUUCUUCGACUUUGAUCUGCUUGAUGAGCAGGGCGGUGAAAUGCUCGCAAAAUGCUUCAGUUCGGCUGCUGAAAAGUUCUAUGGCCUAAUUGAAGUUGAUAAGGUCUACUUGAUAUCCAGAGGAUUAGUGAAACCUGCACAGGAGCCUUUCAACAGUGAUUAUGAAUUAGCUCUGGAUGCCUCAGCAUCAGUAGAGGUCUGUUCCAGUGAUGUUAUAUAAUGGAUCAUCUCGUUCAGUUGGCAAUAAUGCAGGGCUCGUCUCCAGUCCAUGCUGCUUCAGGUGCAAAUCAAAGGUUGUCCAGGGCUAUGUCUGCUCACUAAUAAUAAUGCUCUUAGUGAUACAGUAGGCAGGGUACUGCUAAUUAAAGGGCACUUAGCGAGAUGCAUCCAGCUACUUUGUUAAAUGUUGAAUGCUAGUUAUGUAAGAACUCUGUCAUUACCAUUAUAUUUCUGUUGAUGUGUUGAAUAUCCCAUCGUUCGAGUUAUGUCUGAUAAGUCAUGGAAAAAUGAACGAAGCAACGAAAGAUAAUGUGUGCAAAAUUUUGUAUCUAUGUUAUUAGCGACUAAAAACCAACACUGAAAAAGAGACCGAUAAGAAAUAAAAUUCUAAAAUCAACUCUAAAACUAAAAUCUGAAAUUCAAAAAUUAGAUGCAUUUGCUAAGAUAAUCUAACAACCAGACGAUGAUGGUGCAAUAGGAUAGCAGGGAAAUGUGCAUGAUCUUCUGUUUGGUCCUUCGGUUUUGCCUCAAGUGUGGACUACUAAAUAAUGCAGGAAAUGCUGCUCUUGUUGCUGUAUCAGACAUUUGAUUUUGCGGUAUGUUUAGCAAGUUUCUUUGUCACGCAAACGAAUAUAAUCUAAAGAAAAUUUGAACAAUACCAUUGGAGAAAUACGUGAGUUGUAAAAUACCAUUGUAGUGAGAAUGACAUGAGAGAUCUAGAUCCACAUGUCAAUGACACUACUUAUUUUGCUGACAUGUUAAUUGAAACACGACGCUGUCAACCUAAAAUGCUUGCUUCUUGAUACAAAAUCACGUUUUGGUAACGCUGCCAUACAAAAUCACGUUGCUGCGUUCGUUUUGGGGAGUUCCCAAAUCUCCACCCUCGUUUUUCGCACACACGCUUUUCAAACCGCUAAAAGGUCCGUUGUUUAUAAAAAGUUUCUAUACGAAAGUUACUUAGAAAAAUCAUUUUGAUCCAAUUUUUUAGCUAAAUAUUUAAAUAAUCAUGCACUAAUGGAUCGUUUCGUUUUUCGUGCGCAGCAGAUGUAUUGGGACAGUGAUCACGGAAAAACUGCCUAGGGUGACAGAGCGGUGCACCCUGUUCCCAACCAAAAUAGUGAUAAUGGAAAACGGAACGGUCCAUUAACGCAUAAUUAAUUAAGUAUUAGCUAUUUUUUUUUAAAAAAAUGGAUCAAUAUAGAUUUUCUAAGCAACUUUUAUAAUUUUUUUUUAAAACACACCUUUAAAAAACGAGAAAGCGGAAAAUGAGAGAGAUGGAUUGGUAACUAGCGUGUGCGCCUGGUGUCAUGUUCAUUUCACUUCCUACUAGUAACGCUUAUUUCUUGGACGAGAAAGGAAAGCUCUGAAUUACCCUUGGGCUUAUCAAUCGUACAGGCCCAUCUCAAUUCCCAAAAGGCCAAUUCAGCCCAAUUCUAUUCCACCCACCAAGGGCACUACCGUCAUUUCGCAACGAAAAUUUCUCUCUCCGUCCGUUUCCCUCCACUCCUCCAGAGAGCGCGCGUCCCAAAAACUUCCUCCACUCCACCCACCCGCAUAGACCUGGUCCAUACACCGAACCCACAUCCCCACCCUCCAAACCGCCUCGAGAUUCGCGCAACCGCCCUAGCCUUCCCCACUAUAGUACUCUCCGCCUCCUCCCUAGGGUUCCCAAAAACCCUCCCCCGAAUUCGAAAUCGAAUCGCCUCCCACAUCUCUCUCUCUCGCGGAAGCUUCUGGAAGGUUCGGAGGCGGCGGCGGCGGAGGCGGCGGGGACGACGAUGGAGCCGCAGCUGACGCCGGGGGCGGUGCAGGCGAUAGCGGAGCACCCGGACGGGACGGGGACGAUCCAGCCGGUGCUGCAGGUGGUGGACGUGCGGCCCGUCACCACCAAGAACGCGCCGCCCACGCCCAAGCCCGCCGAGCGCUUCCGGAUGAUGCUCUCCGACGGCGUCAACACGCAGCAGUCCAUGCUCGCCACCGCCCUCAACCCCCUCGUCAAGGACGCCACGCUCCGCCCCGGCACCGUCGUCCAGCUCACCGACUUCAUGUGCAACACCAUCCAGGGUAAAAGGUCAGCAAACCACCACAACACGCGCCCCCCUUCCUCUCUUCCCCUCUGAUGAGACUCUUGCAGUCUUUUUGGUUUGGAUGUUUCCGCGAGAAAGAUUGGAUCUUGAUGUGUUAGUUCAUCUGGUUACUGUUUUGAGAAAAAAGAUUUGGUCUUGCGGCGAUGCGCGGGUUGGGAGAGGAGGGCUCUGUGUUUAGGUUUCUUUGGAUUGCGAUGUUUGCAAUCCAGAUUGGAUAGUUCAAGAAAUGACGGGUUAUAAUUGGUGCAUGCCUUCAGGUGUUUGUUCUAGAUGGCCUGUGUCAGUUUCCACUUAACUGUAAUGCCUUCUCAGAUAAGGAGAAUAGUUGCUUCUUUUCCCCUUUGGGGUGUUCGUUAUGUAAAGAUGCCAAUGCAACGAAAUAUUUGUCUGUUACUACAUUGUUGGGAUUCUGUGAUUUACAUCUAGAUCUAAUUCGCACAGUAGUCUUUAUGUCAACAUGGGGGACAGUGAGAAGGUCACAUUGCUUUUUCAAGCAUUAAUUUUUUUCUUCUACUCAGUAUACCUUGUUCGUUCUGGUCUGUCUGGCAUGCGAUUACGGAGUUCUCAACUUUUCAUUAAGUUACAGUUGAACAGGCUGUCCUUAUUUUGAAUCAUCAUGGUAAAAUUGGGGGCUAUUGUGUUGAUUCAUUGUAUUGAACUCUCAAAUGAAUGUUUUGUUUAAGUAUGUACGGUGGCUUGCAUGUGAUCUCAUCUUAUCUGUAGGUUCUAAGGAAGGUUUGCUUUUCCAUCUCUACAUUGAUUUCAGAUGCGCUUUUAUCUUUGUCAUGUUUCAUCCAACGAGAUUUUAUCACUUUGGGGUUCUAUUGUUAGCAGUUGUCCAAUGUCGACAAAUAUUCAACCUGCAAAUAUGUUUCAACUUGCAACUAAUUUGCUGGCUAGGUUGGUUAGUAAAAGUGUACUGUAUUUUGAGUAAUUUCUCAGAGUAUUGUCUUUCAUUUAGGUUUCCAUUAAACCAUUGAACAAGUCACAACGGCAUGUUGCAAUGGGCUGAACUGUAGAACUAUCAUUCAUAACUAAGUGUGCAAACCUUGCUUUUUCUGUAGGGGUGUGUUUAUCUUUUCACUGUUUCAUCACCCUCAAUUGAGAAAUCUUACCUAUUUAUGGUUUAUGUGCUCAUUUCUGUGUAUCAGUUUGGUUGAUGUGAUUUAGAACUGGCCUAAUGCCUUCUAAAAGGAACAUCCUAUUUGGAACUUCAGAUUAUUUUUUCUUCAUUUUUAUGAAUCACUAUGACCACUAUAGUUGACAAUUCUUCAAUUCUUUUUUUCAGGAUUAUUAUUGUUGUGAAACUUGAUGUUCUGCAAAAUGACUGCAUUGUAAUUGGGAACCCUAAACACUAUGAACCAAAGAGUCUAACUAAGGAGCAAGACCCUAACUUACAGGCCAGUGUGGCUCAAACCAAUAAUGGAACCUAUUCUGGUGGCGCAAGCAUGCUGGGCCCCUCCGUUGCGCCAAGGGCAGAGCAGGCUGCUAGCAACAGUUCAUAUGGUGGACCUUAUAAUAGUGCUCAAGGAAUGUUGGGUUCUUCUAUUGGCAGGACAGUUGAACCUGGUCCUGCAAAUGUUUCUGCUGUUGGCUCUUACGGUGCAAUAUCAGCACAGAACACAACGAAUGCCAACAUGAUGCAGCCUACAUCUCAGCUGAACAUAAUGAAUGCCAACACGAUGCAGCCUACAUCUCAGCUGAACACAAUGAAUGCCAACACGAUGCAGCCUACAUCUCAGCUGUCCUCGUUGAACCCUAAUCAAAACCAAAGGUUUGCAGCUCCUGCUUCGGGUGGAGUCUUUGGCCCUCCUGGCAAUGCUUAUGGGCAGCCUUCACGUCCUUCAUAUCAGCAGCCACCUCCAGUGUAUAUGAAUAGAGGGCCUGCCUCUAGGAAUGACUCUGCAACUCGUAUCAUCCCAAUUACCGCGUUGAAUCCAUACCAGCCUAAGUGGACAAUCAAGGCAAGGGUGACAGCAAAGUCUGAUAUCAGGCAUUGGAGCAAUGCCAGGAGUUCAGGAACAGUUUUCUCGUUUGAUCUUCUUGAUGCACAAGGUGGAGAAAUUCGUGCACAAUGCUGGAAAGAAUCGGCUGAUAAGUUUUUUGGCCAAAUUGAGGUUGGUAGGGUGUAUUUGAUAUCUAGAGGAUCACUGAAGCCCGCCCAGAAGAAGUAUAACACUUUGAACCAUGAUUAUGAAAUAACUCUGGAUAUCGGGUUAUCAACUGUCGAGGUUUGCUCUGAUGAUGAUAACAGCAUCCCCAGGCUGCAGUACAAUUUCCGGCAGAUCAGCGAACUAGAGAAUAUGGCUAACGAGACCAUUGUUGAUUUACUUGGUGUUGUUACAUCAGUUAGCCCUUCUGCAACAAUAAUGAGGAAGAUCGGCACUGAAACCCGGAAAAGGUCUAUUCAACUGAAGGACUUGUCUGGCCGGAGCAUUGAAGUAACAUUAUGGGGAAACUUCUGUGAUGCUGAGGGUCAGCAGUUGCAGUUGCAGUGUGAUUCUGGUUCGAACCCUAUAAUUGCUUUUAAAGGUGCCCGUGUGGGUGAUUUUAAUGGCAAAUCAGUGAGCACAAUUGGUUCAACCCAGUUAAUUAUAAAUCCAGACUUUCCUGAGGUGGAAAGGCUGAGGCAGUGGUACAUGACAGAAGGAAAAACUGCUCCUUGCAUUUCUUUAUCUCGAGAAAUGCUUAAUAUGGGCCGGACUGAUGCCCGCAAAACAAUUGCACAGAUCAAGGAUGAAAAUUUGGGACGAUUAGAGAAGCCAGACUGGAUCACUGUUAAGGCUGCAAUCUCCCAUGUGACUACUGAGAGUUUUUGUUAUCCAGCUUGCCCAAAGCUCUUGCCCGUCGGGAGGCAGUGUAAUAAAAAGGCAAUAAAUAAUGGUGAUGGGAUGUGGCAUUGUGACCGAUGUGAUGAGAGUUUUCAAAAUCCUGAAUAUAGGUACAUGCUUAGGUUCCAGAUCCAAGACCACACUGGUAGUACCUAUGCUAGUGCGUUCGAUGAGGCAGGUGAGCAGAUUUUUGGUCGCAAGGCAGGAGAACUUUUCUCGAUAAGAAAUGUCGACCAAGAUGAUGCACAAUUUGCAGAGAUCAUAGAAGGGGUCCGGUGGCAUCUAUAUCUAUUCAAACUGAAGGUCAAGGAAGAAACCUACAAUGAUGAGCAAAGCUUGAAAUGCACCGCUGUCAAGGUUGAAAAACUGGACCCAUCAAAAGAGAGCAACGUCCUACUUGGAGCGAUUGACAACCUUUUACUGGACCCAAAGGGGCAAAGUGAUCUUGCCCCUAAUGCUGGUUUCACCGAUCCGGUAGGCGGUCACGGUGCGCCUACAUCUAGCAAUGCCUAUGCCAUGAAUACUGGUGGCGUGAAUCAGUUUGGGCAGCAAGCGAGUAUAAGCGCCGGGAUGUCUACUCCACUAGCAGCAACACGAAACUUGCAGACAUGCAGCAUUUGUGGAGCAAAUGGGCACAGCGCCCAGAUCUGCCAUGUGGGUGCAGAUAUGGAUAUGCAGGAAACAUCAGCCGGUGGAAGCUCCAUGGGUAACUACAACUCCAUCGCUGGCAACGGCAGCUCGGAGUGUUACAAAUGUAAACAGCCCGGGCACUAUGCUAGAGACUGUCCAGGGCAGUCCACUGGUGGCUUGGAGUGUUUCAAAUGUAAACAGCCUGGGCACUUUUCUAGAGACUGUCCAGUGCAGUCUACUGGUGGCUCGGAGUGUUUCAAAUGUAAACAGCCUGGGCACUUCGCUAGAGAUUGUCCAGGGCAGUCUACUGGCGCCCAGCACCAGACAUAUGGGAAUAAUGUUGCAGCAUCAAGGGGUUACAAUAGGCAAUCCUUUGUUGGUGGCUACUGAAGUAUUUUGCAAGGGAAGAAGCAGCAGCAGCAGCAGCAUCUUGAUUUUGUUCAUCUUGGAUGGCAUCGGUGUAUCGUGUAUAGUUGUUAAACCUGCCUUAUGUUUAUGCCUUUAUUACCUCCAAUGUCCACUGGGCAGGGAACCUUGUGAUCUGGACUUUGUAUCGCUACCUUAAAAAGUAUAUUGUCCUUGUCUGCAAUCUUGUAAAUUUCAAUGCCUGCUUACUGCUUGAUCGGCAACUAUUUAUAGUUCGCCUAAAGUGCUCGCUCUGUAAUAAUAUUUGGGCUUUGCUAGUGUGCUUUCCCCCCCUUUUGGCUGGGAAUCUAGAUAAUCAGAUAAUGGCAAUUGAUCUGCUUGGUUCAUGCAUUUCCCAAGUACUGGAUUGUAUCAUAUGGGACUGAAAAUUUUCAUGACCUGGAGAUAUUUUCAUUAUAAAUUUUAGAGGAAAAAAAAACAUAGCCUUGUGUAACAGCAAGGUUUUCUUCUGUAGUACUACCUCUUUCCAAAUGUUUAUUUUGAGCUAACCAACGCAAGUGCUUUUGCGGUCAGUGGCAUUGCAUUGUCAAAUGUGGAAGUCAUGUUUAUCCUCUCUGCAGAGUGUUGCUUGUCUGAUGAUUCUAUAAUUUUGUUUUAGCGCCUGGACCUUCUAUAUCUGGCACUGGCAUGAUUUACGGGUAUGGCUGCAUAAUCUGGAGAGAGAUUUGCAUUAUAAAGAUGAGAGGAAGAAAUGCGUACACUUGUGUUACAGCAUGGUUUGUGUUUUUACGGCCAGUUGCAUUGCAUUGUCAAAUGUUAGUAGUAGUAUGAUGCUUUUAUAUGUUUUUCUUUGGCAAUCUAAUUUCGCCUAUGCCUUGGUUCCGGGUUCUGAGUUCUGACAAGUGACAAUUCUCGAACUCAUUAAGCACAAGCCUAUUUCACCCUUACAACAAUUCGGAAGAAUAUAGAUGGGUUUUAAACAUUUGAUAAUAUUUGCUCCCCACUCAGAUUUGGUUACUCGAAAUUGUACAAGACCUGACAUUCGUCAUCUGGACACUCUAGUAGAUAAACGUGCUGGCUGAUGCUAGAUAAACAGAUGUAAAGAUGACCACUUCACCAUCAACCGUAAAACCGGACGAAGAUCACCAAAAAUUGAUACUUUGGAGCAACGAUAGGCAGCUUCGAUUCAGAUAGCACAAUACUUAAAAGACCACAUACUAGCAUCGAAUUGAUACAUCUCCCCUCCAAAUGAGGCUCCAAAAACUAUCCAUUGUUUGAUACAGCAAGCAAUAGGAUGUGAGAAACUGAGAUUGGCAUUUGUAUUUCACUACUCUCAUCUGAUGAGACAUGACUAGGCUGUAACUGAAGCUGAAUCUAAAGAGGAAGAUUAGUGUGGGAUUGCAGACAAAACUGCUACUACUUCCUUCCUGCACUGCAAGAAGAAGAAAUCUGUAUCCAGUCUGUGUUGAACCCCAUUAAAGCACACACAGCAGCUUCGAUUCAGACAGCAAAAGAAACAUUCUGAUAGAUAGCAUCAAAUUGAUACUAGUAUUUCGUUUGUGUCAAAAAAACUCUCGAUAUGUCGUAAUCAAAGCUCGAAAAUCCCAUUUGUUUGAUACAGCAGCAACAGCAAGAAAGGAACCCCUACUCCGAUCCAGCCACUGAAACAGUACUAAUGAAUCCGGAUUCGCGCAUUCAUCCUAUCUGAUGUGAUGAAAAGAAGCUAGAGUAUAAGAAUCUAAUCUGGGAGAAGGUUGAGGUCAGUCGUCGAAGGCGGAUGAGGGGUCGGCGAGGUGGGCGAAGCGGGCGGCGGAGGCGGAGGAGAGGAGGAGGAACUUGCGGACGCAGGACCUGACGCAGUCCUCCUCCUUCUUGCCGAGGGUUCGCCGGUAGAAGGUGGUGACGCAGUCGGAGAAGCACCGGUGCGACACCCAGUUGUACAGCCGUAUCCUGCGUGCACAAAAAUCCAUCCAUCGCUACUCCACUCUCUCUGCGAGGAGGAAGGGAAGGAAAGUAAGAGAUUAAACGUACGCGUCUCGGGUCUGGAGCUUGUCGGCGACGGCCUCCAUGCGCGCCUUGUCCUCCUCCUCCUCCCCGCCGCCGGCGGCCAUGGCGGCGGCGGCGUCCAUGCUCUUCUUCAGUAGCAGCACAAGAAGAAGAAGAAGAAGGAGAAGGAGAAGGAGAAGCGUAGCCCAAGCCCUAAGGCCCUUUAGUAUAGUUGAAGUGGUGAGAUGGGCCGUGGUGGGCCUUCGGUAAUUGAGCCCAUGGGCUCAACCCCGAAAAUGCCAGUGGGCUAGGUGAGGUAAACCGUGCACGUGACGCUUUCAGUUUCUUUUCUUUUCUUUCCUUAUUAUAUCAUCAAAAAAAGAAAAGAAAAAGAGAAAAAAAGGUAUGGAAGAUACUGUAUAGUAUACGCUAGCAGCAUAAGCUCCGUCCGUAUAAUUAUUUCUUGUACGCAUAUGAUGUACAGUAUGUAUUUUACGAGCUGUAUACUACCAUUGCGUUGGAUUUAUGCUGGAGCUAUUUGCCUAUGUAGUGGAGUAUUCUAGAAGGAUGCUUGUGCGCCGUCCAUUGCCUGCAGAAACGGACGGCGCGGGUGGGUGGGCCCCACAGGGCGGUGACUGACGCGUGGGCCACCACAUUGGGAUUUGGCUUUGCUUUGCUUUCGUGCCUUGUCAGCCGCUGCCCCCGGCCCCUUCUUCUCCUUCUUCUUCUUCUUCUUCUUCUUCUCCCUCACCAUCACCAACAAGAGAGAGGAGGAGUGGAUUCAUCGAUCGAGAAGUCGAGGUAGUACAUACGUUGGAUUGGAUUGGAGGAGGAGAAUGCCUCGCGGUGGGUUCUCGGGGUCGAUAAGCUCGCCCAGGAUCGACGUCGCCAUCGACAUGGGGAACCCCUUCCUCAACCGCACCGUCGACGGCUUCCUCAAGAUCGGCGCCGUAAGUAACCAUCUUAAUCUAUCCCAUUCCCCCUCUCUCCUCUUAAUCACAAACUCCUAAUCCUCCUAAAUGCAUUUCUUGUUUUGUUUUGCAGGUCGGGGCGUGCAAGGUCGCCGCCGAGGACACAUUCGACUGCCUCCACAGAGGUGAGAUAUCGUCAGUCUUUCUACCCUUUCACCUCCUCUCCUUUCUUCCCCAACUCCGCCCUAUCUUGCACAGUUGCAUUAUACUUCACUAUACAAAGUUUCUUUCUUUUUUUUUCACCUUUGGGGCUAGGGCUGCCUGAGCCUCACACCACCAAAAUAAAUUAAAUUGCACGCAUCCCAAAGUGGAGUACUCUGGUGGAGUGGAGAUUGGGAAAUUGAAAGUGGCUUCCAAUCUUUGGGUCAAAGGAUUAUAUAAUCGAAUGAAGGCAACACAUCUAUGGCCAACAAGUCAUGGCUUGUCGAUUUAUCCUCACCACCAGAGUACAAUCUGUAUCCAUUCAUUCACUUCACUGUCGGCUGAAAGGCAUAUUCCUUUUUUUUUUUUCUUUUUUGGGUUGAUGGAGCUUGGCUCACUUGAUAUUGACAAAUCAAAUUCAGUUUGUCGAUAACAAACAAUUUAAUAAUUCUAUUUUAUCCAAGGCUCACUUGAUGGAGCAAGGCUUUUCUUAUGUAUCGGCAUGGUACCUGCCUGGCACUAUAUAGUAUAUACUGCAAAAAUAUAGCACUAGCAUGAUGAAUACAUGACAAUAAAAUGGGAGUAUUUCCAUAUAUACAAUAAAAUGUGACCGUGUCCUGUUUCUAUAUACAUGUACACAGUGUAACAUAAAUUCAUUCUGUUUCCUUUCCAGGGGAUGUUUCAAAGCACAAGCUUGAGCAUAUGGUCAGUAUUUCCAUGGACUUCCUUAUCUAUAAAAUUUUCAUGGAGUCUGUUCAACAUGGUUUUAAGACCUGAACCCAUGUUUUCAAUUGAUGAGUAUUUUAUACAUGCAGCACACACAUCUUUGCACCUAUCUGAAAGUGAAUCCAGUACAAAUCCAAAAUUAGUGCACCACAAUUUCCUGAAUAUUUUGAAUAAAUUGAUAUAGGGAUGCCCUUGAAUUACCCCACAAAAUGGAUAAAAGGCGCUAUGCAAAUCAGGAUUUCUAUCUUAGUAUCAAUCCAACAUGUUGACAUGUUUUCAUCUUAAGAAAUUCGAUAUGCAAAACCAUCACCCUGCACCUCCAUAGCGUAGUUGCACUGUAACUGUGGAAUUCUUCUUAAAAUGUAGUUGUUUCUUUAGUAUUAAGGUUCCAUCUAUGGUUCACUAAUAUCCUAUGAUGAAUGCUUUUGCAGCUGAAGAAAAUGUGCAAGGAGGGUGCCUAUUGGGGUACAUUUUUGUUGACUUGCAAAUGGAUGAAUGAAUUGGCAUAUAUGCAUUUAUUCAUUUUUUUUCUUAUGUCACCUUUUUGCCGGGUCGUUUUCUUAUGUUACCUGAGAAACCAUUUUUCUCUGACAAUAUGCAGGUACUGUUGCUGGGGUGUAUGUGGGCAUGGAGUACGGAGUGGAGAGGAUUCGUGGUCGCCAUGACUGGGUACUCCCUCCAUUUCUUUUUAUUUUUUACCAUUGGUUAUUUUUUAAACUCUAAUGAAUUCUGAAAACUAUGCAACAUUAUCAUAGUAUGUUGUGUCAUAAUAUAACUAUACAACUUUCACUCACCAUAACUAAUUGAUGUAAAAGUUAUUAAUGGUCAAAGUUUGAAUAGUACCAGCCAACAUAACAAGUAUUUUGAAAUGAAGGUAGUAUAGUAAAUAUCUAUAAUGGAUCUCUCUCAUUUUCUGUAUUUGAUUGAAUCUUUAGUUAUGUUGAAGGGAAAAAUAAAUAUGCCUUACCUUGAAAAAUAUUGUCAACCCACUUCAAAUUUGACCGGUCCUGUCACAUAUAAGUACUACUAUUAUUUUUUGACAUUGACAAUGCCUAGGCUAAAUAUCACUUCGACCACCAAUUUAUAUAUUAAUAUAUACCAAAAGCUCAUAAGUUGUAGUAAUAAUCUAUUCUUUUAGAUGAAUCCAGCCACAUCAUUUUCAUGUGCCAAAUAUUCGUAAAGGUACUGCUAAACGAAGUUGCAAUAGCUUAACUGCAUAAAUGAAACUCUUACUGGAGGAGAAAGCCUUAUUAAGUUUCUUUUUGGGGGAGAAUAGUACUAAACUUGGAGGAGUAAGCCUUAAACUGAUUUUCCAUGGAUAGUUUGUUUUAGUCAAUAUUUAGAUUUAUGAACUCCAGUGUUUAUUACUCUGUACUGUAUAAUUUAUGCUUGGUGCUAUUAUUUGAUCUUGAUUCAUUAUUUUCCGUUUCCUCCUGGGAUUUUUGCAGAAGAAUGCUAUGAUUGGAGGUGCUUUAAGUGGUGCUCUGAUCUCUGCUGCCAGCAACAACCACAAAGACAAGAUCAUCAAGGACGCCAUCACCGGAGGCGCUGUUGCAACAGCUGUCGAGUUCAUCAACUACCUCACUUAGUCAUGUAACUGCGUUUUUGCAGUGGCUUUUGUUGGACAGCAAGAAUAAGAGCUUCUUCACUGAAGCCAUGUUCAGUUUAAUAAAAUGUUACCUUGUUCAUCCCUGCUUCGUUCCCUGCACUUGUGAUCUCAGUACUUAUUCUGAGUAAUUAUUCUCCUGAUAUUCGUGGCUUGCAGUCGUCAGUAUGACCUUGUGAUGAUUUGUUUUAAGUUGAGAAAAGCCAUAUUUGCAAGUUGCAGCAACUGAGAUUGAAGCUUGUAUGCAAUAAUUACUUGAUGAUAUUGGCGACUCAUGACAGGAAAGUUGUCUAAAUUUCCCCCCAAGUGGUGCCCUCACUAGAAAGAAGAUGGUAAUGAUCAGGUGUCUUGGCUUGUUCUGGUGAUUGGUGGUUGCAUAAUCUUGAUUUUCAUAUCUCUAUUUCUCCCUUAUUUUCAAGAUUUUUUCACCAUAACCUUGAUUUGCUAGUUGAGCUUGGAAGCUUCCAGUUUCAGAUGAAAAUCACUUGUUUUUUUCCAAGGCCAUUAAUCCCCUUUUUUUCAGUUUCAGUUUCAGAGUAAUAAUCUUAUACUAGAGAGAAACUGAACCGACAAGAGAUAUUAUUCGUCCUCGUCGGUUUACUGCAGUCCAGUACUGUUGGAAAUAACUUUACCUUUUCACGUGAUGCUCCAGUGCCAAUAAUUGAUGUGCUACAGUAGUCAAAUGUUUUUUUUUUCCUUGUAGUUCCAAUGAUAUUCUCAUUUUUUUCCCCUUGUUUCAGGUAACAAGAAGAAGUCGAUUGUUCGUCCGUGAGCUGUCGUUUUCGUUAUCUUUAUUCACGAAUUUGCUGCACCGAUCAAACCUGAUGGUAUUUUGAUUCGAGAGGUAACCGGCCAAAUGGCAGCGAUUUGUGAACAGGAAGCAAUAUCUCCAUCGAUUGAUCGGUCAUGUCCCUCCUCAUAUACCGCACAAGAUACUCCCAAUUAAGAAAAGAGAUGCUAAUCAAGUCUCUCUGAUGCUAAGAACACACAGCUAAUCAAUCACCAUUAGAUUCCAGACCAACAACAGUUUGUCAGCUGGUUAUAACUCGACACAACCAUAUAAUCCCUCUGCUAAGAAUAACAUUUUGUUGCAUCAGAAAUACUGCAAUUAGCAGGAUUUGAACAAACCAGCAGACAACAUGUUUGUCAGCCGCGACGUUUCGUCAGUAAACUGUACUGUUGGACCUGACCUGACUGCAGGCUAUUACUCUGAAAUUGUUCUUCACUCAGGCCAGCACUAUCAUUGCCAUUGGGAAUCAACUCUGCACAGUUAAUCUGUUUCUUCUCCCUCCUUAAGAGUAGUAGUUUUAUUGAUCCUUUUGCGAGGAGAGAAAAAGGUCACUGCUUUCAUGAUUAAGCUGAUUGUGGAGAUGUCUCUUUUUUCAACCAUGGUGGUUAGUGUUAUGCUUCGUUAAAGAGAAGGCUAGUAGUAGUUGUACGCUGCCGCCCACUGUCAGCUAGAGUCCAACACGGUCGAAAAGAUCAUCGAGCCACUGAUGAUUAUACUUGCUAUUUCUUUAAACUUCAGUAUCUUUUCUGAUCAAGAGUAAUUUCAGUUAGCUUUAUCAUGAUCAUUAUUGUCGUAACGUUUUUAGCUCUGCAGCUAAAAGCAUGCUAGUCGGUUUGGUUGAGGCUUUUUCUUUCUUAAUGAAAAGCCGUGGGGCGGUAAUUCCCUAGUGCGUCGAGUUCUUGUUUUUAUUUCGGCCAACACUUUUAUGCCGUGCGGAGGAUUAUCCCCUCGUUUAUUCAAAAAUCAUCUGUAUAGUUAUGAAAAAAAAAUCGAAAACAAAAUGGACAACAUUCAUACAACAUACAUAUACAAGUCCACAAAAUUUUACUAAACUCAACUCACACAUCAAGAAAUAAAAAGAAAAAAAAAAUCCAACGUAUGAACAAUGCUGGUGAUAUUCACACUUAAAAUUUGUCUUUCUUUCCCCUCUCAAUUUGUAGGUCAGGUUUGAAUUUAUUUUUUUAGUAGAUGCUUACCAUACUCUAGACUAUUAAAAAGAUUUAGAAUUCUUUUAAAACCAUUUGUACUGAAUUUAAGAGAAAAAUGUAUCACGAGGGAAUAUCCUGGAGGGAUUAUAAUUCAUCUCCUUAUUAUUUAGCACUUUUUUUUAUCUACAGAGUUGAAAGGACAUGGCAUCACAAUUACUUUCAUCUUUCAUGCUCAGCCUCAGACGUCUAAUUGGCUAGUAUACUAGCUUGUUAGGUGCAAAGUCAAGCAAGAGAAUUUCAACUGUGGCGGUGUUUAAUUCUCUUUAAACUUCUAAAAAUUCCGUCACAUCAAAUGUUUAAAUGUGGACAAAAAAAAAAUAAUUGCACAGUUUGUAUGUAAAUUGCGAAACGAAUCUUGUGAGUCUAAUUACGCCAUGAUUUGACAAUGUUGUGCUACAGUAAACAUGUGCUAAUGAUGUAUUAAUUAGAUUUAAUAGAUUCAUCUCGCAGUUUAUAUGUGGAAUCUAUAUAUUUUGUUAUUAAUCUAUAUUUAAUACUUAAUACUUUUGUCCGUGUAUGUAAAAAAAUUUUGACCAAACAACUGAACACGGCCUGUAUAUGUAACCAAAGAAAGAUCAAAGGAGAGGAGGUAGCUACUCCUACAAAGAAAGAAGAAACGAUGAGAUUUGAUUGCCUACUACUCCAGCUAGCUAGUAUACAGUACUCAUACGUGUCUAUCCAUAUUCCUGCUCCCAAUGCAAAAAUGCAAUGGCGAGAUUGCAAGGUUGUGUGGGUGGUGGACCCUGGAUCGAUCACCUCCAUUCUUUCUCCGCAUCUCGCCACAGUACGCUUCGCUGCUCUCCCGCCUAUAUAUACCACCUCCUCCUCGAUCAUCAGUUCAUCAGCAACCAAAGCAAGAAGCAAUUCUUGAGCUCAAUCAGCAACAACAUCUAUCUCCUUCUUGCUUAGUUAAGUCCUUCGCCCUCCCAAGAAGAAGAAGAUGUCUUGCUGCGGCGGCAACUGCGGCUGCGGCAGCGGCUGCCAGUGCGGCGGCGGCUGCGGCGGGUAAUUAACUAACUAACUAACCAACUGCUAAUUAAUUCACUCAAGAAACCAUUGUGACACGCACAGAUCGAUAACUGAUCAAUAUUAACAUUAAUAUGCAUGGAUGCAGAUGCAAGAUGUUCCCUGAUGUGGAGGCCACAGCCACCACCAAGACCUUCGUCCUCGCUGCUCCAUCCAACAAGGCGUAAGUUUCAUCAUUAAUGCUAAUUAAUUGAUCUGUCAUUCCUGUGUGUGUUCAUCAUUAGUGUUAAUUAAUUGAUUGAUCUGCCAUUCCGAAACAAAAUUGUGCUGGAUUACAGGAGCUCUGGAGGAAUGGAGAUGGCGGUGGAGAGCGGCGAGAACGGCGGCUGCGGCUGCAACACCUGCAAGUGUGGCACCAGCUGCAGCGGCUGCUCCUGCUGCUCCUGCAACUGAAUCUAUCGUCGUCGUCGCCCGGCUGCAUGAGGAUUUAUCGUAUGGAUGCUGCUACUGUCGAUCAGAGCUUUGAUCGAGGCCUUAAUUUGCUUGCAUUAGUACCCAGCUUAUAUGUAGGCAGGCCUUGCCUUUUGCUCUGACGCCUAAAUAAAACCGUCGUCGUCGUUGUCAGUGUGUGCGUGUGUCGAUCAAUGUUGGAUGGAUCCCUAGCUAGCUUGGAUGGAUCAUCUAUCAUCAUGGUGAUCUCAUCAUGUACUCCUGCUCCAUCUCCUCAUGCGUGCCAGGCUUCUUAAUAUAAUCUACCUCUGCUUUCAUCCCAUUUCUCUUACUGCUUACUGCCCUUGUUUAAUUUCCCUUUGGUUCUAAUUACCACGAGGAAAUUGUUGUUUUUUCACUAAUGAAAACUCUGCAAAGUUAAACUGACCACAAACUAGUUAACACAGAGACUGCAUCAGCUGAAAGACCUGAAAAUUCAGGAACGGUAAGUCGGUAACUCUUAUAACUAAUGUCCAAACUGACAAGAAAACGGUCAUGUUUUUUCACUGUUGAAAACUCUGCAGAGUAAACUGUCCAGAAACUAAAACAGAGUACCGCAUGCAUCAGCUGAAAGAAAUACCUGAAAAAUUAAAGCAGAAAACGUCACCAUGUUAACUACUCCAAACUGAUCAUGUGUCUGAUCAUCGUGUGCAAAGAAAUCUAAUACUAGCUCCUUGGCUGUGUAAUGUCUGAAAUCUUUUCAGCACCAGGAUGCAGGGACACUGAAAUCAAAGCAGAGAAACUAUCUAAAAAUCAUAACAAUGGCUGCAUGCCUGCAUCAGCUGAAAGAACAGAAAAAAAACAGGAACAGUAGCUGAAAAGAAAUUAAUCAUGUCUGCUAGGCUGUGCAGUGUCUGAAAUCUUUCCACUACCAGGAUUUCAGCAACACUGAAAUCAAAGCAGAGAAAAUUACAAAAUACUGAUACUGUAUCACUGUAAUAACAAAGCAAGGGCCAUGACUACAACAAUAGUAGUGUGAUUGUGAGUACAGUGUGGUCACUGGUCAGGCAGGCUACACAGACAAAGGACUCAAGGACAUGGGCCCGGCCUGCACUACUACUCUAGCUGAAUGAGACGUCUCCAUCUCACAGAACCGGCCCAGCCCAUCACAUGCAUGCUAUAGUGCUAUACUGCACACUCAAUGAUUAGAAAAGAUCUUGCUACUUUGUACUAUGCCUCUAAUAUUUACAUAUGAAAUAAAGCUGGUAAAGUAGAAUAAUUUUCACAGAAGAUACUGCGGACUUGCUCCACCCCUUCUGGUUUGGGUGAUCAAAGAAUCUUGUUUUGUUAUUUGUAACAUCAUAUUAAUAUAUUAUCACUGAUAUAUACUAGAGAGUAGAGAUUAGGUUGAAUUUGUGCCAUUCAAACUGUUAAAAAGAAGGUGAAUAUGUUCUAUAAGUUUUAAGGAGGCAGAAAACAAAAUUGUAGUUGUUAAUUCUGUCACGGUUAACAUGUUAAAAAUUUUGAGCAAUUGUCAUUUGAGACAAGACGAUCUUUGAAUUGGAGAUGUGCCUGCAGGAAGAACAGACAAAAGGGAAAAAAAAGUUAAGGAAGAGACAGGUGAUGCUCAUCCAGUCUAAUCAUGUCUACUAAGAAUCAUGUCCAGGGAACAGAUGAGCUAGCAUCAAGUUCUCCCAAGCACCUCUCUUCCACCCAAGAGGCCAAGACAAUUAUGCAGAUUAACUUACACACUUCAUCUCUCAUCUCAGAAAACAAAUUUAAUCAGACGCUUGAACCUAGUGAAACAAAAGAUAUUGCCUAGUUGCAAGGAAACAUGAAGUCCCACAUCUUUUCACUUAUGAUUAUACUUAUUAGCCAAAAUUUGAAUUUUCGACCAUAAAUUUAGAGUUGAUUUUGGGGUUUUUUCAUCAAAGUUUAUUUUUCAGCCUUUGCUUUUAGAUCGCUAAGAAUACGUAUAUAAAAGUUUUAUUCACAAACUACUUUUCAUUUGCAAAUAUGCCAUUUCAGUUAUUCCCCCGAAUAAGUGAAACGAUAGGUCCGGAAAAUUUCUGAAAACAAAACAAAGUCCAAGGAAAAUCCUGCUACUCAUCAUAUAAUCUUUUAGAUAAUGGAUUAAACCGGUCUCUACAUCCAAACGAAUGUACACAGCCAAGCUACUCAUCAUAUACAAUCCAUUGAUCCUCUCUUCCAGACAGAAGUUUUAUUUUAUUAUUUUUUUUAACAAAUAUAAAACUAAUGCAUUAUAAGUCCCACUGGCCAAAAGCGUAACAUUACGAGGUUAAGUGUUAGACUUGGUCAUACACAUACAACUCGACCCAGUUAGAGCCUAGAGAUGAUUUCAUGAAUAUUAACAAUUAUACACUUGCGUGUAAUAUCAAAUUAUGUAAAACUAAUGUAUGGCUCAUGGAUCAAGAUCAAAGAAGAACAUCAGGAAAUUCAGCUACUAAGAUUCACAUAUGCCUGAAAAAAUACACCAACACCAAAUCGGGUAUGACUUGCAAGAAACAACCAGUAACUUUGUAGUAUGCAUCCUCCACAAGAUGAAUAAAAUAACCACACAUAAAAAUUAAAUCCUAUUUAUGAAAGUAUUAAGAUCGAUCUACGAGUCUUUAGUCCAACUUGAUGAAUAGGAAAUUAACAAUAUUGCAACUAGCGAUAUAAUUUAAUCUAUUGAGCAACUGAAAAAAAAAAUUAAGGGGGCUAUGAGUUUGGAGUGUUAUACUGUUAUGUUCUGAAUUGGACAUUGCACGUUGUACUCUUUUCUAUUUCCAUGUGGUUUGUUUUGUUCAGUUUUACAUAUGGAUAUGUCAUAGGGUGGAACUUCACCCCCCCUAAUUUUUUAGCGGUUCUUUUCAAAAAUUGUGGGGAGAGGACUGGAUCUAAGAAUAAUUAAUAGAGUGAAUAAAUGUAUGCUUCUUGCUGUUCUAUGCUGGCAAUGAUGGCUAAACUGAGAAAUGGCAUGGUUUCCAGAGAUGAUAUAAAUUGCUUUUGACCCCCAUUAACUAUGAUGUUUUGGAUAACAUUUGUUAUGCUAUAGUGGAAAAUACUACCAAAACCCGAACCCGCUGAAGCUAGGCUAUCUAUCUAUUAAAUUAUUAAAGUGAUAGAAAAAUGAGCCUCCACGUUCACUCUCAUAGCUUAGAAAUUCUCAUAUUAAUCAGAGAAAAAAACAGAGCCCACAUAUAAAUACAAUUUAGAAAUAGCUAAAAUUCGGAAUUAAAAAAUAAGGGAUAUUGGAAUAGGAGACUAGAGUCCAUGCCGGUAUACAAUUUAGAACUACUGGAGUUUGGAAUUAAAAAAAGAAUAUUGAAGAAGAGUAUAGAGUCCAUAUAGAAAUACAAUUUAUAAAUAACUGAAAUUCAGAAUUUAAAAAUAAAGAAUAUUAGAAGAAGAGUAUAGAGUCCAUAUAUAGAAAUAAAAUUAAGAAAUAAUAGAAGUUCAUAAUUAAAAAAAUAAAUAUUAGAAGAAGAGUAUAAAGACAAUAUAGGAAUUUAGAAUUAACUAAAAUUCGGAAUUAAAACAAUAGAAUUAAAAGUAGAGUUUAGAGUCCAUAUAGAAAUACAAUUUACAAAUAACUAAAAUUGGAAAUAAAAAAAAUAUGGGAAUAAGAGUCCAGAAUCCUUAUAGGGAUACAGUUUAGAACUAACUGAAUUCAAAAUUAGAAAAUAAAGAAUAUUGAAAAAUGAGUUUAGAGUCCACAUAGAAAUACAUUAGAAAUAAGAAAAUUUCAGAAUUAAAAUAAAUAAUAUUGGAAGAAGAACCUAGAGUCUAUAUAGAAAUACAAUUUACAAAUAAUGAAAAUUCAAAAUUAAAAAAAUAAGGAAUAUUUGCGAGUCAAGAGUCCAUAUAGGAACAAUUUAAAAAUAACUAAAAUUUAAUAUUAAAAUAAUUAAUAAUUAUCACGUAUAUACAAUACAAUAUGAAUAUUAUACAUUAGUAGUUUGGUAAAGUUAGUACAAAAUUUAAAAUUAUAUUGUCAUUUUAAUAAUAAAUUGAAUAUAUAUAUAUAUAUAUAUAUAUAUAUAUAUAUAUAUAUAUAUAUAUAUAUAUAUAUAUAUAUAGGACACUCAUAUGGGGCACCAUGGUGCCCGGGCACCAUGGUAUGAAAUACACAAAUUCGCCCAAAUUUUUCAAAAUUUUCAAAUUGUGAGUAUAUACCUACUUAUAAGUAUUCGAUUCAUACCUAUACCUAGCAACAAAACAACUCAAAUUUAACUUUAUUUUAUAAUUCAUUAUUACAUACCUAACUAAUUAUAUGUUUGGAUGCUAUAUACCUAGAAUCAAAAUCUAACAAAAGCAAGUUUGAAUUCAGUUCAAACUUGCUUUGAACUAGUUAGUAAAGUAGUUAACGUUAAUACCUAAAUAUUUGAAAAAGUUUCAUACUCAUUUGAAUUAGGUAUAUAGUAAAUUUCAAUCAUGGUGCCCGGGCACCAUGGAGCACCAAACAAAUUUACUAUAUAUAUAUAUAUAUAUAUAUAUAUAUAUAUAUAUAUAUAUAUAUAUAUAUAUAUAUAUAUAUAUAUAUAUAUAUAUAUAUAUAUAUAUGCUAUUAUAUGAGAGAAAAUAUAAUAAUGUUAGCCAUGCAAUCUGUGCAGACUACCAUGCUAGUUAGAGAUGAUGGUGGCAUCCCUGCAUGAAGCCAUGGACAAGCUUAGACCCUCAUGUACAUGGGCUGGAUGAUUGAUCUCCUUUUGACACGUGGCCCGGGGAGUUUGGCCCAUGUUCUGGUAGGGGAGGUAAUGAGGAUUAUUCUUUAGAACAAUUCAGAUUAUAUUAACUGUUAGGUGCUUUACUUAUGUUAUUUUGUUAUGUUAAGCUGGUAAUCCCAACAGAAAAUCAUGGGUACCUAUGUCGCUUUUCUAUAAAAGCUGGGUCAUUCGGCCUUUGGUCUAGGAGAAAAAAGAAGAGUGGGUUGUUAUACACAUACAACUCCACCCUAGCUAGAAAUGAUUUCAUGAAUAAUUAACAAUUAUGUACUUGUGUGCAAUAUUAAAUUAAAGAAAACUAAUGAAUGUGUCAUAGAUGAUGGAUCAAGAUCAAUAACGUACGUACCUUGGCUAUUAAGAUUCACCGAUGCCUACCAAAGAAAAAAAAUCACCAAAUAUAUGCCAAAUCGGGUAUGACUUGCAAGAAACAACCAGUAACAAUGUGAUAUACAUCCUCCCACUUGAUGUAUAAAAUAUAUAAAAUAACCACACGCAGAAACUAAAUCCUAUUUAUGAAAGCACUAGGAUAUACGAUUCUCCAAUCCAACUCAACAUCAUAGGAAAGUAUAUUACAACUAGCAAUUUAUAUAGAUGAUGCAUGUUACAGACUAAGAUCCAUAGGAUAUUCGUCGUCUUCUCACCCAUGAUGCUUUCAACUCAUAGUACAUAUAUUUCAUUCAUUGUACACAGCUGCACAUAUAAAUAUAAAACUAAAUGCACAUUGUAUAAGGAAAAACCACUUGCUAUGUAGUAUUUUAUGUGUGCAAGUAGCAACCAAUAUACAACUCCAACCUGGGGGUUGCAUUGACUUGGAUCCAUCUCCCAUCCAAUUGAUCACCCCAGGCUGCUUAAUUAAUUUGUUUAGUGUGUUCACUGUUACUACUGGUCAAUAUAUUGAUUAAUCUGUGUAAGUUAAGCCUUCUCUUACUUUGCAGGUUGUCUUUGAUUGGCUAUACUCUAAUCUUAGUCUUGAACCUUCCAUUAAUUGAUUAUAAAGUCAGAUGUGUUUACUCUAGAUGAUGAUGAUGCAUGCAUGCCUUGCAAAUGUCGGCAUGGCGUAGCAGCAAGGCAAUCUUAAAUAAAGUGUGUAUAUACAUUACAUUCUUGUAACCUUUCUAUCAUAUCCUAUCUUACUAUAAAAUUAAUCCCAACUAAUUUUUGAAACUUAACACGUAAGUAUAUCACAUUAUCACCCACCAACAAUUAUUAUCAAGAGUAUUUUAAAUCACAUAAAAGUGUGCCACAUCAAAUACUACGUACAUACAUCAAUACUUAAUUAUCUUUUACUUAGUAUAUGCAUGUUUGAUCGUGAAGUGUUGGAAUUUACCUUUCAUUGUCUACAAACGCAUCAAUCGCUCCAGGGCGAUGCGGGCGGCGAAACCUCACCGUCGCCUCCUCACUCUCCUCCUCUCCCCCACCUCGCUGCCGCCUGAGCAGCCGCCGGCAAAGCCGGGCGGCUGCGAAGACGGCGGUGGCGGGCCGGGGCUCCCUUCUCCCUCACUCCCGGUCAGCCGAUUGGGACGCCGACGACACCAGAGAGCGAGAGCGCGGCCCCGGCGACGACGGCCAAAUCCGGCGCCGUUGGGUUUGGAUCCGGCCCCUUGGCCGGAUCUUGGCUGGGACGCGCGGGUCGGCGACGGCGUGGCGCGUGGGCCGCGCGGAGGCGGCGGAGGGCACGGAGGCGGCGGCCGCGGCAGCGGCGUGGGAGGCGCCCGUGCGAAGGUGGUGGGGCAGAGGUCCGCGGCUCCGGCGACGGGCAGGCGCCAGAUCCGGUCGCCCCGCUUGGCCGGGGUGACCGGCGAUGGGCUCGGUCGAUGCCGGCGCCGCUCCACGGACCUGGCAGGGGGGUGGCUGGUGGCGGCGAUGGUGGCGGAUGUGGCGGCGACGAAGUUGGCGACGAAGGCGGCGGACUGCGGCGCGUGCCGCGACGCCAGCCCUCGUCAAGAACCUCGCCGCCACGAGGGAGGCGCGUCUCCCGUCAAUUGUAUGCCGUGCCCGUGACGCCUUCCUCCAUGGCGCCGGCGACCCGCACUGCGCGCUGCACCUUCAGGUCUGCGCCACCCGGCCGGUCUGGACGGCUGGCAGCUGGCGACGAUGGCGGCUGGACGGGGGUGGUGGUGGCGGUGGCGAUGGCGAUGGUGGCUGGCGGUGGCGGCUGGCGACGGUGGUGGCUGUGGCGCUGGCGGUGGCGGCUGUCGACGGUGGUGCAAGGCCAUCAUCCGGGGCUGACGGUGCGUUGUCGUCGGCAGCGGCAUGUGGAGGCGGGGAAGGAGGAGUUCGGGUGCGGGCGCGCUGUCGAGAACUGUGGGCGGUGGCCUUGGCCGAAUUUCUGAAGGGACAAUGUUGUUGACCGACAAAGAUCCUUCUUGUGUGGAUUGGUGGUGUGGUUUUGGACAGGGAAUCGCGGGCGAAAGCCUUGUCGAGCCGUUUGGCCGGCUAACGACGGCGACGCCGUUUGGCGUCGUUCCCCUCCUUGGAGGCGUCGUUUUAGAUUACCCCUCUCCUUUCCUAACCAUAUUUUCCGGGUGAAAACCUUGCUUCGUUCCGAACGAGCGGUGGCGGCGAUCCACAUCUCAUCCUCCUUGGGGGCACCGCUUUGGAGAAACCUCUUCGUGCAAGGAUUGUCUAAGGGUCUAUGUAUUGGCUUCGAACUUCAGUCUUAGGCUUUGACGAGGCAUUCUAGCUCCACAUUUUGUUUUGCUUUUCUUAGUUUGGGUCCUCUCUUUUCCUGUUUAGUGUGUUCAACUUGUCUUGAACUACACUCUCUUCUGGAGUGGAACUUUGUAAUAAUUGGCUGUAGCUCUUUUUGAGCAAAGACCGAGAUAUUAUAUUCCAUUAUCUAGAAAACAAACGCAUCAAUACUUCUCUUUUACUUGGUAUAUGUUUGAUCUUGAAGUGUUGGAAUUUACCUUUCAUUGUCUACAAACGCCGUAAAAUCUAUCUAUUAUAUACUAAAAGUCCAUUAAACUCCCUACAAACGCUCUUAAGCUGCCACGUGUCUCCCUCAAAACACUCUCAACUUGCCACGUGGCGUAACGAGAGGAAUUCAGCACCUCGUAGGGCCCGCACAUUAUUUCCAUAAAUAUAUGUACGUGUACACAAGGCAAGAUUUGAAAUCUAUCUAAAAGCAAAACAUGUACUUGUCGUGAACGAACAUAGAUUAGUUACAUAUUUGUGUGUGAGAGGCAAUAUUCCAAAUCUCUCAAAGCAAAACAUUCCAAAUCUCAAAAAGCAAAAUUUAGAUCACUAGGAAAGAUUAUUAAUUGCAACAAGGAUUAGUUCCAUAUACAUGAGACAAUAUUCGUAAGGCUUGCAUGCAUAUAUAUACACCCCGCCAGCAUGCGACAUUAGUCGAUUCCGGAAGAAGUCGAUUCCGACGACGGAGCAGAAGAAGUCGAUUCCGGCGGACGGAGCAGAAGAAGUCUGCGGCACCUUGCGAAUCAUCUUUGGCAUAAGAAGGUAUAUCACGCACCCACAAAAGAACACAAUCAUGACAUCAUCUAAUCAUGAUCUUGCAGCUAGGAAAUAACAUAUGCAUCUAUACAGUUUUGUCAUCAUAUUUUCAGCAGAAGAAACUAACAUUGCACCUACAAAAGAACACAAUUACGAUAUCCUGUAUUAGUUAGAGGUACAUUAUGUUGCAUCUAUGUAUACAAUUUUGUCAAUUUUUUUUCCAGCACAAAAAAGUAACCUUGCACCUAUCAAAGAACACAAUUAUGAGAGUUUGUAUUAAUUAGUUCUAUAAAAUAACAUAAACAUGUAUACGACUCUCUGUCAAAUUUGUUUAGUAACUAUAUGCAGUACUACUCAUUUGCAGAUAACAUGGCACCUAGCAAUUUGAUUACUGCAUUAACACCAAAGAACGAUAGGUGGAGAAUCAAAGUAAAAGUUAUUAGGCUAUGGGAUGCGGUUAAUCCUACAAUGGUUGAUGAGUUCUAUGGUAUACAGAUGAUUGUACUAGAUGCAGAGGUAUGAUUGUUGUAAACAUGUGAUUUAAUAUAUUGUUCUAUUAUGUAAAUACUAUUUUUUUGGUGCAGGGCAACUCAAUACAUGUCUCUAUCUCAAAGCAAUUGGCGAACCACUUCAGGCCAAAAAUUAAGAUUAACUCAAUAUAUACUUUUAAAAAUUUCAAAGUUAUGGAACAUGAUAAAUACCGUGUCCUAAAAAACAAUCUGAAAAUCCUUUUUUAUCAUGAUACCAUAGUAAAAGAGGUAAAAUCAAAAAGACAAUGUUUCUUGGACUAUUACUUCGAGUUUACAGACAGGAAAACAUUAAGGAGUAGGUUGAAUAAAGAUCAACAGUUAUCAGGUAUGUGCAUAAUCUUACUUCUUUUAAACAUUGUUAUUUGUACUAAAGACCUGUUUGUAUUUAGAUGUGAUUGGCUUACUUAGCGGGAUGAAGCCGAUCGAGCAAAGAAUGCUAGGAAAAAACACAAGCAGGGAGAGGGUUUGCAACAUGCGUGAAAUUGAACUCCUUUUAUUAGAGUAAGAUUGUUGUCUGCAAAUUUAAACCAGCACUAAUACUUUCUAUGUGGUAUAUUUUACAUGACUUUAUUGCAUUUGUAGGGGAGAAAAAGUUAAAAUUACUCUAUGGGGAGAUAUUUUAGCAAAUAUGGUUGACGACGAUUUGCUUGGGAAGCAAACUGUGUUCAUCGCCACUGGACUUCUGGUUAAAGAAUAUGAAAGUGAGGAUGUUAUUUUUUUCUAAUUUAACGUACUUAUAGUUUUAGUAAACUAACGACAUUGAUCAUUUAGAAUUAUUAUCAUUUGGAGUAACAAGUUCAACAGAAGUUUUUUUGGAUAUGGAAAUUCCUGCAAGCAUGGAAAUAUUGAGCAGGUGUGCAGUAGUAGCAUUUAAAUUCAUAUAUAUUUGUUGAUUUGUCUAAAAUUAUCUGAUGGAUUAUAUUGCAUUUUAUUUAUAGGCAUAAUGCUGAAAAGGUUUUGCCCACAAUGAUUGAAGUGGACGCAAGCACUCAAGGAACCAUUGAAGAGCAAAUGUUCUACAAUAGAAAGACAUUGAAAGAAAUAACAGAAUUGCGAUAUAGUAAUAUACAACAGAAGGUACAUAUCCAUUCCUAUGUUACGUUUAUUUUUCAUUUGUGUAUUUAAUGUUGGGAAAAAUCUACUUGAUGGCUGAUGUAAUGAGCAUUACCUAAAUUAAGUGGUACGUUUAGUCGUGAAGUCAUCUUUAGUCACUCUUUCAAGCUGAUUAGUUAACCAACAUUAAUUUGUUUUUUAUUUAGGAAUUUAUAUGCACAGUCAAAGCUAAAAUUGAGGAGAUUAAAUCAAGAAAUUGGUGGUAUAUGUCUUGCGAUAAGUGCUUUUGUGGAACAAGAAAGGAAUCAAAUGUAUACAUUUGCAAUUCAUGCGGAAAGGAAGCAGUGAACCCAAAACCACGGUAAGCAUGCUCUUCAAAUUUUAUUUGACAUAUUGUAGCAGGUAUAUUUACCAUUAACGGCACAUUGUACCAGGUAUGUAAUAAACCUUGAGAUAAGUGACCACACUACUAGGACGACAUGUACAAUAUUUAAUGAGGAAGCAGAAAGAAUAUUUGGUCAUAAGUCUGUGUCCACCAUGCUGGAGGAACAGAAUGGACAAAUUGAUAUGAUUCCUGAUACAAUACGUCAGAUAUGUGGAAGAAUAUUGAUAUUCAGAUUGAAGUUGACUAAAAGGAAUUUAGAAGAGUGUAAGGAAGACUACAAAGUGAACUACACUUUUACACCUAAUGAAAAGCUUGAGAUGAAUUAUGUAAAUGACAAGGCAGAAGAGGUAUGACUAUUUGCAUUAUUCUUUUUUAUACAUGUUAUAGAUCUUAUAUUACAAUAUAAAUAUUAAUUUGCAGUCAAUGUUGAAGUACAACGAUGAUUAUGGCUUCACUGAUUUGAAAAAAAUAUUUUUGUAAUGCAUAUGAUAUAUAUAUAAUUAUUUAUUGGAUGUUCUGUAGUUUGGGCAGCACAAUUUUCAGGUAAAAGAAGAGCCAAAAAAUGAAAGUAGUGAUGAUUAUGAAAUGAACAAUCAUCGCAAAACAAAGAAAGAGAGAUCAAACAUGAGAUCUACAAAAAGAUCAAACAAGGUAUGUAUAAUUGCUUUCUUACAUAACAAUUCGUAAAGUUGUUUAUAGUAGUACACUAAUAAUGAUGUUUUAUAGGAACCAUACAUUACCGAUUCUGAUGGGAAAACAAAUGAAAAGGCAAUCACAAUCGAUGAUGAUUCCGAAGAAUCACUUGAUGAUUAUUUUGAUGAAGAAUACAAUAAAAAGGUUACCCAGGAGAGUACAAAGACAAAUCCUUCUAAAAGAAGAGUUACAAGACGCUUUAAAAUAGCUAACAAGGUACUUCAUUUAUUUACUUUCCAAAUUCACUCAAUUUAGUUUUCACAUAAAUUAUUUACCAUUUCAAUAUGGCACUAUGAUAUAGGCUAAGAAAGAUCUUAUAUUACAAUAUAAAUAUUAAUUUGCAGUCAAUGUUGAAGUGCAAUGAUGAUUAUGGCUUCACUGAUUUGCAAAAAUCAGAAGAUGAGGUAAUAUAUAACAAAUAAAAAAUAUUUUUACAAUAUAUAUUAUAUAUAUAAUUAUUUAUUGGAUGUUCUGUAGUUUGGGCAGCACAAUUUUCAGAUAAAAGAAGAGCCAAAAAAUGAAAGUAGUGAUGAUUAUGAAAUGAACAAUCAUCGCAAAACAAAGAAAGAGAGAUCAAACAUGAGAUGUACAAAAAGAUCAAACAAGGUAUGUAUAAUUGCUUUCUUAUAUAACAAUUCGUAAAGUUAUUUAUAGUACUACACUAAUAAUGAUGUUUUAUAGGAACCAUACAUUACCGAUUUUGAUGGGAAAACAAAUGAAAAGGCAAUUACAAUCGAUGAUGAUUGUGAAGAAUCACUUGAUGAUUAUUUUGAUGAAGAAUACAAUGAAAAGGUUACACAGGAGAGUACAAAGACGAAUCCUUCUAAAAGAAGAGUUACAAGAUGUUUUAAAACAUCUAACAAGGUACUUCAUUUAUUUUACUUUCCAAAUUCACUCAAUUUAGUUUUCACAUAAAUUAUUUACCAUUUCAAUAUGGCACUAUGAUAUAGGCUAAGAAAGGAAAAUGUUCUGAAAUGAAAACUCAGAGAAAUAAGGUACAAUUCUUACUUUUCUUUCAUAUACAAAACGAUUUGUCAAACUAUUACUGACAUGUUAUAUACAAUUGAUGGGUAUUAAUAGGAACCAUAUACUACUGAUUGUGAGAAGAUAGCAAAUGACAAACCAAUUUCGCUUGAUGAUGAUUUUGAUGAAGAAUAUAAUAAAAAUAUGGUCAUGGCGGACACCAGUACUUCUAAAAGAAAAGUCAGACACUACAUAGGACAAACUAACAUUGUACUUCAUUGAGUUUUACUUUCUAUUUAAUGUUACCUUUCAUGUUUGUCCAUUAAUGUCAAUAUGCUAUUGUGCAGGUAAGGGGAAAAGGUUGUGGAAAGAAGAGUACAAAUAUGGGAACUUGCACAAAAAGUGCAAUUGAAAAUACAAUUCAAGAUGAUGAAGUAUUUGAUAUAUUUGUUAAAUAAAUCAUGUAUUUUAACAUAAAACUUUUUUAAUUAACUAACUAAGAACACAAAAUUUAGGUGCAUGACGGAAAAAUUGCUUCAGGAACUGCUAAAAGACCAUCAAGGAAAUUUAUAAUUUCAGAUAGUGAGGUACUGCAUGAGACAAUUUAUCAAGUUAUUAAUUAAUAUAUUUUUUUUUGUAACAACUAAUUUUUUUCCCAUAGGAUGAGCACAGCAGUAAUACAAAGGUGACUGGGGACAGCACCAGCUGUAAUAGUAGUAAGGAAGAUAUAAACAAAGGUCGAUGCAAUUAUAAUAUUGAGAACAUUAAAGUUCACAUGAAUGAGCAGUCCAGUCGAUGCAGAUCAACAAGGAUUAGAAGACCACCCACCCGAUACUCAUAUUAGGUACAACAUAUUACUUAUGGGAAAAUGUUGGUUGCUUUAGAUUUGGUUUGAUUAGUAAAUUAUAAUAAUAUGGUCUUUCGUCUGCAGGUAAUUUAUCGUCAAGAAGGCCCAAAAGAACCAAUUAAAAGGAGGGUUCAGCCAAUACUUUUUAUUGAAGAAUAGUAUUAUAUAUGUUCCUAUUAAUUUUUAUGUUCAUUAGAUAUUGUCAGAUGUAACGUACAACUUGCACUUGCCAAAGGAAUCCUUGGAUUACUUUGUUUAUUUCUAAGAUAGAGAGUUAAUAACAUUCAAUAUAAAUGCAUGCAUGUACCUUCAGUACAUGUAUAUGAGUCGAUCCCUGCUUGCUUCCUCUACCGUUGAUAUCCUAAAAGCAUAUAAAACAAGAUCAGUUGAUUUAAUAUUUCUUAAUUAAUACAAAUCCCCAAGCAAGAAACUUAAUGAUUAAAAAAACUUGAUUAUGUAAAAUGGAAAUCAAUCAAGAAAGAUGAGCUCUCGGGGCUACCUUCGCUCUCAGCCAUGCUUGAUGUUGCUGCACCUGCUAUCCGCACUGCCCCAACACCUGCCAUCCCCACUGCCCCAUUUCCUACAAAUACCACCUCCCAUACCAGAGCCAACUAACCGAUGGCUAACACUACUCCUGAUCUAGACAUCCUGCGGUGGAUCUACCAAGGCACUGACUUGGAUGCCCUAUGGUGGAUCUAGCCAACCAGUCUUUCAGCCGUCGCUACCACAAGGCAUUCCCUCUCAAAUCGGCUCCGAUGGAUGAGUAGUGGAGGAGAAGGUAGUGAUGAGUGAGCUAGAUAGAUUGGAGAAGAAUAUAUGUUCAGAUUCUCCGCCGCCUGGCCUUCGCCCUCAUGUGGCCAUUCGGGACAGGAAGACAAACGCGACCGCAGCGCAGAUAUGUGGCCAGGAAGGGCUUGGGAGGAGAUAACGAUGUGCCUGCAAUUUUACACUUUGGUCCUGCAGUGGAUUUUAAUUUAUAAAUGAGCCCUCAGUCUAUUAUCAGUACUUCAGUAAUGAAACGUGUUUAGUAUUUACCAAAAUAUAAUGAAUCUCCUUAGGAUGAUUGUAAACCUUUGGAUGUUCUAAAUAAAACCGCAUCAAAGGAACUUUCCAAAUGUGUAAUAUUUAAAUGGAUUUUACAAUAAUUUAAUUAACUUCUGUAAAAAUCAGGCAAAAAAUAUCUAAUUAGAAAUUUGACAAUAUAUAUAUGCAAUCUAUUUUCAAGUACAAUAAAAAAAAUAUACCAUCUAUUCAGCUUAUCAUCCGUACCAAUAAUUUCAAUUUUAAAACUGCCAAAAAAAGCCACAUUGUUUUUUAUAUAACCGUACUAAAAGUAUUGCAAAAUAGAGUUGACCGUACACAGUAUUAAGGAAUUACAUCUUAUACAUAGAAUGGAAACGAUACCAUUAAAAAGAAUGGAAGACAAUUGUUCAAGUAUAGUAAUAAUAUGGAUGGAGUACUAAUCCACGACACAUAGGUUCAUGGAAACUCCACGGACUCUAUAUUCCUAUAUAAAUUAAUCUUACAACAAUGCUGCAAUAAAUAAUCUACUCUUCCUUUCUUCCGGAGACACCAGUCAGGUCCCUAUCAGUUCUCUCCAUCAUCUUCCAUCAUAGUGCAACUUAUAGAUUUAUAUUGACAAACACUCACAUAUGCAGUUGAUACUUUAUAUUUUUUGACAUUUGAUUCGCAGUUGAUACUUGCACAACAAAAAUAUAGGAAAACACGAUGCAGAGUGGAAAUCACCCUACGGAUGAUGGCAGUCCAACACAGGACAGGUAAGAAUCACCCUAAAUACCUUAAUCGUUUGUGAUUGACUCCUGCAAACUGCGACAAUUAUGAACUGAUUUUCAUAUCCAAUUUUAACAGUUCAAACUUGACUGCUCGAGCCAAUUCAAAGGAAUUAUCGCGGUUAGCAAGAUCGAAAAGGAAAAGAAAACUAGACCUGAGAAGGAGCGGAUCUCCAUCGACCAAAAAUUACUCCAGUGCGGAUGAAACAAAUGCUCUUCAAAGGUAAACACUCAAGUUAUCAUCACAAUUACUAAAAAGGAAAUGCGUCAUAUUUAACAAGGAUAUGCCAACAUUUACCAGGAAAAGAAAACUUGAUGAAAAAAGGACUGGGUUUCAAAUGAGCAACAAUGAGUCAAGCGCAGACACAGGAAAUCCCCUGCAAAGGUAAAAUUAUAGGCGAAGAAUACAAUUACCUAUGAAGGUCCUGUAUUUAAUAACAAUUUAUUUCAACCGCAACAAUUAUGAACUGAUUUUCAGAUCCAAGUUUAACAGUUCAAGCGUAUGUAUUUAAUAACAAUUAAUUUCCGAAUAGGUACAAUACAUCAGAAUCAGUCAAAAAAAGUAGUUAUCUCCCUGUUUUGACAUCCAAUUUUCACAGCUCAAACUUCACUGCUGAAGUAAACUCAACGGAACUCGCACGCUUAUCAAGACUGAACAGGAAAAGGAAACUUGACCUUAGAAGAAGCGGAUCUACAUUGAAUAACAGUUCGACCUGUUCAAAUCCAGCAAAUCACACUGAAAGGUAAACAUACAGAAAAUCAACACCAUUGUUAGAAAGGAAAUUUUUCCUUAUUCAACAAUAAACACUGACUGUGAUAUGAAUAAAAUCAGGUCUAGAAAAGAAAAAUAUCAGAUCCCAUCAACCAACAUGGAAACGAAUAGGUAUGUUAACCACAUUAUAAAAAUGAUAUCAUCAUUCAGUUUAUUUUUAAAUCACUUUUUUCUUUUAUGAAAAAAAUAUUUGUCUUCCAGUCUCAAGAUGAAUGAUCGAGUAAGUAAGGAAGGAAACAUUACAAGGAAUAAGGUUGCUGUACCACCAAGGAAGAAGAAAAAAUCAAGCGUGAAAGAAUGGAAUUUUGGCAAGCCUACAUGCACAUGUCAACACUGUGGUGCACUUUUCUGGUACGAAGAAAGAACUCGUGGCAAAGGAAAAGGGCCACCUUCUUUUAGCUUAUGCUGCAACAGGGCAAGGUUGACUUACCUACACUAAAGAAACCACCUACUUACCUUUCAAAUCUGAUGUGCAAAGAAAAAGGAAAGAGAUCGAGGAACUACAUGGACAAUAUCAGAGUAUAUAACUCCAUGUUUGCAUUUACCUCCAUGGGAGGAAAAGUUGACAGAGAGAUAAACAAUGGGUCUGGACCAUAUGUUUUCCGCAUGAAUGGCCAGAACUACCACCGAAUAGGUACUCUACUGCCUGAAGAAGGCGAUAAACCUCGCUGGGCGCAACUUUACAUCUAUGACACUGAGAACGAAGUCAAAAACAGAAUUGACGCAUCAACAUCAUCCCAUAAUAGAGAAUCAAUAGAUUCACACAUUGUCUUAGGCCUAAAGAACAUGCUGGACAGAGAAAACGUACUAGCACAAACAUUCAGAAUGGCAAGAGAUAGAUUCAAAGAAGGUGACUAUCAUAAUGUAAGCCUACGACUUAUAAGGAAGCGUGGUGGAGAUGGCAGGCAGCAUAACAUGCCAUCGGCAUCGGAAGUGGCAGCACUGAUUGUUAAUGACACGAGUGAGAACCAAAAAGGACGUGACAUAAUUGUUCAUUAUAAAGACACAGGGCCCAGAAGAAUAUCAGAAAACCAUCCAAAAUUCAUGGCAAUGCAGUACCCGUUGCUAUUUCCCUAUGGAGAAGAUGGCUUCACAAACAAAAUAUUGUACAGAGAUAACCAUGGAUCCAAAUGCAAGAGAAAACAUUUGACCAUGCUGGAGUACUAUGCUUAUCGCAUACAACAGCGCAAAAAUCAAUGUAUGCACUUGCUAAUGUGUGAAAAAUUGACGUUGCAGUUCAUUGUUGAUGCACUAGCGUGCAUAAUCCAAUAUAGGCUGGACUGGAUAAGAAAACAUCAAGGGAAUCUUAGAACUGAACUGUAUGCUGGCUUGCAGGAUGCAAUUGAAAGGGGUGACACAAGAGCUGAACAGGUUGGAAAAAGGAUACUACUUCCUUCAUCUUUCACAGGCAGCCCAAGAUACAAGGCACAAAACUACCAAGAUGCUAUGGCAAUAUGUCGUUGGGCAGGAUACCCAGACCUGUUUGUCACUUUCACGUGCAACGCUGCUUGGCCAGAGAUACAAAAUAUGCUAGAUGAAAUAGGAGUUCAGAAACCAUCAGAUAGACCUGACAUUGUUGACCGAGUAUUCCAUAUAAAAUUGAGGGAAUUGAUGACAGACAUAAAGGACAAGCAAUACUUUGGAAAGACUCUUGCAAGUAAAAAUCCUAAACCCGCAUAUUCAUUAGUUCGAAUUUAUUUAAUUUUAAAAAGGAACUAACAAUUGUCCAUCUUAAUGCAGUUAUAUACACAAUUGAGUUCCAAAAGAGGGGACUUCCACAUGCCCAUAUACUAAUCUUCCUUGACAAGAAAGACAAAUGCCCAGACGCUUCAGAGAUCGAUAGAAUAAUAAGUGCAGAGAUCCCAGACAAGGAAGAAGACCGCGAAGGAUUUGAAGCUGUGGAAAAUUUCAUGAUGCACGGUCCAUGUGGAGAGGCAAAGUCAAAUUCACCAUGCAUGAUAGAGAACAAAUGCAUCAGAAAUUUCCCCAAGAAAUUCCACAGUGAAACAACCGUGGAUGAGGAUGGAUUCCCAACAUACAGAAGAAGAGACAAUGGCAGGUACAUAGAGAAAGGAAACGUUAAGCUAGACAACAGAUAUGUAGUCCCUUACAAUAGAGACUUGCUGGUAAAGUACCAAGCACACAUAAAUGUCGAGCGGUGCAAUCGAUCUAAGUCAAUCAAAUACCUUUUCAAGUACAUGCAUAAAGGCGACGACCAAGCAACAGCCCUAAUCGAAUCUGAUCAUGAUGAGAUCAAGAAGUACCUGGAAUGCACGUACAUAUCAGGACAUGACGCAUGUUGGCGAAUAUUCCAAUUUGAGAUGCACUAUCGAUAUCCAUCUGUUGAGAGGCUACCAUUCCACCUGGAGAACGAACAGCAAGUUAUUUUCCCAGACUCGGCAGACUUAAGGAAGAUUGUAAGAAAAGAAAGAAUAGGAGUCACUAAAUUUACACAGUGGAUGGAAACAAACAAGAUCAAUGAUGAAGCAAGGGACUUCACUUAUGCUGAAUUCCCAUCAAAAUGGGUAUGGAAGAACAAACUAAAACAGUGGAACAAGCGGAAAAAAGGAAAAAUGAUUGGUAGGAUCUACUAUGCACAUCCAGCAAGCGGAGAUAAAUACUACCUAAGGAUGCUACUGAACACAGUGAAAGGACCCAGAACAUUCGAAGAAAUCAGAACUGUAGAUGGAGUUGUACACCCAUCAUUCAAAUCAGCUUGCGAAGCAUUAGGAUUUCUUGACGAUGACAGGGAGUGGGUUGAAUGCAUCCGAGAGGCAUCCAACUACGCAUCAGGGAACCAACUACGACAUCUUUUCACAACAAUUUUAUGUCACUGUGAGGUAACUGAUCCGAAGAGAAUAUGGGAAAGCUGUUGGGAGGAUCUAGGUGAAGACAUAGAAUACAAACAGAGAAAAAAUCUCAACUAUCCUACGCUUCGCCUAACAGAGCAACAAAAAAAGGGACAUGCUCUGAUAGAAAUAGAAAAGCUGAUGAGACAAGCUGGAAAAACACUUGAGGAAUACCCUGAUAUAGAGCUACCAAAAUGUGCUGAACUACGGGAACUUGGAAACAGACUUCUGAAUGAAGAAAUGAGCUAUGACAAAGACAAGCAGAAAGAGGAACAUGAUAGCAUAUUUGGUAAACUUAAUGCAGAACAAAAGGUAGCAUUUGAUUCAAUAAUAGAGUCAACCAACAAGGGGUUGGGAAAACUAAUGUUUGUCGAUGGCUACGGUGGAACAGGAAAGACUUACCUGUGGAGAGCUAUCACAACCAAACUACGUUCAGAAGGAAAGAUAGUACUCACGGUUGCAUCAUGUGGUAUAGCAGCCUUACUUCUUCAUGGGGGGAGAACAGCUCACUCAAGAUUCCACAUCCCACUAAUUGUUACAGAAGAGUCAACAUGUGACAUCAAACAAGGAUCGCACCUGGCGGAACUACUUAAAAAAACAUCACUCAUACUGUGGGACGAGGCUCCAAUGGCAAACAGAAUUUGCUUCGAGGCGCUAGACAGAAGUCUAAGGGACAUACUAAGGUCCAAGGGUGAAGAUAACAGCACAAAGCCAUUCGGCGGUAUGACUGUGGUUCUAGGAGGAGACUUUCGCCAGAUUCUUCCUGUUGUGCGAAAGGGAAGACGCACGCAAAUAGUAAAUGCAUCAAUAAAACGGUCCUACCUAUGGCAGCACUUCCACAUCUUCAAACUUACAAGGAACAUGCGCCUGAGCUGCAUCUCAAGAGAUGAAGACGAGCAAAAAAGGACUGCAGAUUUCGCACAAUGGAUUUUGAACAUUGGUGAUGGCAAAACAACAUCAGCGGAUGGAGAGGAAUGGAUAGAAAUACCUGAUGACCUGAUACUGAAGAAAGGAGGUGAUCCAAAGGAAGAAAUUGUGAAGAGCAUAUAUCCAAACUUGGUACAGAAUUAUAAGAAACGAGAUUUCUUAGAACAGCGAGCAAUUCUAUGCCCAAGAAAUGAGACAGCGAGGAAAAUUAAUGAAUUUAUAAUGAACAUGAUAGAAGGAGAGGAGAUAACAUAUCUGAGCUGCGACACUGUAUGCAAAGCAACAACUAAUGACAGUGAAACCGAUGUCCUAUAUCCAACAGAAUUUCUAAAUAGUCUAAACUUCCCUGGAAUGCCAAACCAUGUGCUGAAACUGAAACUAGGCCUUCCAGUGAUGCUACUGCGAAACAUUAACCAAAGUUCAGGGUUAUGUAAUGGUACACGAAUGACCAUUACUCAGCUCGGGAAAAGAUUCAUUGAAGCACAAAUCAUAACAGGAACACAUGUAGGAGAAAAGGUAUAUAUCCCUAGAAUAAUAAUGACGCCAACAGAGUCAGGAUGGCCCUUCUUGCUAAAAAGAAGACAAUAUCCACUCAGUGUGUGCUUCGCUAUGACCAUCAAUAAAAGCCAAGGACAGUCUCUAAACAUGGUAGGACUAUAUCUGCCUAAGCAAGUAUUCACGCAUGGGCAGCUCUACGUAGCGUUCUCCAGAGUUACAAGACGAGAUGGGCUACGGAUAAUGCUAGAUGACAAUGAAAGCCCAGGUGAACAUAUGGUCAGGAACAUAGUGUACAAAGAGAUUUUCUAGAAGGUAUUAUAUCAUUCUCAUUCAUCUAUAUUGAUCAUACAAACUAUGUUGCAAACUACUCAUGGGUACCUUAUCAUUGUAAAUAUUCAUUGCAGCUGCUCUAUUCCUGCUUCUCUCCAGUACAACAUUGAUUGUGCUACAACAUACUCUAGCGAAAGGCUGCAAUUCAAAAUUACCAUUUACAGUGAGUAUUUUUACCAGCUGAAAUAGGAUGAUAUUUCAAACAUUAUAUCUUCCUUUCACAAACAAUAUAUUUCAUCUUUGUACUAUAUUCAAUAAUUACUACCUCUGUUUUCAAAUGAAUGACGUUGAUUAGUGCAAUUUUGAACUAACCGGCGUCAAACAAAAAGAAAUGGAGAGAUAUAAAGUUAUAGGAUAAUUACAUUUUCCUUCUAUUAUAACAUUUUUCCCCAGAAAGUAAACAUCCAUGAACCAUUUAUUUUUUUAGACAAUGGAUUAAACAGGCUUAAACAUCCAAAAUACAUGUACACAGCCAAUGAGCCAUUUAAUCACAUCAUAAUUCCGCAAUCUUUCGUAUUAUGCACAUACCGUCUUUCCAUAGAGCUGUGAACAACAACUCCAUCGCUGCCAAUUGUCCCCUGGCGAACACCCCAGCAGCUGAUGCCAAAUCCACUAAUCAAGGAAAAUAGAGAGGACAUAACCAAUACAGACGAAGGAAGAUAGAGAGGUCGACACACCGCAGCCGCCAACCCACCCACUGAGCUAGGAGAUAAUUCAAGGAGGAUGUUGAGGUGAGGACGGAACAUGGGAGGUGGAUAUGGACAUGGCGCUGCAAGCCUGCAACAGCCACUGGAGGGAGGGAGACGGGAAACUACAGGAGACCCACGCCGUCCCCGCCACCCGCUGCUCUCCGCCCGCGGACCACGCCAUCCCCGCCUCCUACCAUAUGAAGUUUUGUGAAGGUCUGGUAUGGUAAUUAUAUAUAAAAUUAUCAAAUUGAAAGCAUUUUUUACUUUGAAGUUACAAGCUUUUUUUACUACAAUUAGUUAACUACGAAAGCUCAAUUAUACAGAGCCAUACAGACACCCUUUAUGAUGGGCCAAAAAAUCUCAAAUAUGCAGUACAAGAGGGAUAACUUGAACGUAAAGCAGAGACAAAUCGAUACAGAGCAAAGACAUGGGAACAGAGCAACAGGACAUUAGUGCAGUACACAUUGACGAUGCAGGGAUGCACGAUGCAAUACCUGAGGACAGCGCCUGUUGUACAGCCCAAUCGCGAGUGAAGCGGUUGGCGAUGCAGUAGCUCGGCGGCGCAACCAGCUCGGCCUCGCACUCCACAACCUUGCGGGAGCGCACGUCAGAUCGAGACCUCCGUCCCCGCCACCCGCGUCGCCGUCCCCCCGUCCACAGCGCCUGCAGCUCUCCGCUACCGCUCUCUGCCCGCAACCCACGCCAUCCCCGCCACCCGCCGCCGUCCCCGCCAUCUACGCCAGCAACCCACGCCAUCCCCGCCGUCUGACGCCGUCCCCGCCGCCUACGCCGCCAACCCACGCCAUCCCUGCCGCCUGCGCCGCCGUCCCCCCUGCCCAAAGCUCUCCGCUCGCACCUCCGGCCCGCGCCAUCCGCCAUCCGCCAUCCGCCCUCCUCGUCCGCCCUUCCCCUCAGACCUCAUCCUUUCCAUUUUCCCCUCUUCUGUCACUCUCUCCUUGCUAUCCAUACGUAUACUCGUAUAGCGGAAUAGAAAAGAAGAGCAAAAAAAAAUAGCUUAGACAGAGUUACAGAGUAUUAGUUGCCUACUACUAAUUAGUAUUUUAGUCAAAGCAAAGUGAUGCAAAAUUUGUUUGGUUAAGUGCAGUUUUUUUUUCACAAAUGCAUAAUUAUUUCAUCUACAUAGAUUAACAAAAUUUAACAAUCAUCUGUUUUUCCUGUACUUGCGAGACGAAACUUUUAAAACUAAUUGCGCCAUGAUCUGACAAUGCCGUGCUACAGUAAACAUUUGCUAAUGACCGAUUAUUUACGCUUAAUAAAUUUGUCUCACAGUUUAUAUGCGGAUUAUGUAAUUUGUUUUGUUAAUAAUCUAUGUGUUAAUAAUUCAGAUAACCACUUUUCUCUAUCCUCUAUUUUACACAUGCUUCUAAAAAAUCCUACGCUAUCACAUGAUUUAAAAUCUUAGACAUAUUAUUUUGGACCAUUACAUUAUAUCUUUUCAAAAUAAAAAACAUAUAUAAAAUAUAAGAAAAAAAAUAUGACCAUUGUAACUUUAAUCGGUAAAACAAUUAUUUACAUCCGAUAGACCAAUCCUUAAAAAUACAAAUCCAUUCCACCUCUCUCCCAUACAUAAUCACUCGUCUCUCCACGAUAUCUGUACGUACAUGCAAGAUAUAUAUCUUGCAUAUAACAGAAUUUUAAAAAAUUACCAUCGAGACAAUCGUCAAGCUACUAAUGCAAAGGUUGUUUGAUUAUUAUUUGUCCAGAUGAUAAUUUGAUCUAACUGGGUUAAUACAUUUUAAAUUUUUUACACUCUAUCCAAACAUCCAUUCUAUUCCAUACUAUAUUUUAAACAUUCAUUUCUAUCAUAUUUAUAUACCAUUUUCUUUUCUUUUCUCAAAAUCAUUUAUAUACCAUUUUCUAUUAUUUUCUAAAAAUCCUGUGUUACAAAGGAAACCCUAAAUUCUUUCUAAUAACAACAAAAAUUAUGAUAGUUUAAAUAAUAUGCCCGCGCAACUGCGCGGGCUACCUUCCUAGUUAUUAACUAAAUAGUAAAUUAAAUACACCACCAACAAAUUAAACCAGAACAAUUAAGUGCUGCUUGUAUUGCUCGUCAGAUGGUGGGUCACGAAACUCAAUUGAAAAGAAGGGUACAGUAGUGUUCCGCUCUACUCUCAGUAAGAAGAUGGUAAUUAAGUGUGAUGGAUUUGAUCAAGUGAGAUUGUGCUUGAAACUUACUGACAACAGGCGAUGGCGAUCGAGUUUGACCUGAACACAGUUGAUGAUACAAAUUUGGCAUUUCACAUGUGAGACUUAAUAUAACAAUCGAUAUAUUAAUUUCACUUCAUCACUAGCUACAGGGCGUCACGACACGUCGUAAUUAAAAUUAAUUAGACCAGCUCGCUAAUUAACUAUACUCUUCGAUACAAAGUCAACUCCAUGCGCACAAGCUAGAGACGAAUGCGAAGAAGAAGAAGAAAACUUAGAAGAUGCAACUAUAUAUCAAACAUAUAUAUAACGAGAUAUAUAUAGUAUUAGCAAAGAAAGAGAGAUAAAUUAAGGGAUAUAUAGAUAUAUUGGUAGAUCCUUUUGCAAGGUCAACUCCAUAAACAAAGCAUUGAUGCAAUGGCAAUGUCAACGCCCCUCCCUCGCCGCCCAUUUUUGCCUUCUCCCGCCGCGCCGCCGCCACUUCGAUCCCCCCUCCGAUCGAUGCGCGCAUCGGAUCGCCGCCGCCGCCGCCGUCUCGUCUGAGUCGUCCUCAUCACCACCAUGGGCAACAGCUUGGCGAGCCUGGCGACGCCGUGCUUCGCGGACGCCGCCGCCGGUGGUGGGCGCGGGCGCGGUCACCACGCCGCCGGCGACGACGCCGUUGCGUUCGACGACGACGACGCCGCGGGGGGCUGCAACAGCAUCGGUCACAUUCUGAGCUUCGAUGGACGCGAUGCGCCGGCGUUCGCCAUCCAUGGCGUGUUGCUGCCGUCGAACCCGUCGACGAUGGCCUCCACCGGCGGCGGCGGCGGCGGCGGCGCCUCCGUCCUCAACGACGGCGCGCUGUCCAUCGGGUCGUCGUCGUUCGACAGCUCCAACUCCUUCUCGUUCCGGACGCUCCAGCCGCGGCAGUACUCCGGGCCACUGGAGUACUGCACCACGUCGCCGUCGACGUCGGGCGCGUCGUCGUCGCGGCAGCUCGGCCCGCGCACCGACAAGCAGAUCCUCAACGACAUCUACGCCAACCGGCAACGCCGCCGGUGUCAGGGGUCCAAGGGGCCGCCGCUCCUCGGCCGCCUCCGCAAGGCGGUGGCGUCGCUGCUGCGCGCCGGGCCGUGCGGCUUCCCCGAGCAGGAGGAGCCCGCCGCCAUGAUCAACGGCGUCGGCGUGGUGAGGAACGGCGAGGAGAGCAUCAGCCGGAACGUCGACGCGGCGGCGGCGGACGACGGUGCGGAGAGGGUGCAGUGGGCGCGCGGCAAGGCCGGGGAGGACAGGGUGCACGUGGUGGUGUCGGAGGAGCACGGGUGGAUGUUCGUCGGCAUCUACGACGGCUUCAAUGGCCCCGACGCCACCGACUACCUCGCCGACAACCUGUACGCGGCCGUGUGCCGCGAGCUCAACGGCGUGCUCUCGGAGGACGAGCCGGAUCCACCGGAGGCGGCGGCGGCGGCGGGGCGGUGCAACGGGUGCGGCGGAGCGGCGCGGCACCGCGAGGUGCUCGACGCGAUGGCGCGGGCGCUGCGGCGGACGGAGGAGGGGUACUUCGCGGAGGCGGAGGCGCGCGCGGCGGAGUGCCCGGAGCUGGCGAUGAUGGGGUCGUGCGUCCUCGUCGUGCUGAUGAAGGGCGCCGACGUGUACGCCAUGAACGUCGGCGACAGCCGCGCCGUGCUGGCGCACCAGGCCGAGCCGGACCUGUCCCACGUCGUGCUGCCGCGGGGCAGCCACCACGAUGGCGACGGCGACCUCGCCGGCGUGAAGGAGGCGAUCAAGCGGCAGUUCGACGAGUGCGAGAUGGGGGAGCUGGCGGCGCUGCAGCUCACCAUGGAUCACAGCACCAAUGUGUACAAGGUUAUUAUACUCCCUAGUAUUCACCAUUGCAUUCAGGGUUUAAUCUUUCGGUUUGGACGUUUCUAUUGAAGGGUGCUGAGAUACCAACAUUUUGAAAAAAAAUUACACAAAUUUAAACAAAAUAUUGCCAAAUUCACAAGAAAAAAAAUAAAAAAUUUGGCUGAAACUAUAUCAUAUUGUGGGGAGGGGUCUGAAAUGACCGAAAUUUUGAAACUCUGAUUGCAUUGACAUUGUAUUGGUUGGUUCUGAUGGAACUAAUUGAUUGGAUCGCCAUUGAAAUGUGUAGGAGGUGAGAAGGAUCAGGAGUGAGCACUUGGAUGAUCCUGGCUGCAUCACCAAUGGCAGGGUGAAGGGUUGUUUGAAGGUGACAAGAGCGUUUGGAGCUGGCUACCUAAAAGAGGUGUGCAUAUUUGUAUCUAACUAAAUUUUAUUCUUAAACCACAUAUUAAUCCUUUAGUGACUAACUAUAUCAAGCCUAACUAUAGAAGAAACUAACUGUAAUGACUAGCUUGCGUACAUUUCAAGUUAACUUUGAUCAAAGUCAAAACAACUUAUAAUCUGAAACGGAGGGAGUAUUUGGUGUUGCAGCCCCGUUGGAACAAGGCUCUACUAGAGGUGUUCCAGGUGGAUUAUGUGGGUAGCUCGCCGUACAUCAGCUGCCGUCCGUACAUCCGACACCACCGGUUAGGGGCGCAGGACAAGUUCUUGAUCCUCUCGUCGGAUGGUCUGUAUGACUACUUCACAAAAGAGGAGGUGGUGGCACAAGUGGAGGCCUUCACCGCCGGCUACCCCGACGAGGACCCUGCCAAGUACCUCAGCCACCAGAUUCUCCUCCGGGCCGCCAAUCAAGCUGGUUAGUUUUACUCUCUAUAUAUAAACUCCCUCAAUCUUAAAAUAUAUAACACCGUUGACUUUUCGUAUAACGUUGGACCAUUCGCGUUAUUCAAAUUUAGUAAUUCUCUCAGUAUCUCCAUUACAAGAAAACCGACAAUAGAAAAAUGUGAUACUUCCUUAAUAACCGUAAAAUCACUCCUUCUAUAUAUGUUGCUAUUUAGUUGGCAAUGCUGUUUGUUGUUGUUUUAACUUUGACCAAUAAUAAUCGUAAUAGUGCUUGUAAAUUUACUAAAAUGAAUGGUCAAAGUUUGAAUGUAAAUGAUGCUUGAUGACAAAUUUUUAGGAACUGAAGAAGUAAUAGAACCUUUCUUUCUCAUAGUUAUUGUAGAAGAAAACAUACCUGAAAUAGCUUGUUAAUUUUCUGGUUACCUCUAUCUUGUUAGUUGCACUCUAAUCAAGUCUUCAUUUUUUUUUCUUUCAGAGUCAAGAACAUGUAAUUGUUUACUUAUUAUUACUUAGGGUUAAUAUUGAUUUUAAUUUUUUUGAUGCAUUAUUUGUGUAGGGAUGGGGUUCCAUGAGUUGCUAGAGAUUCAGCAAGGAGAUCGACGACAGUACCAUGACGAUGUCUCCAUCAUUAUCAUCUCCUUGGAGGGAAAAAUUUGGAGAUCAUCACAAUGAACUAAUCCUGUCCAUGUACUAGUGAUUAAUCUCUACCACCAAUAUUGCAUUGGUAGCAUACAUGAUGCAAUCUACAAUGUACAAAGGAUCAAUCAAUCACUGAGGGGGAGUAGCACAUGCAAUUUUUUUCCCCUCUUGUAAGUCAAAAUCAAUCACAAAUCAAUGAGCAAGUUUUGGCGGCAGUUUAUUUUUUAAUCUUGCUUCCAUCGAGUUUUAUGAAGGGAUUAUACAUGAUACUUCAUUUUAGGAUUUCUGUUUUGAUUCUCUGUGUACUAGGUUAAUAUAGGUUGCGUUUAGUUCCGUGUCCUAAUUUUUUUAAGUAUAUGGACACACAUUUGAAGUAUUAAAUAUAGACUAAUAACAAAACAAAUUACAUAUUCCGACCACAAACUGCGAGACGAAUCUUUUGAGCCUAAUUAAUCCGUCAUUAGCACAUAUGGGUUACUGUAGCACUUACGGCUAAUCAUGAUGUAAAUAGGUUCAAAAGAUUUAUCUCGCGAUUUACAUACAGCCUAUGCAAUUAGCUUUUCUUUUUAUUUACAUUUGAUGCUCCAUACAUAUGUCCAAACAUUCGAUGUGAUGAAAAAGUUGCAAGUUUGAAGAAAAAAGUUAAAAUCUAAACACAGCCGUAGUAGUUUUUUUUAUCUCACCUUCUAUAUAAAAAAGGGAAACAAACAAAAGAGCUUUAUCAAAAUGACAAUAAUUUGUAUGUAAGCAGAAGACAGAAAGACACUUAGAUUUUAUACUUCGGAGAUUUGAUCAUAUACCUUCUUUUAUAUCGAAAAGGUAGGCAAAAUGUGAGAAAAAUGAACCAAAAAGCAGAGCUGUUCCCAUAAGCAGUUUUCCCUCAUUGGCCUAAAAAAAUAAGUCAAAGCUAAAAUUUUAAAUUUUAAAAACUUAAUUUUGAAGAUGUUUUUAAUGUAGUUUCUUUUUAGCACUGACUUAUAGAUCAAACACGUGUAUAAAAGUUUUACCCACAUUGUUUUGAUUGCUAAUAAACCGUUACGACUUGGGUAACUGACGAGGCUUAAAACCUAUGUUACUUAAAUAAAAAAGUAUUAUGUUUUCAACAACAUAUAGGAGGGAGCUAUGUAAACGGGUUUGAUUUGAAAUUAAUUCAUCUAAAAAUGUUUGAAUUCCUCUAAAAAACGAAGGAGUUUGAAUUGAGUGCGAGCAGCUCACUUGGAAAUUGGAAUGUCCCAAGCUAAAACAAAAAGAGUGAAUCCACUAGUGUAGUGCUCCACUACACUCUUGCAAUAGCAGAGCAGGGUAUAUAAAAUCUGGCGAAUCGAGAGGAGGAGGCGAUCAAUUCGAUUAAAUUCACUAAAAUUCAAUUCGAAUUCAGAUCGAAUCGAGGGAUCCCCCAUCCCCAUGGCGUCGCCGACGUCCUCCGCCUCCGCGCCGGCGAGCCACCACCUGCGCCUCUGGUGGCGCCGCCGCGGCCGCGGCGGCGCCGUCGGGGCCACCUUCACCGUCGCGCUCCUCGCCGCCGCGCUGCUCCUCGCCCUCUCCUUGUACGCCUCCUCCCUGCCCCGCGCGCCUACCACGCCCUCCUCCUCCUCUAACCUCGUCGGCCUCACCCUCGUCCGCCGCGCCAAGGAGAAGGGCGCGGGUCAGUAGUCCUCUCACCUCGAUUUGAUCCCCUUUCGUGUUUUGCAACAUAGUUGGUCAGGUGGAGUGUGUUUAUGCUUUUGAGUGUGAUUUUGCAGUGUGCUUGGAUGGGAGCGCGCCGGGGUACCAUCUGCAGAGAGGCUCCGGCACUGGAUCUCAAAACUGGCUCCUUCACUUGGAGGUGAGCAGCCUUUUGGAUCUAGUUCUAUUGAUUUAGAUACAGAACCAUGAAUAAUUAGUUUAGUUUAGAGGACAAUGCAUGUUUCGUGGGUUUCAAAACCCUUGAAAUUUAAGCGCUGGAAUAACUGCACUUUCGAGUAAGAGUUGCUCAUGUUGUUCAUGUCAUGGUAUGAUCUAUAAACACUCCGAUUAUGAUAGCCUGACACAAACUUUAGGCAUGAUUUAGCUGUAGCUGACUCGGUGUUGAUGAAACAAUGGGCCUAGAAUGGUUUUGCAGAAAACUAAUGUUUGGAGCAUAUCAGCGUAUAGCAAUGCGCUGGUAAUGGCACAGUUAGAUUAUUCAUGAAAUGAUAGUGUUGUGGUAUCUAGAGGGCUUCUUAUUUUUACCAUUUUUAACUAAUGGAUACUUGCUAAUUGAUGCUCCCGAGCUUCAGUUUCUUGUCUGCCCAGUUUUUCUUGUUUGCGUUAUUGUCUUUGCCAUUCUUGUCAGCUUUUCAAUUUCCUGAAUUAUCGUGUUCCAUGAGCUUUAGGGCGGAGGCUGGUGCCGGAAUCUGAGGUCAUGUGCUUCACGUCAAAAAUCGGUGUUGGGUUCAUCGCAAUACAUGGAAUGCCAGAUUGAGUUUGCUGGGAUCUUGAGUAAUGACAAAUUUCAAAACCCAGGUAGCUACAUUUUAUUUUUAUACUAGCUGUCUGCUCCUUUUAUUAAUAAUGUGAUCCAGUAUUCAAACUGCUGUAUUGCAUCAUUAGUACAAUCUACAGUGUGUACAGUAGUCCCAGGUAGCUACAUUUUAUUUUUAUACUAGCUGUCUGCUCCUUUUAUUAAUAAUGUGAUCCAGUGUUCAAACUGCUGUAUUGCAUCAUUAGUACAAUCUACAGUGUGUACAGUAGUCGUGCCUUCUGGUAAAAUAAUCAUGUCCAAAUAACUCGAGUUCUGUUGUUGCAACAGUUUUUUUACAACAGUGUUUUCAGCAGCAUGAACAAGUCCUCAUUGAGACUUUGAAAAUUUCUUGGAUAGUUAUUUACUUACUGUAUUUUGCAGCUUAACCUAUCGUAUCAUAUUUUACUGAUUGUUUCUGACAUAAAUAAUAUAUUUCACCAUCAUCUGUAUAUAACUAGCAGUUCAUGCAUUUGUAUCAUGUGUUCAAACAGAACUAUCCAUCUAGUAUUUACUUGGUGUGAGAUCAGGCCAAUUGUUGACUACAGAACAAAUUCCUUGCUCCUUUCAGGAGUAAUAUUUUUGAACUCCUAAAUACUGGUAGUCUCAUUCAGCUUGCCUUCCAUGUGCAGAUUUUUACAAUUGGAAUAAAGUUAAGAUAAGGUAUUGUGAUGGGGCAUCAUUUUCUGGAAACGUCAAGAACGAAUUGCAGGUCUGAUUUGCCCUUUUUUUUUUCAAUAGAUGUUCUUAGUAACUCAGUAUUUGUUCUGACAUCCAGGUAUUGUUAAUCAUUGCAGAAUGGCACAAAAUUCUUUUUCCGGGGCCAGCGUAUCUGGGAGGCAGUAAUGAGCGAACUUCUACUAAAGGGACUCAGGCAUGCCAAACAGGUAAUUCCUAGCAAGCACAACAAUGUUCUUUUUUAUUAUUUUUCAAGCGUAUUCAUGAUUCAAAUGCAUGAAUCAAACAUCCAUCUUAAUGUUAUAUUGUUGCCCUGCAUGGAUAUAUGCAUUUUUAGCUGAGGUUAACUGGGUAAAAAUAUUCUAAGAACAGAAUAGGUCCUUUUGGCUCAUUUCUUUGGUAAUCAAUUGAAUGACACAAAGUUUCGGUGUGUUUCUGAAGAUAUUUGGCAAUCAAUUAAAUGUUGUUUACUGAAAUAUAAUGUAUUCCAAAGAAACAAUAUGGCUGAUUAGUGAUCGAUAAAUAACAUGGACCCGCUACAUAUGAAGUAUUGACAAUGGUGUCUAACUUUACUUUUCUGUGUACCCAAGGGAUCUCUUCACCAUUGUCUAUGAAGCUCUGUAUAACUACUUGCUGAUCUUUACUGUAUGUUUUUCUUACCAUAGUAUGUAUUCACAUGCUUACAAAAUGACCGUAUAUCUUGAUCUAAUAUACUAUGCUGUUUUCCAUAUAAGAAAUUCAACUGUUGUACUGAUGGUGUAAUGCUGAUAUUUUCCAGCUUUCAGGCUUUUCUAACAGGAUGCUCUGCUGGUGGGCUAGCCACUUUCAUUCACUGCGAUAAUUUCCGUACACUGCUACCAAAGGAUUCUAGGGUUAAGUGUCUUGCGGAUGGUGGAUUUUUCCUCGAUGUGUAUGUUUCCAAAUCACCUUUGCACGUGCUUUGUGAUUUUCAAUAUUUUUUUCAUGCAUGCAUGAAGUACUUGCUAGAUAUUCUGUGUCAAUCUGAGUAUUUGCAGCUGUAGGCACAAAUAGUAACUAGAAGACUUCAAACAUCCAAACUAUUUGAGUGUAUGAACAUUGAAAAUCUUGUACUGACGUAUAUAUAAAAUGAAAUCGUCCAACGAGAUGAUAUUGUGUUAUUCUUACUCCGGUGUCUUGUUAUAAAAUCAUUCCUGGACUGGGCCAACUCGAGGUGGUACAUAUGCAUUCAUUCUGACCUUUCAGAUUAGAUUUUUUUGGAGUUUGCACUUCCUCUACGGCAUCACCUAAGUCACUAGUUCAUUUCAAGGCAUUAAUUGUCAGCAAGCAAACAUGUUGCACACUCCUUCAGCACUAGCUGAUCAGGAAUAAGAAAGUAUAUUCAAUAUGCCAUUUUUUCAGAGAGAAAAAAAUAUACUGUAAUAGAAAAUUGUACUGCAUUAUCUUCAGCUUCUAUCUAUCUCAUUAUGUUUUUUUUUCUCCAUUACAGAGAGGACAUUUCUGGGCAAAGGACCAUGCGAGCAUUCUACAACGAUGUUGUCCGUCUUCAGGUCUUUCCCUUCCUUCCUCCUAUAAAGUUAUCUGUUUCCAAUACUCAAAUCUCUUUCUCGAAUGUCCUUUUUUCAGGAUCUGCGUGGAAGGUUUCCCCAUUGUGGUCCAAACAUGGAUCUGGGCCAGGUUAGUCAUGGUAUGCAUUUAUAUCAGUAAUCUUGCUAUCCCUGAUCUUAUGCUUUACUAAAUCCUGGCCAUUAACUUUGUUCCAGUGCUUCUUCCCAAGUGAAGUUGUAAAGGACAUCAUCACCCCAGUAUUUGUUCUUAAUCCAGCGUAUGAUGCUUGGCAGGUAUCCUUAUUUCCACCACUAGAGUUCUCCAGUGUUGUGUAAAACUAUCAGUGUCAAAUAUUCUUAAAAAUUCCCAUUUCAGGUGCAACAUGUGUUGAGUCCAGUAGCAUCUGACCCUCAACAUUCAUGGCUAGAAUGCAGACUGGAUAUUAGCAAGUGUGAUUCGAACCAACUUGAAAUUCUCCAAGGUUGAGUCACCUUGUGUCUUAUUAUAUAAUUAACUUAUCCGCCUUUCAGGAUUUUGUAGUCAUGUUUUUCUAUAUGAAACAUACUUUGCAGGUUUUAGGAAAAAGUUACAUGAUACUAUAAGUGAACUUAAGCACAAAAAGGACUGGGGCUUUUUUAUCGACUCAUGCUUUAUACACUGUCAGUCGUUGAACUCCUUGACUUGGCAUUCUCCAUCUUCUCUUAGAGUCAACAACAAGGUAAUGCUUUCAUCCUCUAAAAAGAAAACAGAAAGAAAAAAAAUGUCUACAGUUCAAGGAACAUUAUAUAUUAUGUCAAAUUGACAAAUUGUAGGUUAGCCUGUGUUGAGGGCUAGCCUUUGCAAAUUUAUGGUGACCGUCAGCUGACUUAACAUCUAGUAUUUACAGUGAUGAUGUUCUUGAGAUUAUUUAUGUGUUUUAAACUAUUCGAUGUACAAGAAAGAAAGGUGUCCUGUUAGUCACAAGAUAAGAGUGACUCUAUAAAUAGUUUGCCGAGGAUUCAGCCUAUAAAAAAACAGGAAGAAGCUCCUCAGCAGUCAGCUGUGCUACUGCUGUACAUGAGUACAUCGUCUAAGCCCCAUAAAUAUAUUAUUUAAUGUAACAUCACAGGACAUCCCUUUGUAGGUCAUCUGUUGUAGAUUGCAUGUCUCCACUACGGCAUUACCUCAUGUUAGUUUAAUUUCCUGCACAUGAUACUUACUGAGCUAACCAUGAAGGUGUCAGUAUUCCUCCAAUCUUCUUGGUUUACUUCUUCAAUAUUUUGCUCGUGGUCUAACGUUGAAUCUGCUGAAUAGACCAUUGCAGAGGCGGUUGGAGAUUGGUUCUUUGACAGAAGAGAGGUGAAGGAAAUUGAUUGUGAAUAUCCCUGCAACCCGACUUGCCACAACUUGGUUUUUGCCAAGCCUUUCAAGGCAUGAUGAAGUUCUAAACACGUUUCUCUUUUUGCCAUGAUAUUGUAAAACAGGAAAUUUUAUAUCAAUCAUCGGUCAUCAUGUAAUCUUCAGACUCGUCGGGUGUUUGACACCCAAAAUCAUACAUCUGAGAUAGUUAGACUGGCCGAAUUUUUUUUCCACGCAAUUUAUGUAGGAUUAUAAGUAGUUUAUUCAAAAGUAGAAUUGUAUGUGCUGUACUUCACAACUUGUUUUCUAUAAAAUAAACAAAAAGUGUAUUUCUUGUACUGUUGUAGUAUUGCCUAUACAUACAUGUCUGGUCAAUCUACCCUAUCAUAAUUUGGACCCUGUACCUGCCAUCAAUCAGCUUAGAUAUUUUAAUUUUCCAUACGAUUAACGUAAUGAUUUCUAGCUCUUGAAAGCAAACAUGUCGUUUUCUUCUGACCUUUUGACCUUGUUCUAAUAAUAUGCGUGGCAUAUUGAUUAAUUGAGGAGAUGAUGCAAUUUAACUGACAAUUCCAUCUCACGAAAAGGCCAGCCAUGGGCUGUCAUUUGAGAUAGAUGGGCAUCUAACCUGUCAUUAUCCGUUAAGCAGUGGGAUUACUGAUCGUUUCCAUUACAGGGACGCGCACGAGGCAGCCUGAGAAAAGAGAAGGAAGCUAAUGAAAACGAAAGCGGCCAAGACCAAGAAAACGAGUCGACGGUGAUGCCGCGUUAGGUCGCUCAUCAACAGUUGUCUCUCUUUCCCUCCAUUUCUGGUCCAGCCAUAAACACCAUUAAUACCGUUUUUUUAUCCUCUUUCCAAAGGAAAAUUUGCUCAAUACUUGACUGAAGUUAACAUGACAUUGUUCAUCACUCGUUUUCAGAAAAGAAAACAAAAAAAAAAGAGAGGGGACAUUAUUCAUCACUGUAGUGGUAGUGUGCCUAUAGGCACGUCACUGCUCUCCAGGAACAAAACGACACAACCAUUGUCUCCUAAUUCAGCGUCUAUUGGGACCCAAUGGGAGCACAAGUAAAAACAGCCAUUGGGGCUGAGUGAUGAGCCAUCAGAGAGUAAUUAAUCGCACUUUGAAAUUAUUAGUUAGUUUCUGUCACAUGAUGAGGUGUGGCACCAAGAUAUUUUUUGCUUGAGUGAUCAUAUGGACUAUAGAAUGGCCAAAGCUUCACAAAUAUCUGUCCGUGUUAUCGUCAGUUCGUCACAAGAAGCAAAAGAACUACUAGGUCGAUCACCAAGCCUGACGUGGAAUUGCAGCCAUGACUUGGAAGGUUUCCAAAUUCCAAGUUGUGUGCUGUGUCCUGGUCAAAACAAACUACAGUAGCACUUGGCUUGUGUCUCAUAUAGUCAUCUCCUAGUCCUUAAACUCUGCAUAACAACAAAGCUUUUGCCACAAAAAUUCUUGUUAUCUCCAUGAAUUUCUUUCAAUCUAAACCCAAUCCACACGGCAGACUUCAGUGUUAAUCAGAGUUGGUCCUCAGUCUCACCUAAACCUAUGAUGCUAAGUCCAUCUUUCCAAGUGAAAUGUAGUGGUAUGAUUUGUCGAUAGAAAAAUUAUGCUACUCCUGGAUCUCACAAUAUCACUGCAGGUAGGAGCACAAGAGAAGGUACAGAUCGCAAGGACAACCAUACAGCUACAGGCAACAACAGUCUUCAUUUUAUCAGCCUGAAGAAAAGAAACAAUCUGAUGCUGAUGCCAUCACGAACGAACGAAGGAAGCCAAUUACUAGCAGUAACAAUCCGGCUGUAACAGCCGGACGACGAUGGACAGUGGCACUGACAGAGACAGUGACACGCCACCACAGUUCAAAGAACCGGUACACACUGGAGUACGGUACAUACAAUGUCAUCACAUAGGCAGAGACCGCAGCUGCUGAAUUCAUGGCGAUCCAAUGGACCACCCUGCUGAUGGCUGCAGCAUCACCAGGACAUGAACUCGCACCAUUAUAACACGAGACAAGGGCCAAAAAUGGGGGCAUGAUUCAUCACACAGAGGAGGAGGGGUCAGGCCGGCGCAGAGCUCACAUGCCAUGGCAGGCUAACUUUAGAGGUGACGAACAUGAACCCCGUUUCACAUCUCUGCUGCAUGCAUCCCUUAACCACACCAACACUCACUGUGUGAUUGAUGAUGAAUUGCUCUCACUCACUCACUCACUCUCUCUCUGGUCUUUCAGAGCUCCUAUGCAUAUGCUAAGCUUAACCCGGCAAGCCGAAAAAUAGGGUGGGCACACAGACAAUGGGGAGUGGAGGGUUCUACUUAUUUAGUCCCUAUCUAUUUAACUUUCCAUGGAUCAAAGUUGCUCCAAAUUAGCCAUUGGAUUUUCAUCUGGGUUUCUGAUACCAACGGAUGUUUUGAGGAUGAUGCGGCGAUUGUCCGUGCGUUGUUCUGCUUUCAUAGAUCGUGCUCAGGCUUGUCCAGGUUGCUGCUGUCACUGUCCGCCAUGCGGCUCGAGCCACGGCCAAGCUUUGAGAAGGAGCCCAUGGCCGAAGGUAGCCCUUUGAAGCUGCUGCUGCCCUCACUGAGGUUGUGAGAUCGACGCGACCGCUUCCGGGUGAGCUGCAGGGAUGACGGCUUGUCAGGAUCACAAGCAGACCUUGUUUGGGCCACCACCAGCCGUGAGAUGCUGCCCCGGCAGAAUGGGCAGGCCGGUGAGGGCGGUGUCAGGGUCGUCGGAUUGGGUUUGUUGUGACAGCACAGUGCCAGCGUGCACGGUGCACACAUUUGAUGUCCACAGUCUUGCACCUCAAUGGUGCAAGCCUGGUCGAAGCAGAUGCAGCAAAGCUCCGUGUCGCUCACCUGUGCCCAAAUGAUCAACACAGCCAUUCAGUCAUCAUGCAAAUGCACAGAAAGCUAAAUUACACAAUGUGUUUAUGGGAUCCCAAUCUGACAGAUAACACUGAAAUUGUUCAGCACUCAAAUACCUCUGAGCAUGCAUCGUCAUCGGCACUGUCAUCACCGGGCGAAGGGGAUGGCAGGGAGUACUUUGUGCCAUUCAGGAUUUUCUUCUCCCUCUCCCUGUUGGCUUCCAUCAGAGCUGCUUCCAGGAGAGCCUUAGCUUCUGGUUCAAGCUCACUGAUGAACUUAAGUGGGGAUGGCCACACCAUGGGCUCUGCUGAUGUAGGGUUCAGCAAAGCUGCACAUGCUCCAUGGUUCCGUUUCAGCGCAACAGAAUAGGGAAUUCUCCUGGGGAAACAAAAACCAUUAAAAUUAAAAUCAGUGGCAGAGCAUGGGCAAUUCAGCAAAAGGACAGGUCAAGUUUGAGAAGAACAGCAAGCUCAUGUGAAUUCAGCAAAUGGUCAGCGAGUUCACCUGUUACUACUUGCUAGACUGAGGUCUACUGUCUAAGAACUGCAGGGAUUCUACUAAGCACCUAAAUUCAACACCUGAACUUCACUAACAACUAUGCUUGAUAGCACAUCAAUGUUUUCUUCUAUAUGCGCCAAGACAAAAACUGAAGGGGGAAAGAUCUAGUUCUCACCCAGCCGAAUCCCUUUGGAGCCGAUCAGCUCCCCAGGCAAGCAGCUUCCUGAUGCAAUCCAAGUUCCCGCUACGAGCAGCCAAAUGAAGCGACGUGCUUCCAGGGAAGCUGCAUCAAACAACACCACCACACGAAUCAGCACUGGUAGCAAGGAACCAACAGAGCUGAACAGCUGAUCACCAAACAUUAAUUUGGGAUGCCACCAAGAUCAGCAGCAUUACCCAUAUGAUCCUGUCAAAGCCGACACAAUGGCGCCGUUCUCCAGCAACACCUGCACGCACCCCGGCCGCCCCUGCCUGGCCGCGAGAUGCAGCGGAGUGGCGCCGUGGUCGUCCCUGACGUUGACGAACCGGGCGAAACCCCUGCCAAGCUUCGACAGCAGCAAGUGAGCUCACAGAGACAUCCAGAGCUAUUCUAUAGCUGUACCAAAGCCACACGACAGGAUGAGGAUGAUCUCACCAUGAGUCGGCCACCGGCGUGGUCUGCGCGGCGGCGAGGAUGGCCUGCAGGCAGUCGACGUGGCCGUAGUACGCCGCGUGGUGGAGGCAGGUCCUCGCGUGCACCGAGUCGAACAUCAAGAUCUGGUGCGAAAUCGUAACUGUUACUGAUUUUUUCAAACAGAAUUACUACAGUAUUAUCAGUAUACUGAUUUUGCAGUUCUUUUCUCUCACAUUUGCGUCGGCCUGGAGGAGCUUGAGCACGCAGUCGAUCUUGCCGUGCAUGGCCGCGAGCAUCAGCGGCGUCUGCAGCAUAAGCAGAAGAAGAGCAAAGCAAGGUGAGAAAACAAAAGGACAAGACGAGAUCUUUCUUUUUCAUUCAAAAUCAAAAUAUGAUAUUUUCAAGCAGAUACUAGUAAUUCGAAAAACAGUAGCAAAAAAGAAGAGAGAUUUUGGUGGGGAUCUCGCACCUGCUUGUGCCGAUUCACCGCGUCCGGCGGCGCCCCGCGAUCCAAGAACAUGGAGAGCACCUGGAAGAAGAAGAAGAAAGAAAACAAGAGAGAAAGGGUGAGACAAGCAAGUCCCGGAGACCGAGGGAAGAAGAAGAAGAAGAAGCAGUGAGGUGAGCGACCUCGAUGCGGCCAUUGGCGGCGGCGAUGUGGAGGACGGAGAGGCGGUCGUAGAGGGUGGCGCGGCGAGCGAGGGAAGGGUCGGCGGCGAGGAGGGCGGCCAGGGCGUCGAGGUCGCCGAGCUGCGCCGCCCGGAAGAAGUCGUGCUCGUCGCCGGUGCGGGCGCAGCUGACACCGUGACCCAUGGCCGCACCUCCCUCCUCCUCCGCCGCCGGCGAAGGCGCAGUGGGUGGCGCUGCCGUGGAAGGAAGGCCGAGAGUGAGAAUGGGGAAAGGAAGGAGCUCAACGCCUCUUUAUUGACCCUUCUUCCUUCUUCACUCUCUCUCUCUCUCUCUCUCUCUCUCUCUAGCUAGUCUCUCCCUUUCUCUCUCCUCUCUUUUUUUUUAAAAAAAGAAGAAAUAUUCAAAACAGGUAGAAAUAUCUUCGAAUUAUUUAUUUGAGCCUUUCACUGAAUGCUGAAAUUUUUUUCAUUCCUCGUAACUGCUACCCCCCCCCCCUAAUUUAUGACUCUCUUCAACUCAUUUUUACAAUUCAGUUUGCAGUUUUUUUUUUACUUUUUCCAAUUGGAUGAAAAUUGUACGGAUAGGAAAAGUAUCCAUAUUUCAAAGAAAAAAAAGGGUCUAAAGUUUCUUCGAUUCCCUGUGAUUAGUCUCCUCUAAGAAAAUAACGUGGGUAUCACUUUACUUUUGAGAAGUCUCCUCUGUGUUCUUUCGGCCAGUGAUCGAUCGAUGCUCUUGUUACCUAAACCGCAGGUGAGAUUAGAUUAGGUGCUAAUGCUACUACUUUGUACUACACGCCUACCGUUGCUCUCUGGUUAUCGUGGACCCUUCUUUCCCUUCUUCAAAGGCAAGUCUAUGUAAAAUGUCUCUAGCUAGCCUCUCUUAUUUUGUGUUGCCACUGCACUGCACCACACAACCAGACUGACAAAAAAAAUAACCAGGUUGAUUGGCUUAUUGGGCUCAUUUGCCAAGCAUUUACAGUGGCUAAAAUUGUACUAGUUCUUUUUUGGGUAAAAUCAUGUUUGUUGUUCAUAUGUGAAAGUAGAUUAAUUUAUUGUUAUUUUUAACAUUACCAAGUUUUUCAUUGUCGAAAUUUAAAGAGGCAACAUAGCAAAUACGCCAUUACCAACGCAACCCCUGCUAAAUUCUAAUAAUUCUAAAAUUUUCCUCUUAAAACCCUAUCAAAAUUUGAAUAGGCCUCGAACCAAGCACUAGAAACAAUUAUUUUCUUUCUUUUUUUUGCAAUUUUUUUUGUAAGUUGUAAAUUGAACGAGUCAAGCAGUUUUAUUUGAUAAAGAAAUUGUCACCCGCUAUAUUUUAUUUCCCUCUAUUUAUCCACUACAUCAUCAUAACCUAAGCAAAAGAGAUUUAAGAGACAUACCCAAAUAAAAAAGAAAUGUCGUAGUAAUCUUUGCCGAAUAGGAGAAAAAAGAUUAGUCAUCAUUUCUUUUAUAUUUUUCCCCAAUAAAAUGAACACGCGUGUACUCUUAAAUCAAAACUAGCGAGAUCUUUUAAAUCUGCUUGCGUCCUUCAUGGAUUAGGUAAUCAAGAAAAUACACUCAAAACUGAAAAACAAAAGUGAGGAGUCGUGAUCUUUGGGGAUGAGUCGGCAUGUAUGAUUGAUGAAGCCAUGAAGGCAAUCAUCAUGGUUUAUCUUCUCUUUUUUCCGGUGUGGUGGAAAUGGUUUUAUUGGACGUAUAUAUUAUUAGUGGGCACAAAUCAAAUUAUUGCGAACUUGCAAGGAGACGUGUGUGUACAAGAAAAGGAGAGCAGAUGGUAAACGUAGGACCCAUCACUCCAUGCAUGCGUGGUACCAUACUACCAUUAGACAUGCAAAGCUCCCUUUUAAUUAGCAUGAUCAUACAUAGUUAACUUAAUUUGUGUAUAAUAUUUUUCUUUUUUUCCUCCAAAUGGGGGUUGUUGCAAGUUUGAAGGAGAAUGAUUCCCUCCAUUUUCAAGGCGACAUAUUGCAACUUUGCAAGCAAUGUGGCUCAAAGAAGGGAGCACUUUGUAAAAGUAAAUAAAAGUCUUUUUUUUUUGGGUAAUGUAGUGUGUCGGUGCUUCUUUCUUUCCGGCUAUUAUUAUGUUGGAACUGAAUUAUUGAAAUGAGUUAAUUAGUGGAUAGCACAAAACUAUUGUGAAAUUAAAUGCUGAUUUCUAGGUAAAUUAAUUAAUCGAUCAUGGAAUCAUCUAUCCCGUACAUAUUUCCUCUGUUCUAAAAAAAAAUAAUUUGAGUGGGGAUUCAACACCAUUUAGAACGAUGAAUCUGGAUAAUCUUUUUGAGUGGGGAUUCUAGCUUGAUUUUUUGUUGACAAGAGGGAGUACAUGCAUUGGGGACACGAAAUGAAGUUUUUCGAGAUUGAGCUGUAAAGGCUCACAACUCGUACAAGAAGAAGAGUUUUGACAAGAAGCCUUGAUUGAUCGUUUGAUGUGAUCCUUACUCUCGUUCUGUUGUGUUUUGUUUUUCUUGCCCCAUGUCCGAUAUAUGCAUGCAGAAUCGUCCCAUCACAGAUUCGAAAUGGGGCAUUCUACUGGAGAUCCACAGUUUUGACAAUGGUAUACUGUAGUAAUUGCAUCGUUUUGGUAGUAGAGUUUUUUUUUUAAAUGGAACAUUUGCAGUUAUUGUUAGCUGGGGUAAAGGACUGCAAUUUGCAAUUUAAAAGGAACAGGAUUAGAUCACGCUAACCAAACCAUAUGGUGAUGACAGUGUGGUAAGCAGGGUUGAACAUGAGAAGGUAUUUUUAGCUCCUCAAACAAACAAAUGAGCUCCGUUUUCUUCUCUAAAUCAUUUGCUUAAAUCUCUACUCAAGAAUCCAGAUCUCUAAACAAUACUUUAGUUAAUUUCAAAGAGGCCCUACUGAUUUGUCGGUUUGCAUCCAAAGAUGAUGGGCAGGGAAGAUCUCCCGUGGGUAGGAGCAGAAGCAGAGCAUGGAACAACGAGCUAAGCACAUGUCAUGUACACACCCAUUUCUCAUUUCUUAUUGAUUAAUUGGUUCGCACGGUUCAGAAGGUUAAGUAGGAGUAAUUAAUUAAUGGGUACACACAUCACUGUGGCAUGUACCUGGACAGAUGAACCACUGGCCCCACAUCAUUUUCCUGCCUAGCUACUUGCUUAAUGCACAUGCUGUGUUACAUAAUCCAUCCUACUUGGAUGAGCCAGGUUAGUUUACUGACACCAUCUACUUAAGUUAUUUUUGAGCUGAUGGAUGCAUGGUCUAAAUGAUUCACUAGUACUAUGAUCACAUGUAGCCAUAGAUGAUAAGCAUAUUUCUUAUUUACCCAAACUACCCAACCAAUCUUAUUAUUAAAUCUUGAGCAGUUGCGCCGUUAAAGUUAGCUGCUUUAACUCAAAUGGAUUAACCUUAGCUUAACUUGCUGACGAGAGCCUAGCUAGCUCCAUGACCGUGCAACAGUGAAUGAUAAAAGAGAGAUAUAAUCAAAUUGUCGUCAAAUUAACUGCAGAUCAGAGAUGCAUCGAUCACAGCCACUUGUGAGUAGUGUACGUAAUGUCAAUUAGCAGAACACUACUGUUCCAAUUGGGCCACUAUUAGGGUGGACCUAAGCUUGCCUAGUGUGGUCUCUUGCUGAUAUAUAGAAUCAGUUCCAACCACUGGUUAUUGUUACUGUGGCCCCCCAUCUCUCUUGCACUGAUUCCACUGAUCAUCGAUCCCAAUUAUAUAUGUAUGUGGCACGUUUUAUCUCAUCACAUUUCUAUUUUGGUAGUACUGAUUAGUCAAAUAGAGAUUAGAAAAUUAAGCACAUAAUACAUGUUUUACAUUAAUAUUGUCUUAGUUUUUAUAUGGACUUCUGAAAUUAAUAUUGAUUUUGUGAACUAUUUGGCUUUUUAAUGAAAGCUGGGCGUAUGCAUUUCCUCUAAAAAAAUAAUAUUGAUUUCUCAGUUUUCUAUGCAAAUUAGGGUUGGCGAAAGAUGGCUAAAAAAUAAAGUAGAAAUAAUAUAGUAUGAUCUCAACAAAAACAAAACCUACCAAUUUUCGGAGUCUCUCUGAAAACAUGGACAAUGAUUUGGUGGGGGAGAUUUACCAUUUAAGUUUUCCUCAAUAAAGUUUGCUUUUGAUCUUUUAUGAAAAAACUAAAGUCAGAGGAAAAUAUCUUCGCCCGGGUAGUACGCGUGGCAUGCAUAAUGCUGAUGGAUGUUUCAUUAGCAAAGACAGUCACAACCAAACAAACUUUUGGUUUAAUUAAAAGUAAACCCGGGAUUAGAAUAUAUAAUAACAUCCUUAUAUAUUGCCCAAUGCUUUCUGUUAAUUAGUAGUAAUGGUUUCGCAAUCAGGUUGAUGACAUGAGAUGCUCGAGAGACUGACACGUCCAUUACCGGACGGACCAUUGGUUGUUACUGAUGUUAAUGUUGUUCUGUUCACAAGGAUUGGCGAAUCGAAUCCAAUGAAGCGUGAUUAUGGUGGUUGCUAGAUCUACUUGUAAUUAUCAAUUAUGACUCACUAAUCACUGUAGUUUGGAUGCUAAAGUUGAAAGAAUUGGUGCUAAUGGCUUCGGCUCACCAAACAUUGGUAGGUUUCGAUGCUGACAUCUCUGAAACAGGAAUAUGGUUUUACAUAGGUGAAAUCUCUGAAUUUUUACUCAAUUUUGCAUACUCUGAUAAUCUGAAUCUGAGCUAGCAUUCCAUUUGAAAAUCACAGAAAUAACAGGAAUAUUGAUCGUUCGUAGCAUUUCUAUCAAAUCCCGCAUAGUUUAUGGAUCUUAAAAAAUAAACAACAAAGCUAGCUAACACAUUGAAAAUUUCAAGUUCCAUUCAGGAGAUCGGGCUAUCAAGCUCCAAUCCCUUGUGCAAAUCAUUGGUUACCAAUUGAGCCCAGCCCAUGAAAGACGGAUAGGAAAUUCGGCCCAUUUGAACAUAUGAGCAAACAGCAGCAUUGUCACCUCUGAAUGAGUGAUCAGAACGAAAUCAAAAUUCUCAAGAAUAGCAUAUGGCAUCAUACGCGCUCCUCUUUUUUUAAAAAUUUUUUUUUUCAGAGAAAUGUAUUUUUUACCCAACCUCUAUAUCCAACCGGAUAUAUGCAGCCAUUUAAAUUAGAAACUUAGCCCCACAAACAACCCAAAUUCGCUCAUAUGAAGAUUUGAGCUCAAGACUUUGAGGGUGCUAAUUAGCUCACUGCAACCACUAGGAUCAUUUGUGCUCCUCCAUGACCCGUUCUAGUAAUUAAACACUGUUCCGUAUCAAGAAUCCACGAUCCCUUCAGACAAAGAAAAGACAUUCUCCAAUGGCAUUUUCCUGAACCCUUGACUGAAUCUCUGAAUUGUUCAGUUUAAAAGAAAUUAAUGCAAUGCCAAAGUUGCAAAAAGAACCAACCAACCAUUGCUGCAGAAUACAAAUCGCAAAUGCGUUCGUGUUCAAUAAUCAUAACUGAAUUUUUAUCAUUUGAGAAUAUGUGUAGACAGCAAAAUUGCAAUGUAGAAGUAAAAAUAUAGCAUAUGGAGGCAUCCCAUGAUCCGUUGUAAACAUUGAGCUGCAUCACGAAUGAAUUUAUGAUCAGGCCAUCAGGGAAAAGAAACAUUUCUCCAAUGGCGUAUUUCCUGAACCCCUGACUGAAUCUCUGAAUUUUUCAGUUAGAGAAUGCAAAUCGCGAACGCGAUCGAACUCGAUAAUCAAAACUGAAUCUUUUAUCAGUAAUGUUUUCAUGUACACUGUAUAAUCGAUCGCAAACGUAGUAUACGUAUACAAGCGCUCAUCGCUUCUCUUUACGAAUCAAUCAAACCCAAUCAAUCUCGCAAGAGCGGAUUACUACUUCUUAUUCACAACUUGAUCGAACUUGAACUCUCAUCAAUGGCGCGCGGAUCAUGCCAUCUUGCUCAGUAGUAGCCACCGUACGCCGACGCCAUGGGCAUCCCGUACUGCACCGGCAUGGCGCCGGCGGCGAGCCUGUCCAUGGCGACCUGACCCUGCAUGCCGCCCUGCCUGUACUGCGCCCACAUCUGCUGCUCCUGCACCAGCAGCUGCUGCUUCCUCUCCAUCUCCGCCAUCUGCACGUACGCCGGCGGCGGCACGCCCAUCGACGCUGCGAACGGGUCGCCGCCGGUGGUUCGCGCCGUGCCGUCGGGCGCCGGCAGCGCCAGCACGGGCGCGCGGCGCGGCGCCGCCACGCUGCUCGCGCUCCCCGUCGCCGCCUCGUGCGCGCCCACCUGCUGCCGGACGGCGCCCUGGUCGUACAUCCCGUGCAGCAGCAGCGGGUCCAGCCCGCCGCCCAUGGACGCCUUCUGCCGCGACAGCUUGCUCGCCGUCUCCACCAGGGCGAGCUCCCACUCCGCCUUGCCGGCCUCCGCCGCCGGCGUCUGCCACGCCGACGUCACCUCGGCCGCGUCGUCCGACGGGAAGGCCACCCACCCGCCGUUCUCCGUGCCGGAGAAGAGCGCCAGCGCGAGCUUGUUCUCCUGCUCGUCUUCCACCACGGGUUCCCUGAGGUCGACGAGGUCGCCAGUCUGCGGCGGCGGCGGCGGCGGCGCCAUUUGUUCUGGUGCAACUUUCUCCGGCGCCGAUCGCGAUGGCUCAGCGGCGUGAUGCUCCGGCGCCGGGAGCGCCUUGAUGCCGUUCAUGUCGAGCUCGUCGCUCUGGGCAGUUUGCUGCUGCUGCUGCUGCCAUGGAGGCGGCGAGCUGUGACCCGCCCUGCCGCGCUCUCGCACGAACUGCUCGAGCGUCUCGAGGAGCUUGUCGUCGAUGCGCUUGACGUCGGCGAAGUCGGCCGGGCGGGCGAGGCGGACGUCGUCGCACCAGCCGUAGAAGGCGAGGAGGUCGUCGGUUUGCUUGGCGGUGCUGACGUGUGCCUCGAAGACCUUGACGCAGUCGGGGUAGUCCAUGUCGAAGAAGCGGUCAAGGAGGACGGCGAGCACGACGGCGACGUCGGAGCAGAGCUGCGUGCUCUCCUUGACCACCGGGUAGAGCGUGGCGAGCACGACGCGGCUUUGCCUCGCGCCGCCGGAUGGGCGGCACGCGAGGACGCGGUCGAGCAGCUGGCGGAGCUGCAGCGCCCGGCCCAGGAGCGCCUCGGUGUCCAUCUCUUGCACCGUCGCCGCCGUCGACCCCCGCGGCGGCGAUCCCGUCUCGUCGGCGAAGCGCACGGUGCGCGGCGCGGGGAGGAGGGAUAUGAGGAAGCGGGCGCGGUGGUCGAGGUAGAGCGCGUAGGCGCGGACGAAGGCGGAGUGGUCCCACGACGCGGAGUGCGCUUCGUCGCGGAACUCGGCGAGGAGCGCGAGCAUCGGCUCGCCGCGGCGGCCCGCGGGGCGGACGAGCUCGUGGCGGAAGUGCGGGUCGCCGUCGGCGACGAGGCGGUGGGCGAGCGCGAGGCACUUGGCGGCGACGACGUAGUCGCGCGUCCUGGAGAGGCGGCGCGAGAGGGAGGCGGCGCAGGCGGCGGUGUAGGGGCGGGAGUGCGCGGUGAGGGUGACCACCUCGCGGACAUGGCGGUCCUCCGCGGGGGCGUCCUCGUGCGACGUCGCGCGGACGAUGGCGACGUCAAGCUCCGGCGCGAUGGCGGCGGAGACCUUGGCGAUGCCGAUGGAGGUCUGGUCCUUGACGGCGCCCAGCGCCUUGCGGAUCGACAUGGCGCCGGCGAUGGAGCAGCGAGCAGAGCAAUGGGCAGUGGCAAUGGCGAGCUCGCGACGAGGUGUUCAUCCGGUUCUUGACGACGUAGGAGGACGCGGUUUUUGAAGAGGAGGGAAUUGGUCAGCAGAAGAUCGGACGGCUGAGAUGGGAGGAAGGGUGGAGAUGGACGGACGAGAUGGAUUCGGAGAGUGGGUGGCACGUAGGAGUGGAGGGGGCACAAGUCAAAGGCGUGGCCGGCGGGCGCUGACACUGGGCCCCAUCGUUGGUUCGCUGGGAAUUUAGUUGGAAAAAUAUGAAUACUAUUUGAUUUCUUCUUGAGGAAUUAAAACUCGUGUUGUCUUCACUCGUUUGGACCGGAAAAGUACACGUUUUCUUUUUUCUAAUUUCGAUUUCUUGUCAUUUUGUUUGAUGGAUUUCUUCUUUGUGAGGUGCCUUCGAAAGGAAGGUAGAGAAAGUACCAGGAAAAAAAAAACUUGGAGAAUCAAACGAGUUGAUGGGUGGGAAUUUUUAGUUUUUAUCAAGAUAGCAUAUAUGGAUCAAUCAGAUGAUACGAUUCCAUAUUCGAAAUGUGCGUAUUACAUACUAUGGAUUUGUGGCCAGGCAUGCAUUCACAAAAUGCAAAACAUUUCCACUAAAAAAACAAAUAAAAACAUUCACAUGGAAACUGAUCGAGAAGUUUCAAUUACGAAUGAAAUUGAUCGGACGUUUCAUUCUGAUGAAGGGCCGUGCGGCCCAGUAAUGGGAUGGGCCUCCAGUGGGCCCACAGCACUCUCGCAUGUAUAGUUGGAUAAAAGAGCAUUUAUUAAUUAAUUUGGCCAUAUCAUACAUCACACGAUAAUUAAUCGUAUAAUCGAUUGUCUAGCUAGUUACUUUAGUUAGCGUUUAAUCCUUCAGCUAGGGAAGGUAAGAAAUUUUAGAGCCUGCCUGGGAAGGUAAGAAAUGUUUGCACUACUAAAACUUAAAUUCUUACCUUCAGCUAGGGAAGGUAAGAAGUUUUUUGAACAGUACAAGGUCUAUGGUCGGUGGUCCUCUUCAAGGAGUUUUUUUUGGCAAAGCUAUAGCUAUAUCCACUUCAAAAAAUCUUAUUAGCCAAACAGUCUAGAUUGAAAAGGCUCGUAACUGUACUUCACAUAAACAAACUAGUAGCCAAACGUGAUGUUUCUCUAAAUUCUUAUUAGCUACUCCCUCUAUUUCAUAUUAUAAGUCAUUUGUAUUUUUUACUAGUCAGCAUUCCAUGAUCAAGACCUACAUGCACAACAGCGCAAUUAUAAAACUUUGUUAAGUUUGACUAAAUUCGUAGAAACAAUUUUAUAGUUAUAUUGUUGUGUAUAUAUGUAGGUCUUGAUCCUAAUUUUUGUGGGCCUCAUUCUGCUAAAUUGCAGCCCAGGAAUGACAAGGCCUCGAGUGGGCCCUUAAACUACACCCUGAUCAUAUGUCACUUAUCGUGAGCAUUAGUUUAAUUUAAUUAAUUAAUGGGGUAGUGACAUACCGCUCUGUACUAAAAAAAUCAACCGAGUACCAUGCGAAUUUAGACAUAUUUCUGUUAAAUUCAUUGUACUAGAAUAUAUCAUAUUAAUUAAUUAGUUAUAGGUUUUUUUUAUACUGAGGGAAUAAUUAAUACUACUCCAUACUCCUGCCUAAAUAUAUUAGCUAGCGCCAUGAGAAAGAUAUAUGUAUCAAUCGGGUAAAUUGAAACAGGAGAGAGUUUUCAGGGAAAACUUAACGCUAAUUUGGACUAACAAACAAUACAUUCAUGCAUCCAUCUACCCUAUAAUUUACCAACACAGUAUUACAUUCCUCAUUCCUCGUUGAUCGGUCAGGAUGCCCUCUCACAGAUCCAACGCCUCACGUCGCUCCCACCUUCUCCCAUCCGCGAUUCUCCCUCUAAACCGCGAUCUCUCUCCCUAUAAUCUCUCCACCUAACCACGCCCCACCGCACCUCUCCCUCGCGCAUCGCCUACCCUAAUCGCCGCCUGCCGCUCACUCCCUCGCGCUCGCGCUGCCUCGCAGGUCCGCCGCCGCGCCGCUGCCGACCUAGGUCCCCCCCACGGCGACCAGGCAGAGACGGACGCGGGCAUCCAUCGCCUCAUCGGGCCCCUCCACUCCCUCCCCACCUCGCGCCGCCGGUUGACGCGGCGCAGCCGGAGCCCCCCGCAGAGCACGGCGCUGCAUCACCUUCGCCCGCGUUCGUUUCUCCCGUACCUGCGGAGGCGGGUCGCCGACACCCAGCACCUCCGUCGACGCGACGCUGCGGCCUGUCUGCGACUCCUCCUCCUUUUGGCCCAGCUACAAAAUAGCAAACGUAUGCUCAGCAUUUCACCUUCAUAUGCUUCUAUUUUUGGGAAUCCUUUUGCUAAAUAGUCCUUCCACCCUUGAGGGUUUUUGUUCGGUCUUAUCCGCUGUGUACUUGAAGGGCAAAUGUAUUAUUGUAUACUGCAUAACACAAUCAAUGCUCUCGAAGUUUAUCAAUGCUUGAGGAUCAACAAGUUAUGGUCUAAAUUUUAAACCAUAGAGUUUAUUACUUUCAAUAUUCCACUAUGUUUUCCAAAUUGGCAUGGUGCGAUUGAGAAAUCAAAAUGAUGUAUAUGUUUUCAUGCUGCUAUUGAGAUAUCAAAAUGAUGUAUAUGAUUUCCAUAAUUUCAAUAUAAGAUCGCAGCAUUGUGAAUUGGUUUCAACUAAUGUUUGUUUAUAUUUUGUCUGUUAGAUAUGGAUCAAAAUGCUUCUGCUAAUGAAGGUCGCUUUGCCGCCAAAGAUAUAACAAAUAGAAAAAUCAAUAUGUUUUAAGUGCAUAAGACAAGAAAAAUGAAUGGAAAUGACCUAAGGGAAAAUUCGAAUUCGUGACAUGCCUUUAUAUAAUUUUUCUAUUCGUGACAUCUGAAUCUAUUUUAAAGUUUUAUUAAAGACAAAUAUAAUUACACCGUAGCGUUUAGCACGGGCAUAUUACUAGUAUAUAAUAGGGUAAGAAUUAAAGAGAUACGCUUUUACUCUAUCCGUUCUAAAAUAUAAGUACUUUUAGAAUAGUGCAAAGUCAAAUUUUUUAAAUUUUAACUAUUAAUAGCAAAAUAUUAAAAAAGAUUAAUCAUAUAAAUUUGAUAUUAUUAUAUUUAUCAUUAAACGAACUAUCUUAAUAUACAACUCUUUAAUUUAAAAUAUUUUACUUUUGUAGAUAUUAUUGGUUAAAGUAGCAUCUCGAAGACCGUAUCGAGAUCAAAAAUGCUUAUAUUUUAGGACAAAGGGAGUAUAUAUAUACUUGAUCUUCCCAAAGUGAUUUACACUAACUUUAAAGCAUAAUAGUUAAUUUGAUGAUGGAUGAGUAGGACUAGCUUCUUGAACUGUUUUUAGAUCUCCAAAUUAAACACAUAUUUAUUAAUUAUAUUUAUUACUAUCCAUUACUGAUUUCAACCAAUGUAUUGCGCGCGCUGCAAGCCUGAUGUAAUGGUGCUUAAGGCGAAAGAAUAUGCCCAUAUAUAUUAUCGAUCAGAUACCAUUAUGUGAGGUUUUUUUUCCUCCGAUUAAUUAAUUAACACAAGUAUCUACACAUGAAGGUACGUUACAAGCAAAAUUAAUUACUCACGUUCUAAACAUAAUUUGACUUGUUAAGAUUUCAGUAAAAGCCGGGCUCCCGAAGGUUUUUCUCUUAAAAAAUAUAAUUUGAUAUUUUAGGAUAUAUUAGCACCUCUUGUAUCCCGAAGAAAAUUAAACAGCUAUCUAAUUUUGAUGAUGAGCGUUCAUUAAUAUUCUAUGAACGACUUGUAUGGCAGAUGGCCUCAGUACUGAGCCAAUUUUAAGUGGUGUUUUAAUACUACAAUUAGUACUUACCAAGUAGUAAUAUAAUUCAGGGCAUGUUUGAGGAAGCUUCUAGUUACAACAGCUUUUUCCAGAAUUAGAAACUCCCCAAACAGUACAGCUUUUUAUACAGAUUCUAAAAAACUAUCGUUGUAGUUGUAUAAUCUAGAAAAUAAACUAGAAAACAGAAGCUAGCUAGAAAACCUAUUUUUUUUCAUAUUCUCAUAUGGUAGCAACCAACUAGAUGCUUCUUGUAAUGUUAAGCUCAAACAUGCUCUUAAAACAUUGAGAUAAUCUUUUCCUAGUGAAAAAGGACUAGGAAGGACCAUAUCUCUAAUGUACCCGAUAAACACUGGGUCGAUAGCCAAAGCGUAGAGGGGAUAACAUUUGAAAUUGGUAUUUGCAUAUACCUCUCAUGCAUGCUCUUCUCCUAAAUAUAUAUAUCAAACUAAUUUAGACAUAGAUAGGGCAUGUACAAAGGUAGAGUCGGAUAUGAGCUCUACGUUAUCUAGAGACUAGCAUCCUACAACAGUUAGAGACAAUAUGGUCUCUAAUCAUUAAUGUAUCAAAAUACUUUUUAUUACUUUUCUUUCCUUUCUUUCACCACUAUGCAACAAAAUUUGCUCUAAUAAAUGCUAAGAGUCGACUCUUAGCCGUUGUCAUGCAUAACAACUAUACUCCUUCCUCUUUCUUUCAUGUCACCAAAUUUACUUGCAUGGCAAUAGAGAGAGACCACUAAUAAACACCAUUGUACAUACCCUUAUUAGUUAGCUUACUAGCUAACUAACAACAGUUUAUUUAUAAAACUAAUACCCUACAUUUUAGCUUGUAAUACACUACACUUUCUUUAAGAGAUUAUAUUACAAGGAAGAUACUUGAGGAAAAAUGAUUUUUCCCCAAAAGUGAACCCUGAUUCCUUGAAUGAACUAAAGACGCGGGGACACAACCCCAGAGAUGUUGAUCAAGACAGAGAACACUGUAUUCCAGACUGAUUGAUUAUAUUCCCAGUGAUUUUACAUCCACCGUACCUGCAUCCUCUCUCUAGAGAUGUCAUUUUUAGUUUCCCUAGAUAUAUAUACUUAACGAACCAGCAGCAGCUGCAGCUGGCACAUUCCAACACAAUCUAUGCAUGCAUGCAUGAAUCGAGAUACCAUAAAGAAUAUAUGUGUGUGUGUGUGUGACAUCUAGUAUCUUGGAUGCAUGGGUUAAAUCAUCAUUAUUCCUCAAGAAUCCAAAAAGGAACUACUAAUUAUAUGUACAUCGAUCGUCUCUCUCUCUAUCGAUAGAUGCAUUAGAAUAUUAUAGCUAACUGUUAACUCCAAAUCAUCUAUAACUAAUAUAAUAGCCCAUUCAUACAUUAUGUAUCUAUAAAAAUAUACUACACCAAUAAUACCCGGUUCCACCUUUCAUACACACACAUAACGUCUUAGAGUCCGUGUUGCAGCUGGCUACAAAUCUGUAGCCCGUUUUCUUCCCUAUCUUCUAUUUUCUUCUCGAUAUGUGAUUAUAGCUGGCUUAUAGCCUGCUAUUGUACUUGUUCUUAGACUAGCUAACUACUACUUAAUUAGCUUGUAGUAGUAGAGAUGAGAUGAGAGGAUCAGUAGCAUGCAAUAGUAUGGUGUUGGAUGAGUAGUUGCAUGUGCAUGGUGACUUUAUUCUCCCAAAGGGGAGAACAGAAAUGAAGAGAGAACUGGGGAGAGGAGAGGAGAGGGGGGCCUAGGCCUUCGAGAAAGCAAAGCCAAAGCAAACCCAAAACAAAGCUAUCAAAGCAAAGGCAGUGCAGGCAGCAGCAGCAGCGAGAAUCUGAUUCCCUGCCCCUCCCCUCCUGCGAGUAACAUGCCAUGCAUGCGUCCCUCCCAGUCCCUAGCUAUAUUUUUCCCUUCAAUUCACUAUCGAUCAUGCAUGCUGCUAAUUCCAGAUCUAUCUAUCUUGGACCAGCUAGCUACCAACCAAUCUAGGAUUACAUCGUCUCUCAUCAGUACGAGUACUGUUACUAUCUCUCCUGUUAUUAAUCACUACUCAGUACUGAUCAGUCUCGCUCUUACCUAACUUAACAAUGCAUGCUAACCUUAGCUUAGCUUAGCUAGCUCCAGUACUAGCUACUUUAUAUCUCCAUAUAUAUAGUAUUAGUUAACCUAAGCUAAGCUAGCUAGCAACAUGAUGCAUGAUAAUGAUAUCCUCAGAAUAUAGUACUGAUUCAUGCAUGAUAGAGAGUAGUAGUAGUAUGAUCUAUCUUCUCUCUCUCUUUCACUAUCUCUUUUGCGUGGCACACAGGCACACACAGAGACACACACACAUUCUUUCGUACGCUCCAUUCACUUUUCUGUGCCAGUCUUGUUGGCAGCAGCUUGUGCUUUUGGGCACAGCAUUCCAUCAUCUGCUAUCUCUCUCUCUCUCUAUAGGCAGCUCUUCCUUAGCUGCUUGUGUUGUGUGUGUGCUAGAGCCAUAGACAUCGUCGUCGUUGAGACGAUGAGAGAGUACACACGUAGUCCCUGAAAAAACACCCGGCCGGCUAGCUGGCCACACAAACACACAAGAGCUAUAGCAGUAGCAGUGUAGUACCACUGAACCAGAGCAUGCACUUCCUUCUUCAGCUCAUCUUCUUCCUCUUUCUCAGUGCACUUCUCAAACUUCCAUGCACACACCAUCACCAACACAACGACGA